GGCGAUCGCAUCAACCUUCGAACCAUUUCCCACGCGCAUCAUCACUUAAUCCUUAGCCAGCCUUCGUUUAUUCCGCAGUUCCUGUUUCAAGUUGAAAAUGUGAGCAACAGAACCGGUAUCAAAUACCCAGACACUACUACGAGAGUUGGUGAGGUACACAUCAAUAACAUGUAUAUCAUAUAUACAUUGUUUGGCGUUGGCCACCUUCUUAUCGGCCAAAUACUUGGGACAGUUGCACUUCCAGUGACCAGUCCCCUUGCAAUAGUAGCACUCAGUUUCCAGCUUAGGCCCAGCCUUGGGUUUCUUUGUCGGAGGGGCAACAAAUUUGCUAGUCUUCUUGGAGUUACCCUUCUUUCCUUUGUCAUUCUUCUUGAAACUAGUUGUCUUAUUGACCAUCAACACUUGAUGUUCUUUCUGGAUUUCUGACUCAGCGACUUUUAGCAUCGCAAAUAAUUCGUCGGGUGACUUAUUCAUCCCUUGCAUGAUAUAGUUCAACACGAAGAUCUUGUAGCUAAGUGGUAGUGAUUGAAGAUUUCUGUCAGUGGUAGCUUCUUGCGGGAGAGCGAUCCCCAGCUCAGCUAGACGGUUUGAGUACACAGACAUUUUGAGCACAUGUUCACCGACAAACGAAUUCUACUCCAUUUUGCAAGCAUAGAAUUUAUUGGAAGUCUCAUACCUCUUGAUCCGGGCAUUCUUCUCAAAGAUAAACUUCAACUCCUGAAACAUCUCAUAUGCUCCUUGAGGUUCAAAAUGUCUUCGAAUUCCCGGUUCUAAGCCAUACAAAACUACACAUUGAAGUAGUGAGUAGUCAUCCUUACGAGCUUGCCAAGCGUUCAAAACAUCUUGGUCAGCCGUAGCAGGUGGUUCAUCUCCUAGCGCUACAUCAAGGACAUAAUUGGUUUGCCCAACUUGGAGGAUAAGCCUCAGAUUUCGAGCCCGGUCUACAAAGUUGCUACCAUCAUCUUUCAACUUAGCUUUCUCUAGGAACGUAUUGAAAUUCAGGGUUGCUCCUGCGGGAGCCAUUGAUCUACAACAUAAAAUUUUGCAAAUAUUACUUACACUAUGCUCAAGACAAUUGAGUUUAGCUAAUCAUAUUACUAAUAAACUCCCACUCAAAUCGACAUACCUCUAGUCGUUCGAGUGUCGCAUUAUCCAAAUUCACUAACUCAAGUCCGAUCAUCACGUGAGUUGAGUAUAGUUUCAGUGGUGAACAUCUCCAUGUUGAUCAUAUCCACUAUAUGAUUCAUGCUCGACCUUUUGGUCUCUUGUGUUCUAAGGCCAUGUCUGUACAUGCUAGGCUCGUCAAGUUUAACCCGAGUGUUCCACGUGUGCAACUGUUUUCCACCCGUUGUAUGUGAACCUUGAGUCUAUCACACCCGAUCAUCACGUGGUGUCUCGAAACGACGAACUGUAGCAACGGUGCACAGUGGGGGAGAACACAAUUUUAUCUUGCAAUUUUAGUGAGGGUUACCUUAUAAUGCUACCGUUGUUCUAAGCAAAAUAAGGUGCAUAAAAGGAUUAACAUCACAUGAAAAUCAUAAGUGACAUGAUAUGGCCAUGGUCUUGUGCUUCUUGAUCUCCAUAACCAUAGCACCGGCAUGAUCUUCAUCGUCACCGGCGCCUCACGAUGAUAUCCAUCAUCAUGAUCUCCAUCAUUGUGCCGCCAUCGAGGUUGUCAUGCUAUCUAUGCUAUUACUACUAAAGCUACUACCUAGCAAUAUAGUAAAUGCAUCUACAAGCACAAACGCUAGUUUAAAGACAACCCUAUGGCAACUGUCGGUUGCCGUAGCAUCGACAUGCAAGUUGAUAUUUAAUUAUUACAACAUGGUCAUCUCAUACAUCCAAUAUGUCACAUCAUGUCUUUAGCCAUAUCACAUCACAUGCAUACCCUGCAAAAACAAGUUAGACAUCCUCGAAUUUUUUGUUGCAUGUUUUACGUGGCUGCUAUGGGUAUCUAGUAUGAUCUCACAUUACUUACGCAAAGCCACAACGGUGAGAUGCAAAUUGCUAUUUAACCUUCUCCAAGGACCGCCUCGUUAAAAUCCGAUUCAACUAAAGUUUCAGAAACAGACACCCGCCAGUCAUAUUGAUGCAACAAGUUGCAUGUCAUUCAAUGAAACCGGUCUCUCGUAAGCGUACAAGUAAGGUUGGUCCGGGCCGCUUCAAUAUAACAAUACCGCUGAAUCGAGAAAAUACUAAGGAGGGCAGCAAACAGAACAUCUACGCCCACAAACUCUUUUAUGUUCUACUCGAGAUUUCAUCUAUGCAUGAACCUAGCUCAUGAUGCCACUGUUGGGGAACGUUGCAUGGGAAACAAAAAAUAUCCUACGCACAAGAAGACCUAUCAUGGUGAUGAUCAUCUACGAGAGGGAGAUCGGAUCUACAUACCCUUUUAGAUCGCUAAGUGGGAAGCAUUAAGAAACGCGGUUGAUGUAGUGGAACGUCUUCACGAUCCAAAUCACCGCCGUCCCACGAUUCAUCCCGAUCUAGCACCGGACGGACGACACCUCCGUGUUCACCACACGUACAGCUCGAUGACAAUCUCCGCCUUUUUGAUUGAGCAAGAGAGACGGGGAAGUAGAUGAGUUCUCCAGCAGCAUGACGGCGCACCGGUGAUGGUGGUGAUCUAUUCCUGCAGGGCUUCCCCUAAGCAUCGUAGAAAUCCGAUCUAAAGGAAGAACUACAAACUAGAGGAGAGGGUUGCACGUGGCUAAAAUUGUGUCUCAAAACCCUCAAACCUCUAGUAUAUAUAGGAGGAAGGAGGGGCUAGGCUUGCGCACCACGGGAGCCUCCCUUGGGCUCGGCCGAACAAGGAGAGGAGGAGUCCUCCUCCAAUCCUACUUUGAUUAGGACUCCUCCCCAAGUUGUCCUCUUUUGGUUUUUCCACCUUUUACCUCAUGGGAUUUCUUUGGUUGACUAGUCAGCCCAUCAAGGGCUGUUCCGCCACCAUCAAGUCCACGUGGCCCCCUUGGGGAGUGGUGGGCCCACUUGGUGGACCCCUAUACUCAUUCGUCAAUCCGGGUACAUUGUGGGUAAUGCAUGAAAUCCUUCCAGAAUCCAAAUACCAACUUCAUAUAUAUGAAUCUUCAUUUCCGGACCAUUCCGGAACUCCUCGUGACGUCUGAGAUCUCAUCUGGGACUCCGAACAGAACUUCAGUCACAAGCACCUACAACUCAACUAUACCGAAAUGUCACCGAACCUUAACUUUGCAGACCCUGCGGGUUUGAGAACUAUGUAUACAUGACAUGAGACACUCUCCGGUCAAUAUCCAAUAGCGGGACCUGGAUGUCUAUAUUCGAUCCUACAUAUUCUACGAAGAUCUUAUCGGUUGAACCUCUAUGUCAAGGAUUCAUAUAAUCCCGUAUACCAUUCCCUUUGUCCUUCGGUAUGUUACUUGCCCGAGAUUCGAUCGUCGGUAUCUCCAUACCUAUUUCAAUCUCAUUAGCGGCAAGUCUCUUUACUCGUUCCAUAAUACAAGAUCCCGUGGCUAACUCUUUAGCCACAUUGCUUGCAAGGCUUGUAUGUGAUGUUGUAUUACCGAGUGGGCCCCGAGAUACCUCUCCGUCACAUGGAGUCACAAAUCCCAGUCUUGAUCCAUGCUAACUCAACGGACCCCUUCGAAGAUGCCUGUAGAGUACCUUUAUAGUCACGCAGUAACGUUGCGACAUUUGAUACACACAAGGCAUUCCUCCGGUGUCAGUGAGUUACAUGAUCUCAUGGUCAUAGGAAUGAAUACUUGACAUGCAGAAAACAAUAGCAACAAAAUGACACUAUCAUAUGCUACGUUUAUAGGUUGGGUCUUGUCCAUCACAUCAUUCCCCUAAUGAUGUGAUCUCGUCAUCAAGUGACAAAACUUGUCUAUGGCUAGGAAACCUUAACCAUCCUUGAUCAGUAGGUUAGUCAACUAGAGGCUCACUAGGGACAUACUUUUGUCUAUAUAUCCACACAUGCAUUUAUGUUUCCAUACAAUAAAGUUAUAGCAUGGAUAAUAAAUGAUUAUCUUGAAACAGGAAAUCUGAUAAUAACUAUUUUAUUAUUGCCUCUAGGGCAUAUUUUCAGCAGAAGGUAUACCCAACUAUCUCUUUUGGGUAACCUAUGAAGACACACUUUUCUGCUUUGGGUUCCAGCUUUUCAGGCUANNNNNNNNNNNNNNNNNNNNNNNNNNNNNNNNNNNNNNNNNNNNNNNNNNNNNNNNNNNNNNNNNNNNNNNNNNNNNNNNNNNNNNNNNNNNNNNNNNNNUGACUAUAAAGAUGCUCUACAGGUAUCUCCGAAGGUGUUCGUUGAGUUAGUAUGGAUCAAGACUGGGAUUUGUCACUCCGUGUGACGGANNNNNNNNNNCUGCAUGUCAAGUAUUUGUUCCUAUGACCAUGAGAUCAUAUUACUCACUGACACCGGAGGAAUACUUUGUGUGUAUCAAACGUCGCAACGUAACUGGGUGACUAUAAAGAUGCUUUACAGGUAUCUCCGAAGGUGUUCGUUGAGUUAGUAUGGAUCGAGACUGGGAUUUGUCACUCCGUGUGACGGAGAGGUAUCUCGGGGCCCACUCGGUAAUACAAACAUCACACACAAGCCUUGCAAGCAAUGUGACUUAGUGUAAGUUGAGGGAUCUUGUAUUACGGAACGAGUAAAGAGACUUGCCGGUAAACGAGAUUGAAAUAGGUAUACAGAUACUGAUGAUCGAAUCUCGGGCAAGUAACAUACCGAAGGACAAAGGGAAUGACAUACGGGAUUGUAUGAAUCCUUGGCACUGAGGUUCAAACGAUAAGAUCUUCGUAGAAUAUGUAGGAUCCAAUAUGGGCAUCCAGGUCACGCUAUUGGAUAUUCACCGAGGAGUCUCUCGGGUCAUGUCUACAUAGUUCUCGAACCCGCAGGGUCUGCACACUUAAGGUUCGACGUUGUUUUAUGCGUAUUUGAGUUAUAUGGUUGGUUACCGAAUGUUGUUCGGAGUACCGGAUGAGAUCAUGGACAUCACGAGGGUUUCCGGAAUGGUCCGGAAACGAAGAUUGAUAUAUAGGAUGACCUCAUUUGAUUACCGGAAGGUUNNNNNNNNNNUAGGUCCCUCUAUUGGAUAUUGACCGAGGAGUCUCUCGGGUCAUGUCUAUAUACAUAGUUCUCGAAACCGCAGGGUCUGCACACUUAAGGUUCGACAUUGUUUUAUGCGUAUUUGAGUUAUAUGUUUGGUUACCGAAUGUUGUUCGGAGUCCCGGAUGAGAUCACGGACGUAACGAGGGUUUCCGGAAUGGUCCGAAAACGAAGAUUGAUAUAUAGGAUGACCUCAUUUGAUUACCGGAAGGUUNNNNNNNNNNGUCGGAGUCCCGGAUGAGAUCACGGACGUCACGAGGGUUUCCGGAAUGGUCCGGAAAUGAAGAUUGAUAUAUAGGAUGACCUCAUUUGAUUACCGGAAGGUUUUCGGAGUUACCGGGAAUGUACCGGGAAUGACGAAUGGGUUCCGGGAGUUCACCGGGGGGGGGGGGCAACCCACCCCGGGGAAGCCCAUAGGCCUUGGGGGUGGCACAUCAGCCCUUAGUGGGCUGGUGGGACAGCCCAAGAAGGCCCUAUGCGCCAUAGAAAAAAAUGAAAGAGAAAAUAAAAAAAAGGAGGAGGUGGGAAAGGAAAGAAGGACUCCACCCACCAAACCAAGUAGGACUCGGUUUGGGGGGGGGGAGACCUUCCCCCCUUGGCUCGGCCGACCCCCUUGGGGCUCCUUGAGCCCCAAGGCAAGGCUCCCCCUCUCCCACCUAUAUAUACGGAGGUUUUAGGGCUGAUUUGAGACGAGUUUUCCACGGCAGCCCGACUACAUACCUCCACGGUUUUUCCUCUAGAUCACGUUUCUGCGGAGCUCGGGCGGAGCCCUGCUGAGACGAGAUCAUCACCAACCUCCGGAGCGCCGUCACGCUGCCGGAGAACUCUUCUACCUCUCCGUCUCUCUUGCUGGAUCAAGAAGGCCGAGAUCAUCNNNNNNNNNNNNNNNNNNNNNNNNNNNNNNNNNNNNNNNNNNNNNNNNNNNNNNNNNNNNNNNNNNNNNNNNNNNNNNNNNNNNNNNNNNNNNNNNNNNNAAGCUUUACCUUCUGGCCCUGAUGCACGCUGGCAUGGCCGUGAGAUUCCAGCUGGCUUUGCUAAAGUCGGGGUGGAUGAAAUCAUGACGGGGUUUAAUGAUAUGGAGCUCGACAUAGCUGGACCCGAAGAUAAGAGGACACUCGGAGAAGUACUGGGUGGAGUCAUCCUAUGGGACAAGAACUACAUCAAGCUUCCAGGCUCGGCCCCAAGGACAACACCGCCUCCGAGUCGUCGCAGGUCACCUACACCUCCAUUACCUCCAAGCCCUCCACAUGACGUCGUCCAGCACAACACGAGUCCAUCUCGAUCACCGCCGCCGGACUUGGGUCGUCCGUCUCCGCCGCCGCCUGCUCCGGAUACAAAGCGGGAGCGUGCCACCAAGAACGCUCCGCCGACGAUUCCUAAGCCACAGAGCACCCCAAAGCGCAAACGGUUUCCCCUCCCAAAGGUACGUCAUGCUAAUCUUCCUAUCAGACCUUAUGAUCGUACCCCCGAGGAAAACGCCAGGAUAGCAAAGGAACAUUAUGAUGUGCAGAUGAAAAAGAAGGAACCCAAUCCCCGCCCGGAAUACACCGAGAAGCAAAUAGCAUUUGCAAAAUACUUCACGACCCUUCCAUCACAGUAUGACGACGAAGGUCCUACCAGAGCAAUGCGCGAUUGCUGUUGCAGAGGAGCUUGCGACCUUUCUGAGGACGGAAACUAUAGAUGACAAAGGACGAUAUAGUGUAGCUAGGGGGCAUUACUGAUAUUCGUCCAUGUAAUCGAAUAGACGGGCUCUAGUCCCGAUAAUUCAGAUCUCCAUAUAAUUGUAUAUAUAUAUGCUCGCUUGUAAGAUAAGUUAACCUUAUAUAUAUAUAUAUGUAUAAUUAUUUCUAUAUAAAUUAUAUGAAAACUAAUUCUCGAACACCAAACGAGGCAUCACGUUAAUCUCCCGAACACCUAAACCCUAAAACCCAAAAAUAAUUUCAUUCAAAAAAAACCCCGAAAAUAAGCAAAAUCUGAAACUCUUUAGUUCCGGCCCGUGUAACGAACCGGGACUAAAGGUCCUGCCCCUGGGGCGCUACAAGGCGCCCACGUGGAGCACCUUUAGACCCGGCUUGUAACAGGGCCGGGACUAAAGGUUAGGCCUUUAGUCCCGGUUGGUGAACCGGGACUAAAGCCCCUUACGGGCCGGGGCUAAAGGCCCCGUCCCCACUAGUGAUAGUGGAUACUAGGGAUCAAAACCCAUCAAAACUAACUCGAUUACAUGAUAGAUCUCAUCCAACCCAUCACCGUCCAGCAAGCCUACGAUCGAUGAGAUUACUCACGAACGGUGAAGAGCAUCAUGGAAUUGGCGAUGAAGGAUGGUUGAUGAUGACGAUGACGUCGAUCUCCCCUCUCCGGACCCUAGAACGGACUCCAGAUCUGCCCUCCAGAGGAAGAACAAGUGGUGGCGACGGCUCCGUAUCUUAAAACGCGAUGAACUCUUCUCCUUUUAUUUUUUCUGGGCGAGAUAGACUAUAUAGUGCUCGAGUUGGAGGCGGCGGAGCCACGAGGGCCUCACAAGCCUGCCAAGCGCGGCUAGGGGGCCACGCCUCCUGGGCUUGUGGGCUCCUGGCUCCGUCCCUCCACGUAAUUCUUGCGUCAGUAUUUUUUAUAUAUUCGACAAAAAAUCCUCGUAAAUUUCCAGGUCAUUCCGAGAACUUUUAUUUUUGCGUAAAAACAACACCAUGGCAAUUCUGCUAAAAACAACGUCAGUCCGGGUUGGUGCCAUUCAAAUCAUGCAAAUUAGAGUUCAAAACAAGGGCAAAAGAGUUUGAAAAAGUAGAUACGGUGGAGACGUAUCAGUGAUCAAAUGUUAUUACUGCAAAAAUAAAUACGUAAAAUUCAUAUAUUGUGCUCAUAAAACAACAUACAACUAUGUAAAACAUUUAAAUGCAAGAACAAAUGUGAUCAACAUCACAACUAAGGUAACAAUUGACCCAACAUCAUAAUGAUACCAAGCCUCUUUAUCAAUGGCAUAUUUUCUAAUAUUCCUAAUCUCUAACCACACUUCAUCCAUCUUCAAGCGCAUUGCGUCCAUCUUCAAUCGCAUUGCAUCCAUCUUGAUCUUGUGAUCAACGACGACAUCGGCAACAUACAACUCCAAUUCCAUAUUCUUCUCUUUAAUUUUUUCUAUUUUUUUCUUCAAGUAACUAUUUUCUUUUUCAACUAAAUUUAACCUCUCGACAAGAGGGUCGGUUGGAGUUUCCGGUUCACAUACCUCCUAGAUAAAAACAUCCAUGUCACGUUGGUCGGCAUAAUUGUCAUAAACACUAAAUAAAACAAAUAGUUAUAAAAGAAAAUAUAGCACGUCUCAAUCAUAGGCCGGACGAGGACCGACGUGUGUGCAUACCAAUACCAUCGCACUAUAUAAUAACAAACAAUAAUAAAAGUAAGAAAUUUACACAAGUAUCUAUCUAAAUCAUACCAGUAAGAUUUUAUUUAGAAAGAAGAUAAGAACAAGAGGCUCACCAUGGUGGUGCCGGCGAUGGGAUCGAUUGUGCAUCUAAAUCAAAAGAACUCCCACAUACACUCCUACACUAAAACCCACAAGCACUCUACUUCUAGAGCAUUUAAAAUUAGCUAAACUAGCGGUGAGCGAUGAAAGAAUGAAGUAGCUAACCUUUUAGAACACUUGUGUAGUUGCUGCACCACCAAACCUAGACAAAUCUUGAGGAAAAUGGAGCUUGGAGGUCGAGCUUGGAGAGGAGAAAGCUUAAGUGUGGCUCGGGCAUUUCAUCGAACACCUCAUGUGCAUGCAUAGAACGGUGAACAUAGCAGGGCAUGCACACCUCCCACAUGGCCAAAAAACAGAGGAGAGGGUGGGCAGGGGCGAGGGUAUAUAUAAGUAUCUCUUUGGUCCCGGUUGGUGGCCAGAACCGGGACAGAAGACUGACUUUUAGUCCCGGUUCCACCCACCAACCGGGACUAAAGGUGCUGCGCGAGGAGUGAGGACCAUUGGUCUCGGUUCGUGUAUGGAACCAGGACCAAAGGAGUCAGACGAACCGGGACCCUGGCCCAGCCGACGCCCUGGCCUCAUGAACAGGGACUGAUAUGGUCCCGGUUCGUAACAGAAUCGGGAUUAAAUCUCUUAUCUCGCCUCGACCAAAGCCCUGUUUUCUACUAGUGUUGAUUUUCUGCUCGGACACAUGCCACUCCUUUCUCUUCGCACGUCAUCAAAUUUGUGAAAGAUUCAUCGUUAUUUUUUUCCAACAAAAUUGUAUUAUCUCAUCGUACAAACUUUCCCGGUCCCAGGUAGAGGUCAGUUGCAUUCUAGAAAAAAGUAAUGGUGCUCACUCAUGAGUGAAUCUAGCAUCGAUACGACAUCUUAUGUUAGACAUUUUUAUAUGAUGACUUUGUAUUAAAAAUGGCAUCUUAAGAUACCUUAGUUUGUGCUUUGCUUCGCAUUCGAGAGGUUUUUGGAUCCACCACAGGUGAUUAGACAAGGUGCUAAGUGCAUCGAAGGACUUAUGAACUAAACUCACAUAUGCAUGUACAUAACUUAGCUUUUUCUAGCUAAGAUUUCUCCAUUUUAUGGUUUAGCAACAAAAUUCCGCAUGCAUAUGAUAUUUUGCAUAGAUUUACUCGUUUGACAUUGUUGUUUCUUCCUUGGGUCUUCAUGCUAUCUCUUCUUCUAAUUAAUUACUUUGCUACAUUAACUUUUUGCCGAUGUGACACUUUUAGCACCGUGGAGCGCUGAAAAGGCCCUAAAGCACAUAAGGACAAGAACUAGCUAACUGCCCAAAAGUUUCGGUUUUGAGAGAUGCAUUACCAUGUGAACUGUGGUCGCAGAUGGUUUGAUACAAACAUGUUUGCUUGCACGUAUUUCAUAACCAUCAUCUUUAUCAUACACUUGACCAAAUUUCUCUUGGGAUGGAUGACAGCCAUAAGGUCGCCUUUUUUCCAUUGCCGCCUGUGAUUAACGACACUUUGUUUUCAUUGCCAAAGUCGGCUCCUUGGCAUGGCAAGAAGGACAAGGUACAAUAUUUGUCCAUAAGCUCUUUUAAAAAGUAUCAUGUUUAAGGAGUGAUAUGCAACUAGAAACCGAUUUUGUCAUUGUCGCAUGUGGUUAAUGAUUGUGAGUGGAGUUUAGAAGAGGAGUGAAGUAGAGUUUAGAGGUGGAGUGUAGCACUUCAAACACACUCGUAGUUAACAGCUAAGAGGUUUUGUUUUUCGUCCGGCUGGCAUGAACACGUAACAUUUACCUACAACAACCAUCGCUUGGACAUCCUGUGUGCCACAACCACCAUCUCCUAUAACUAAGAGCCAUCCAAGCCUAGUCUCAGUAAUCCCAUCAACCAAAGCCUGUGUUCUACAAGACAGCCAACCAGCCAUGGGCCUCAAGGGUGUGAUGGUGUGUUUACUUAUACUGGGGUUGGUUCUCGAACAGGUGCAAGUAGAAGGCAAGAGUUGCUGCAGGAGCACCCUAGGAAGAAACUGCUACAAUCUUUGCCGCGUCCGUGGUGCUCAGAAGCUAUGCGCAGGCGUCUGUAGGUGUAAACUCACAAGUAGCGGAAAAUGCCCUACAGGCUUCCCCAAAUUGGCCCUUGUGUCCAACUCAGGUAAAGGGAAUGAACUCCUUAUAUUCCAUAUUACUAGUUCUUUCUAAAAUAAGAUGCCAUCAUAUAAAGCGUAUGGCGAGUUAGAGUUUUCUAAGUUUUCCUAAUAAUAUAAUGAACUUUUUUAAUUUUUUUCCGAUGAUAUUUGUAUGAGUUUUUCCAUGAACAACGUUUCCAUAAAUAUAAGUUUUCGUAUUUUUUUACCAACAAGUAUUUUUUUCGAAAGGCUGUCUCUUAGGAUCCGAUUCAUCAAAAAAGUUAGAAAAGAGUUGCCUGGUUACCGAAAAGUAAUUGUGAAAUAACUAAUAAAAAGCGAAUGACGGAGACGAUGCCAAUAUCAAAGACGAUAAUGUAUUGUAAGAGAGGAAUUGUUUGUCUUAUACGCGAUUAUAUUUACAUGCUAGAUGUUUUAUUUUGACAGAUGAACCAGACACCGUCAAGUAUUGCAACUUGGGGUGUAGGGCUUCCAUGUGUGACUACAUGGUCAACGCAGGUAAAUAAAAUUCAUCUGGUAUGUGUAUUCCUGUAAACUAAUUGAAAAGGCUACUUCUUGACACAUAAUAUGCUAUAUAUUUGGGCACCAGCUGCUGACGACGAAGAAAUGAAACUCUAUUUGGAAAAUUGUGGUGAUGCUUGUGUCAAUUUCUGCAACGGUGAUGCUGGCCUCACAUCCCUUACUGCCUAAUGAUGUGUAUCCAUGGUCUGAGAUUUCACAGGGCAAGGUGUGUCUGACCUUUGCGUUCAAUAAAAUUGGAUCCCAUCGAGAGUAUCCAAACCAGUGUGUCAACCUGUUUUAUGUGUGUGUAUUUCCAUUCCUUGUUCGAAUAAAAGCCGUCAUAAUGAAUGCCAUGUUGCUGCCGUGAAGUACCGCCAUGACUGAGAUAAAAUGGUACAUGUUGUAUCAUUUGCCUGUGGAUAUAAACUUCAUGAGUACAUGCUUCAAGUAAUUUUCUCUAGUCCUUUUUUUAUUUAGGCUUGAGCACAAGUUCUGUGUUGUCGUGACGUAAGCCUGAAAUGGAUCAAUUUUUUUGCAUUUUUGGUGAGCAAUUCUCUGAGCUUUUAUUUUUACACAUGAGGCACAAGAUCUUUGACCCUUUUAUUAAUUAAGAAGCAGAUUUUGCUCGGUUAAUUAUGAAAAACCUGGCUAAAACCGAUACAAAGGUGAAGUCCACUCCCAAACAUUGAAACACACUGGGACAAGCCCACACCCGUCGACGAUGGGCUGAACACCAUAACAAACGCCAACCAUGCAAACACACAACAACGUGAAGCCCUCCUCCGCCAAGUGAGCCAACUGUCCACUGCCGCCGAAAAGAAGAAGUUAACAUUGUUAUGGGAGGAGCGGACUCAGACUCUCCCGCUGAGGUGAAGAGACAAGUACCCACAAAGACAUACAUCGGAUACACUAGAUGACAUGUCAAUGACCAACUUUGACGGCAACCUCAUCGCCCACACGAUUCUGAGAUCAAUGCAGUCCAAGCUGCCAAGCUAUCGGGGUCGCCACCCCGACAUCCACCUCUUCUCUCUACGCACUCAAUCAACACAGCCUUCCAGGACCGCCACCCCGACACAUCACCACUUUUCUCGAAUUGCAACACCUUAUGACCCAGCUGCCUACAGUCAACCGUCCAUAGACCACGUCCGUCGCACCACAUCCAUGGCCGCUGCCCCCACAUACCAUCCAACCGCCCCCGCUAGGAUGCGUCAAUCGAGCCGAAAACCCUAUUGCCCAUGCAGCCAAGGUUGUCAUCCAAGCCACGUCGAGCUGUAAACCUGCUUCAUGGAGCUGCCGCCGCAUUCUACGAGAAUGCACUUCACAUAUUAGUUUUGAUCUUUUGUUGAACUAUUUUUUGUUGAACUAUUUUAGGAUCGAGUGCAAAUUGUCAUAUGUCUAUCAUAUAAUCCAUAAUCUUUAGACUUUAAUGUUGGGGUUUUUCCUUUGGCACAUAUCCUGGUAAUAUUUAUGGCAUUCAACAAACAAGUUCGGGCUAGUACUACAUAUAAAAGCGCUAACUUCUCUACACUAUUACAUUAUUACAAGGACAUUUCGGUCGCACUCGAGCUGUCAUAGGACUCAAGUGAAUUGACUAGUCGAGUACCUACAAGACUAGUAUACACUAGUAGAAAAUGAGGCUUUCGGUCGGAGGCCCAAAUCCCAGUAGCCCUGGUCCAAGUGAAACCGAGACCAAUGUGAGGCAUUGGUCCUGGUUCGAGCUGCCAGAGCCUCACGGGGCAAUAGUCCUGAUUAGGUUCGAUGCAUUAGUCCCGGUUCGUCCCUAAAAUCAGGACUAAAGAUCCAGCGACUGACACGUGGCGUUCCGCGGAGCAUUAGUCUUGGUUGGGAGCUGGAACCGGGACUAAUGGUUAGUCUUCUGUCCCGGUUCCGGCCACAAACCGGGACCAAAGAGAUGCCUAUAUAUACCCGCGCCCUGCCCACCCUCUUCUUUGUUUUUUGGCCUAGGUCUGCAUGCAUGCCAUGCUCUUGUUGCCACCCUUCUAUGCAUGCACAUGAGGUGUUGGAUGACAUGCCCGAGACACACUUAAGCUUUCUCCUCUCCAAGCUCGACCUCGAAGCUCCAUUUUCCUUAAUAUUUGUCUAGGUUUGGCGGUGCACCAACUACACAAGUGUUUUAGAAGGUUAGCUACUUCAUCCUUUCAUCUCUCACUGCUAGUUUCGCUCAUUUCAAAUGCUCUAGAAGUAGAGUGGUUUGUGGGUUUUAGUGUAGGAGUGUAUGUGGGAUUUUGUUUUUAUUUAGAUGCAAAAUUUGAGCUUAAAUUAACUUCUUAGAGUCUGCACAUGUGUAAGGUACCGUCCCAUACCCGUCCUCACCAUCAUCGAUCGCCCGCACCGAUCUCGUCACCAGCACCACCGUGGUGAGCCUCUUGUUCUUAUCUUUUUUUUAAAACAAAAAAAAAUUCUCAUUUGUAUGAUUUAGAUAGAUACUUGUAUAAAUUACUUACUUUUAUUAUUUUUUGUAAUUAUAUAGCGCAAUGGUUUUGCUAUCCGCUCAUGUCGACCCUCGUUCGGCCUAUGAUUCGGACAUGGUAUAUUUUCUUUUAUCAUUAUUUGUUUCAUUUAGUGUUUAUGACGACAAUUAUGCCGACCAACGUGACAUGAAUAUUUUUAUCUAGGAUGUAUGUGAACCGGAAAUUCCAAUCGACCCUCUUGUCGAGAGGUAAAAUUUAGUUGAAAAAUAAAACAAUUAUUUGAAGAAAAAAUUGAAAAUAAUUGAGGAGAAGAAUAUGGAACUAGAGUUGCAUGUUGUCGAUGUCGUCGAUGAUCACAAGAUCAAGAUGGAUGCAAUGUGCUUGAAGAUGGAUGCAACGCGCUUAAAGAUUAGAAAUAUUAGAAAAUAUGUCAUUGAUAAAGAGGUUUUGUAUCAUUAAGUUGUUGGGUCAAUUGUUACCUUAGUUGCGAUUUUGAUCGCAUUUGUUAUUGCAUUUAAAUGUUUUACAUAGUUGUAUGUUGUUUUAUAGGAGAACUUUAUGUAUUUAUUUUUGUAAUAAUAACAUUUGAUCACUACUGUACUUUGGUUUUAAUGUGAUGAUAAACUUGUAUUAAUUUGGUCAUUUCUCUAUUCAUGAUGUUCUGCAAUGGUUUUUUGAUAUACUUAAUUUCAUAAUACAGAUGAACCGCCAAUGGAUGUACGGUGACGGACGCACUUCAGAGUACAUUACGAACCGGGACUAGUGUCCCUCCCCUGCCUAUAAAUAAACCCUCCCCACCCACUUAUUGUUUUUCUUUGCUACGCACAAGAGGUGUUUGAUGAAAUGCCCGAGUCACACUUAAGUUCACACAAAAUGGUAUCCUCGACCGAGGUUAGCAAACUUAUCAUUUUCAUCUAUAAUCGAUACAAAAAUAUUGCAUGUGUCCAUGUACGAUGGUCAUUUCACUAUUCAUGUAUGAUGUAGAUCAAUGCACGGAAGCGAUGGAUGUACGGUGAACGACGUGGUUCCGGAUUUAUUGCAGGCCUGCAUAAAUUUAUCGAUGUGGCUGAGGCAAAGAAAAUGGAUAAUUUUAUGCCUUGUCCAUGUGUUGACAGUCGAAAUGUCAGGGAGUACUCUGGCUCAAAAAUCAUUCAAGGCCACGUGCUUUGGAGAGGUUUCAUGCCCAGAUAUUAUUGUUGGACCAUGCACGGAGAAAGAGGGGUUAGGAUGGAAGACAAUGAAGAAGAAGAUGAUGAUGACAACUAUCCUAUGUUCACUGAAGAAUACAGUGAUACUGCAACGGAAGACAAUGAAGAAGAAGGAGGUGAAGAACAACCGGCAUCAGAUGAGCCCGCUCAUUUGUGAUGCAAAGCGAGAAUGCGUUACAGACAAGGAGAAGCUGAAGUUGGAGGCCAUGCUAAAGGAUCAUAAAAAGUUGUUUUACCCAAAUUGCAAAGAUGGCAGCACAAGGCUGGGCACCACACUAGAACUGUUGAAAUGGAAUGCAGAAACUGGUUUAUCUGACAAGGGAUUUGAGAAGUUACUGAAAAUAUUGAAGGCGAAGCUUCCAAAGGAUAACGAAUUGCCCGAGACUACAUACGAAGCAAAGAAGGCUAUCUGCCCUCUUGGAUUAGAUGUGCAGAACAUACAUGCAUGCAUUAAUGACUGCAUCCUGUACCGCGGUGAGAAGUACGAGAAUAUGGAUAAAUGCCCGGUAUGCACUGCAUGUCGGUACAAGAUCAGACAAGAUGACCCUGGUGAUGUUGAGGGCGAUGACGAGCCCCUCAGGAAGAAGGUUCCUGCUAAAGUUAUGUGGUAUGCUCCUAUAAUACCACGGUUGAAACGUCUGUUCAGAAACAAUGAGCAUGCCAGGUUGUUGCGAUGGCACAAAGAAGAGUGUAAGUAAGACGGGAAGUUGAGACACCUCGCCGAUGGGUCGUAGUGGAGAAAAAUUGAGAGAAAGUACCCGGACUUUGCAGGUGAUGCGAGGAACUUAUGGUUUGGUCUAAGUACAGAUGGCAUGAAUCCUUUUGGGGAGCAGAGCUGCAGUCACAACACCUUGCCCGUGACUCUAUGUAUCUACAACCUUCCUCCUUGGUUGUACAUGAAGAGGAAGUUCAUUAUGAUGCCAGUGCUCAUCCAAGGAUCGAGGCAACCCCGGCAACGACAUUGAUGUGUACCUAAGGCCAUUAGUUGAUGAACUUUUGUAGUUGUGGGCCAAACCAAGUGUACGUGUGUGGGAUGAGCACAAACAACGGGAAUUUGACCUACGAGCAUUGUUGUUCAUAACCAUCAAUUAUUGGCCUGCUCUUAGUAACAUUUCAGGACAAUCAAACAAGGGAUACAAUUCAUGCAGGCACUGUUUAGAUAAGACUAAAGGUACAUAUUUGUAAAAUCUAAGAAGGUUGUCUACCUAGGGUGUCGUCAAUUUCUUCCGACCAAUCAUCUCGUAAGAAAGAAAGGCAAGCAUCUCAACGGUGAGGCAAAUCACCGGAAGAAGCCUAACCUCCCUACUGGUGAUGAGGUAUUGGGUAUGGUCAAGGAUUUGGAUCAAAUAGUAAUCUUUGGAAAGGGUCCUGGCGGUCAAUCUGUUCUGAAAGACGUCGUUACCGGACACGUGCCCAUGUGGAAAAAGAAAUCUUUAUUUUGGGAGCUACCCUAUUGGGAAUACCUAGAGGUCCAGUCUUCAAUCAGCGUGAUGCACGUGACGAAGAAUCUUUGCAUGAACCUGCUAGGCUUCCUGGGCGUGUAUGGAAGAUAAAAGAUACACCAGAAGCACGGGAGGAGUAGCAACGUAUGAAAGACCUAUACGACAAGAAGAUCGAUAAAGGGCGUCAAUACUUAAGCAGCUACGCUCUUACCAAAGCAGAGAAGGAAAUCUUGUUCGAAUGCCUGAGCAGUAUCAAGGUCCCUGCUGGCUUCUUGUCUAAUAUAAAGAGAAUAAUAAAUAAGGCAGGGAAAAAAUUCCAGAACCUGAAGUCUCAUGAUUGUCACAUGAUUAUGACGCAGUUGCAUCCGGUUGCAUUGAGGAGGCUUCUACCGGAAAAUGUUCGAUUACCCAUUUUGAAGCUAUGUGCAUUACUCAAUGCAAUAUCUCAGAAGGUAAUUGACCAAGAACGUCUGGAAAGGCUACACAGGGAUGUGGUCCAAUGUCUUGUCAGUUUUGAGUUGGUGUUCCCCCGCCCUUCCUCAAUAUUAUGACGCAUGUCCUAGUUCACCUAGAACUAAAACAACUACGGGAACUAAAAUAACUACGAGAACUAAACCCUAAGCAACUACGCCAACUUUCAACCUUUUCAGAUCCCAUUUAUAGUGUUUUUCAAUUACAGGGUCAAUUAGCUCAAAGAAUAGCAAAAAGAAUGAAGUAAAAAGAAUCAACUAAAACAUUAACUCAAAAUAAUAAACUAAAAAGAAUCAACUAAAAUUAUCAAAGUGUUUAUUUGUUAUAAAGAAUCAAGUAAAACACUAACUAAAAAGAAUCAAAAACAUAUCAACUCAAAAGAAUUUUCAUAAAGUUUUCAGAGCCCAUUUGUAGUGCUUUUCAAUUUCAGGGUCUAUUAGCUCAAAGAAUAAACUAAUAGCAAAAAGAAUCAACUAAAAAGAAUGAACUAAAAAGAAUCAACUAAAACAUUAACUAAACAGAAUGAACUAAAAAGUAUCAACUAAAAUUAUCAAAGUGUUUAUUUGUUAAAAAGAAUCAAAAAAAUAUCAACUCAAAAGAAUUUUCAUAAAGUUUUUUUUGUUAAAAUAUUUAAUAGAAAACUAAAAUAAAAGAGAAAUAAUAUUUAAUAACAAAGAACUAAAAUAUAAACUGAGACUAAAAAUUAUUAAAGUAAAAAAAUGCCACCUACUAGGCCAUCACGGCGCGCAUAUGACUAGAAACCCUAGAAGCUAGAUGGGCUAGGAUGCAGGCCCACAGAAGACCGAGUAGGACCACAUGGCAAAGAGAGUGUGUUUAGGCCCGUAGGCCUACUUUUGAGAGAAGCUCAAGAGGGUUGGCGCAGCGGGGCUUAUAAACCACUCUCAGCUCCUCUCAACUAGCGAGGUGGGACUAAACAUUUGGCCGCGGCAUCACCCUCCUUUAGUCUCGGUUGGGGGCUUCAACCGGGACUAAAGCCCCCCUUUAGUCCCGGUUGGAGCCACCAACUGGGACUAAAGGAAGGUGCUUCCCGCCCUUCGGCCUGACGAAAAUGAGCUUUAGCCCCGGAUGAUGGCUCCAACCGGGACUAAAAGGGGGCCUUUAGUCGCGGUUAGAGCCCCAAACCAGGACUAAAGGUCUCUAUGUAUAAGCGGGAGUUGGAUUUUUUCCAAUCCAUCGCCAGUUCCUUCUUCCUCCUACCUCCGAUGCCGCUGGGCUUUCGGAGUCGCCGCCGCCCCCGAAGCCAUCCUCGUCGUCGCUGCCACCGACGUCGGCCGCCUACGCCUCCUCCCUCUGCCUGCGAUGAGUAGUUGUUGCGCCCCGACCCUCCUCUGCUCCCAUAGUGAGCUCGCCGACCCGCUCCUCCCUCUCCUCCCCUGUUUUCUACUAAUGCCCUAGCUCCGGCCGCUUCCUGUCGGGCUUCGCUCCGGCGACCCCUCCUCUCCCCACGCCGCGCUCCGGCACCCCCUCCUCUCCCCUCAUCGGUGCCGCGCACCCCCGCAACCCUCGCCGACAGAUUUAUUUUCUAAAUUACGAUGAACAAAUGUUUUCUUAUUAUUAUAAGGACAUAGUAAUGUAUCUAUGAGAGUGGUGAUGAUCAUCAUUAUUAUGAUGUGUUAUAUAUCCCUAUGCCAAUAUCCGUACUAAAGAGUAACACAUAUAGUACAAUUAGUAGCAGUGCAAAAAUUUGCAUCACAAACAAUGGAAGUGCUUAACCUGUAGAAAAAUCGACCAAGGCAAAAAUUUCCUGUGUUAGAUGAUUUUCCAUGAGCAAAUUUGUACUAGAUCAUGUAAUGUUAAGUUUGAUUAAUUUUAUCACCCUAGGUAAAUUUUCUUUUUUGUUAGUUUGAUACUGGUAUUUCUCUAUUAAUAUUUUAGAACUAUUUUAUCAAUAUUAAAUAGUUGUAAAAGUUUAGAAAAGUUUAUUAAAUAGUAGAAAUUUAAAUACUUGUAGAAUUGGUUCUCGGCGUCGACGUACGAUGCCUGGCCCGCAUCCUCGUCGUCGACUCGGUGGCGACCACCUGCUUGAGAGGUGCCAGCAUGUGCGGGACUGGGCUCCGCCGGGCUGGCACUGGGAGGAGCUAUCUUCCGGGGCGCGCAUCUUGGUGAGGAAGCGGGCUCCCAUCGUCGACCCGGAGCUUCUUUGGUGGUGGUUGCGUGGUCCACUUUCGGUGUUGAGGGUGCCGGCCCCCGAGGAGGAGGUACGUCGUCGUGUCACGGAGGAGGACGAGCACGUCCGUCGCUACAUGGAGGCGUUAGAUGCCAGGUUCUCCAAUACGUGGCAGGUUCUUUAGGGAUCUCACCCGAGCUAUGAUCCGGUGAUGGUUCCCGCUCUUUGGGUGUCCAUCGUACGCGCCUCAGUAUAGCGACAGCUCUUUGUAACACCCUGAUUUUUGCAACUUUUUCUUUCCAAAACCUUUUGAGUUUUUUACUUGCAAACCUGGUUGCUUUUCAAAACUUUUCAAACUAAUUUGGAUCGGUGAAUAUGUGAACUUUUCCAAGUAACCCAAAACCCUCCUCCUCUUGCCAAAACCUUUCCACACCUCUCUUGGAUUAAUUUCCAAUAUUAAACCCUUUCCAAUAAUUCUUUUCUUUAUUUGGGGAAUUAUGCCAUCACCAUGGGUUGUGAAGCAACAUAUAGUUUGGAUGAUCUAUAAAACCCCAAACUUUUUCCCCACCUUCUCAUCAUCAUAUGAUUCCAAUAUAUCCAAGAAUAUUCCAUUGCCCAAUGCAAAUAUUUUGGCCAGAAUAACUAUUUCUUUUCUGACCAGAAAUGCACCAUUGUGAAGAAACCCCAUCUUUCCUACCUUGGAAAAUUUCCAAAAAAUUUCUCAAGCUCCUAGGGAUCCUAUCUAGCCACAAUAUCCAAUAAUAUCAUUUGGUUCAGUAUAAUUUUUGAGCAGGAGAACUCUGUUAAUUUCCUGCUGAUUCUGAACCUUUGUGAAGGAAGUACCAGCUAGGGGUGCACAAAUGAUCUAUAAUUUUUUGGGCAUGUGUGCACUACCAAAUAACUCUCCUCCACCAAGUUUCGGCCUCAGCGGAGUAAGCAUGUGAGCACCUCAAGCUCAUCUCUAUUCUGGACCAGAAUAGUAGUUUCCAAAGGAGCUAUGCUCAUUUCUUCUUCAAAUUCUUUCAAACUUUGCCAGUUUUAAGUCCUUCCUAUGCUGAUAACCCCAGACACUCCAUUUAGCUCCAUCCCUAUCCCAAUUCAUCUCUAGAACCUUCCCAAGUUUGGAGUCAGGGAGUGUUGGUGAUGCUGCCUCUCAUCUGAGUGGCUUUCUGGGCAAGGCAGUGCCACGAGGGGACUCUACAGAGCACGAACGAUGCUCCGGACAAGGUGUGGUAGGCCAGCACGCGCCACCAGUGCCAGUGCACGCGGUGAGCGCGUAGCUAGCCUGCCAAAAUCGCGCUCUGGGCGCCGACAAACUCGGGUCUCGUCGAAGUGAGACGCCCGCGUGGCCAUCUCGUGCCAACUCGCUUCCCGACAGCUUCCUAGACCUUCCACACCCUUCCCCCUCGCUGGAGAAGCCCUCGCCGGCCACCACCGCAGCGCUGCACUGUAAAACCCGCGUGGUCACAGUGGCGUUCCCGCCGUCGUCUUCCCCCGCGAGCCGUCCCUUCGCACAUUGAAUGCCCCUUCUCUCUUCCAUCUCUUCGCCUCGCGUCGCGAUAGCCAGCUCACCGUCUCUGCUCCAGUGGCGUAGCCACGUCGCCGCCGUUCCAGCGAGAUCACCGCCCUCGCCUCCCGCCCAUUGAAAGCCCCGCGCAGCCCCUCCAAGCUCCUCACCCCUCCUAGCCACCCUCCAAUCGCCUCCAUAGCGCCCCAGUUAGAGCCGGGAGUUCGUCUCCCUCAACUCCAGCGAAGGCUCUGCCGCCCAAGCCCCUCCUAUCGCCAGCCACUUCCGGUCUGCCCCAGCCCCACCUGAGGCCGCCAUCGAGAUCACCUGGUCCCCCUGGACCUCCUAGAGCCCUCAGCUAGCCCACCCUUUGCCGGAUUCGACGCCGUCGACGACCACCGAAGUGCCCAUCCGCCGGAGAGGAAGGAGGUGACGUCAUCCGACCACCUCCGAAGGAACUGCGGGUACAGGGAGGACCGCCGUCGAGCACCCGAUCCAUUCCUCCCAUCUCAUAGCCCAACCGCCGUCCCCAUCACCGGUGAGCACCACCGGUGAGCCGCCUUUCCCCUCUGUCUCUCUCCCUCUCUCUGUUUUAAACAAACAUGCCCCAUGUGUCGGCGACAGGAGCCCGCGCCUGAAUCGAUAAGUGGAGGCGCCUCCUCCACUUUACGCCUUCGAUGUGGCCCCUCCUCUGUUUUCUAAAUUCUGUUUUAAAAUACAGAUUUAAACAGAAACUUUGAACCCUUCCAACUUUUUAUUUACAAGUCCAAAUCAAUUGAUUCUUUUUGCAUUGAGUUAAUACCGAGCCCCUGUAAUUUCUAAUAAAUUUUGGUAUUUUUCCUAUGCUCACAGAAUCUCUGUUUAACAAAAAGGUAUCAUAUGACAUUUUCUUUUUGCAAAUUCAAAAUGUUUUAGAAGCAAACUUUGGUGAAUUUGAAGACCAGGAGUGCUUGAACAACCCAACUGAGCAAGGCAAGCCAUGAUACCCAUGUUAUGUAGUAUUUCCAUAGCAUUGCAUACUUUCACACAUUAUGCUUAGUUAUUUGUUGUAGGAUAAAUUCAUAUUAAAUUAUUUAAAGUAAUUAGUUUCUCAUUAUUAUAAAUCACUAUAUUGGAAAUGACUUAGUGGUUGAUCUAGAGUCACCUGUCCGAGCUUAACCGUGCAACCACAUUUGCCGGUAUGGGACAACCGUGACUUGGGCUGAUCGCGUGACCUUUCACCGGUACCUCCAAAGAGGGAGGGUUAUGCACGCGUGCUACCCUGAUCAGGUAGGCGGUGAUAACCCUGUGAGCCUAGUUGAGUUGUUUUGGGCCCGUCCCCGUUUGGGACAGUUUAGUUUGGCCACGAUGGUGUCAAAUGUCAUGAGGACACAGGGGCCACCCAGGGCAGGACUCCGGGGGAGGAUGAAUGCCGGUGGUGUUGGAAAUAUGCCCUAGAGGCAAUAAUAAAUUGGUUAUUAUUAUGUUUCCUUGUUGUAUUGAUUGGAAACUCAAAUACAUGUGUGGAUACAUAGACAAAACACUGUCCCUAGUAAGCCUCUAGUUGACUAGCUCGUUUAUCAAGGAUGGUUAAGGUUUCUUAGCCAUAGACAAGUGUUGCCACUUGAUAACGGGAUCACAUCAUUAGGAGAAUGAUGUGAUGGACAAGACCCAAACUAUAAACGUAGCAUAUGAUCGUGUCAGUUUAUUGCUACUGUUUUCUGCAUGUCAAUGUAUCUGUUCCUAUGACCAUGAGAUCAUGCAACUCCCGGACCCCGGGGGAAUACCUUAUGUGUAUCAAACGUCGUACACUUAAGGCUCUGCAUGACAAAGGGAACAACAUACGUGAUUAAGUGAAUCCUUGACAUAGAGGUUCAACCGAUAAAGAUCUUCAUAGAAUAUGUAGGAGCCAAUAUGGGCAUCCAGGUCCUGCUAUUGGUUAUUGACCGUAGAAGUGUCCCGGUCAUGUCUGCAUAGUUCUCGAACCCGUAGGGUCUGCACACUUCAGGUUCGGUGACGUUUCGGUAUAGUUGAGUUAUAGGUGUUGGUAACCGAAAGUUGUUCGGGGUCCUGGAUGAGAUUCCGGACGUAACAAGGAGCUCCGGAAUGGUCCGAAGGUAAAGAUUGAUAUAUAGGAAGUUCUUUUUUGGUCAUCGAAAAAGUUUCGGGCUCAUCGAUAGUGUACCGAGAGUGCCGGGAGGGUACCGGGGACCAUCGGGAAGGGUGUCACGCCCCGAGGGGCCUUAUGGGCUAUGGGAGGAUACAAACCAGCGCCUAGUGGGCUGACAUAAGCUCCCACUAAGGCCCAUGAGGUUUGAGAGGCAAAAAACACAAAGGUGGAAAGGGUUUCCAAGUGGAAAGGAGGAAUCCUACUUCUAGUAGGAUUGGAGUAGGACUCCUCCACCUCCAAUUUCGUCCAAACCUUGAGGGUUUGAGGCUGCCUCCUCCCCUCCCUCCCUCCUAUAUAUACUAGAGGUAUUGAGGGUUUUUGAGACAGAGAAAAACAACCACGUGCUGCCCUUUCUCUAGAUCUGUUUCUCCUCUAGUCUAGUUUCAGCGGUGCUUAAGCGAAGCCGUGCUGGAAUAGCUCCACCACCACCACCACCAUGCCGCCGUGCUGGAGAACUCAUCUACCUCUCCGUCCCUCUUGCUGGAUGAGCAAGGUGGGGAUCUUCAUCGAGCUAUACGCGUGCUGAACGCGGAGGUGCCAUCUGUUCGGCACUAUAUCGGGAUGGAUCGUGAUGGGAUCGCGGGACGGAUCGUGAUGAGAUCGUGGGACAGGCUGCGAUUUGGAUCGCGAAGAUGUUCCACUACAUCAACCGCGUUAUAUACGCUUCCGCUUAGUGAUCUACAAGGGUAUGUAGAUUCACUCUCCCCUCUUGUAGAUGAUCAUCACGAUGGAUAGGUAUUGCUUGUGCGUAGGAUUUUUUUUGUUUCCCAUGCGAUGUUGCCCAACAGGUGAUACAAUGGGAGAGUCACGGGUCAGGCAGGUUUCGUUGGAGCAAUACUGAUCCACCCGAAUGGGAUCACGAGGUCAGUGCUCCAUGAUGUGGAUAAAGUGUGCAACCUCUGCAGAGUGUCAAACCUAUUCGAAUAACCGUGUCCACGGUAUUGGACAGCCCGUCCAGACCUCAGUAGGUGGUCAACCAUAUUAGUGUUGGUAAUGAUGGAAAAACUCUUCGCAUGAUCGAAGAUGCUCGAUGAGUAUUCUGGCUGUGGUGAGACAACCCAGAUGAGAGUAAGUUGGUAACUGGUACAAUUAGUAAUGUUGCUUAGUAAUUUAUCGUAUUGAUUGCCAUGCUAUUGUUUGCUGUAUUACUUGGUUGUUGUGAGAUUGCGAGUACAUUCAAAGUACUCAUCUGGCGUAUCAUGCUAGAUGCAGGAGAAGCCGAGGACGGAGGUCCUGAUGGUCCGUACUAGGAUGUGUCCACAACAGUGUCUCUGUGGAUGGAGUUGCCGCUAUGUUCCGCUACGCCGUAGUAGUAUUUAGUAGUCUCGAGGCCCCGCUAUGUUUUAUAAAUAAUGUAGAUACUCUCGCAGCACCGAGGGUGCCUUUGGCCUCGCUAUCGUUGUAAGAUAUGUGCUUGUACCGUAUGCCAUCAAUAAAGUCAGUUCAGUUCUGUUCCAAGUUGUUCUGUGUUGGUAAUCCGGUUCUCUGAGCCGGGGUGCCACACUCUUUGUUGGUUGAUCAGUUAGAUAUUAUUGGAGAGAUGUAUUACUGUAUUCGAGAGAUGUAUUAGUGAUGUAUUCCAGAUUAUAUAUUCGAUAAUAUUAAGUGGAUUAUUCAAUGAUACAUUAAUUAAGUGGAUUAUUCGAUGUAUAUAAGCGGGAGUUUUAGUUGUUUAGUUAAUUUAGUUUUUUUAUGUUUAAUUAAUUUGCAUAUACUAUGGAUCCAAUACACGGCAGAGAUGAAUAUCACGAAGACAUGAUGCAUAAUGUCAUCCGCGGGGAUGAUUUUAUUAUUGACGAUGUCAUCAAUCAGUUUCUGAACAAGUCCGGCGAGGUAGAUGAGUCUCUCAACACAUGAGGUAGAAGCUUCGAUGCCUCGGCCGAGAGAGGACUCAACGGCUCCGAUGAGGGAGAAGCCGACGCUCCGGCGAGGUGCAUAUAUGUAUUAAUAAAUUAAUCCUCUGCCAUCUAUAUCUAAGUAUUAACGCUCUUUCUUCUUUCAGCUUUUCGAAUCGAGCAAAACUUUAGUACGGACGAGACGAGGCCUGCUACCAACAGCCAAGAAAUGAAAAUCAAUGUGAACGUUGCGGUCGUGCUUGUGAUAGUUUCUGUAAUCAAGGAGGAUACUCACCUGGCAUCCCUUGAUGCGUAAUGAUGCAUAUCAGCAUAUGCAUGAUCUGAAAUUUCGCAGGCCAAUGUCAUGUCUCACCAUCCUGUUCAAUAAAACUGGAUCUCACUGAGAGUAUCCAAACCAGUGUGUCAGUUUGUUUAUGUGCUCGUGCGUAUUUUCUUUCGUUGCUCCAAUUAAAGAUUACAACGGUUACAGUGAUUGGCCAAUUUAGGAGCCGUCUACGGUCUAUCCACCUCAAUCUAAUGGUGAAAAAAUAAAAGUUACAAAGAGUUACGAGAUUGAAAUUACAAGAAAUUAGAAAUAACGGUGGGAUCAUUACAUAUUUUUGAUGGGAUCAGUUUUUCUUUCAAAGGGUAGAUUCGUCAAGGAAAUAUGUAACUCAGCACAUAGAGUUUUCUUGCAAAACUGCCGAACGACUCAGAUCGCCUCUCGCCUUGCUCGUGGCUUCGAUAUUUUUUUGCUGGCGUCCAUCUUCCCUGGCUCGCUGGCCUCGGCCCCGCUGAGCACCUUCGCUGACAGUGAGAUCAGCAACAGCCGGCAGCCGGACUUGUGAAUCGUCUCCAUCGGCCGUCGGCACACCGGACUUGACCUCGCGCGCCGCAGCAACGCCGAUGUCUCCCUAUCGUGUUAGAUCAGGUUACCUAGCGCGGUGGACGGACGAUGAGUCGGGACCGCGCACCGCAAGCACGCCUAACCCAAGGAUCCUUCUACCUGGUGAGGAAGUACACUAGCAUGAAGAGCCGAGGAAGGACGCCAUGAGGGUUCCCAUUCUCGUCAGCAGCAAUCAGUUACAAAUUCACUGAUUCAGUUUUAAUUUAACACCUUCUCUACUGGUAGGCUACAACACAGAGCACCCAACCGUCUGAUUCGAUAAAGGAAAACUAUGUGUCCAUGUCGUUUAUUUCAUCUCUGUACCAUAAGAGCAACUUCAACGGACCGACUCAAACGAACGACGACUUUGUUCGUUUUUUGUCCGUUUGGGUCGGUCUCCCGCCCAACGUCCGUCCUGUUUUAAAUAUCGAUCGGCAGUGCGUCCAACGUGUCGAUCCAUUUCAUGUCCGCAAUUAACAUUUAAUAAAAGGGCCUGCGGCCGAUCGUGCUAGCGGUCAUGUCUCAUGCCGGCACCAUGCCAGCACCGGCAUACAAUGCCAGCUUCAAAAAAUAACACCACAGUUUCAUGCUAGCGCACUCGCCAGCCGGCCGACACACAUGCCAGCACACAAAAGGGGUUGGACUUGAGUUCGACCACGCCAUCGCGGCCCCGUGGUCAUGCGAGUACACCUGACGGCAUACAAAAUGAUGGCUCUCGUCGCCAUAGAUCACUCCUCGUCGAACUUGAUCAUGUCGGCCUGCAUCUUCUCGAACCACGACCUCUUCCUUUGCGACACGGUGUUGAGAUCCACCUUCAUGAUCUCCACUCAGGUCUUCAUGCUCGCGAGAGCCAGCGGCCACCGGUGUAGCGUUGAGGUCGAUGGGCGCGGGCGCGAGCGUGGAAGGCGCGACCACGCUCACCUUGGGCGAGCACCCCUCGUGAGGCGGGAGGCCUGCGGGUAGACGUGGAAGCCGGGCACCGGGUUGCAAGUCGACGCGCGGGGCGAGUCGGGCAGCACCGUCCGAGGGAAGCCGGAUGAGCCGGUGCUGACCGCGGCGGCCACGGCGGCGUUGACGAGGUCGUGCUAGCUAGGGUUUAACCCAAGUAUGCAGAGCGCCUCCCUCGUUGCCGACGCGGCGGCGGCGGCUUCUUCCCUCGCGUCCGCCGCGUGCCUCCGGUCCUUCCUAUUGGAUGACUCCUUUGCCUGCUUUCAGCCGUCAGCACCUUCUUCGGCUUCGGCGCGGCGGCCUUCCGAGGGGCACGAGGUUUGCCGGAUGAGGCGACGGAGGCGGGGCCGGUGGCGGCGUCGAGGUCGAGGUCGUCGUCCAUGGCGGACGUGGGUGAGAGCGGGAGUGGGAGCGCACGAGGGCGGGAGGGUUUUUGAGGGAAAUGGUGGUGGAUGCCACCGACCGGCGGUCCCGAGGAGAGGAGUUGGCGCAGGCGGGCGUCCGUCUGUGUCCGCGCUGACGCAAAUCCGGCUCAAAAUUGGGCCGGGAAUGGGUCGCCAGGCGUACGCCAAGCGGACGUGCGUCCGUUUAGAUCUGCACGUUGGACCAUCUUUUUUUCCGCGCCGACCUAAACAAACGGAACGGACGAAAUGGAUCGCCCCAUUAAAGUUGCUUGGAGUUGCUCUAAGAAAUUGAUUCCAGUGAACAAGGUAAACAAUAAUAGGCAUGAAACAAGCCAUCAAUUAGCUAGCCAUUGUCUCACGUCAAGAUGAUUAGUUCUUGUCUGAACGCAAUCUGCCCAAUCCCAAUUCAUGGAGCACUAGCAUUCGUCCUAGUCUAAUUGAAACACCCACUAAAAUUAGCCCUGGUACUUGCAAUCCCGCUAGCCAUAAUAAAACAAGAAGCUAGCUAGAAGUUUCGACUAUUUACUCAUUCUCAAAUCAGUUUGCCGGGCUGGUACUAAGUACUCCCUCCGUUCCUAUUUUAAAGAUUUCACUAGGGACUACAUAUGAAGUAAAAUAAAUGAAUAUACACUUUAAAUUAUGUCUAUAUACAUCUGUAUGUAGUCUUCUAGUGAAACCUUUAAAAAUACUUAUAUUUAGAAACGGAGAGGAGGGAAGUCUGUUUUAGACCUUUAGAUUGUAGAGCCGGUCUGAAAUGAACCCUCACAUUCAGAUCCCUGAAGUCUGUACCCUGUACUCAUGAAUCACGGUCAAUCUCAACCUUGAACCCAGGGCCGGCCCUGAGGGGGGCAGGGGGGCGGCCGCCCCGGGCCCCCAAAAUCCAGCCCCCCCCAGGUAUGUAUGUAGAUUAGGGCCCAUAUUAUUAGAAGGAAAGGAUCUCUCGAUCGCUUGAUUUCAGCGACAUAACCUAGGGUCGUUAGAAAACGAAAAACAAGCAAUCUGACGAUUCCUUUACCGAGCCCUAGCUACUGUCCGCCGCCGACGUCGCCGUAGUGGCCGACUGGCCGUACGCAGCAGAAGCAGUCCUGCAGGAUAACAGGAGAGACCCUGGCCCUGUCUUCAGAACACAGCGCAGCAACGGGAGCAGCCCUGUAGGACAGCAGGACGCAGACGCUUGAAACUUUGAAAGUGAACAAAACGCCGGGUUGAUCUCGGAAGACAACAGGAGAGUCAGACGCAUCACGCGCAUGCUUGAGCCUUGAUCACGCAUGCAGCCAGCCUGUACUCGUCUACUCGCCGCCGUCCUCUGGUAAUUAACCGUUUUUUGAUUAAAACGAUUUCAGCAAGCCUACAUACUACAGAAAUUAGUAUGCCGUGCUUAAUUCCUUUCAUUCAUGUGCAGACCUGCAGAAUAUAGUCUACACAGUACACACACGUACAAUACAGAGUAUUUAAAAUCUGAAAUUUGGCCAUCAAGAUUCAGGAUCAGGUGAAUUCUUUUUUCAUUCAUCUGCAGAUUUUUUUUGGUUCACAGCUGGCACCGUUCAACAACUGAUGCAACAUUUUUUUGUUUUCAGCAUUGUGUCUGUUGUCAUGCCGGCCAACAAGAGGAAAUAUCCAUCGGGUAGCGACAAAAGGAAAAAAAAGAUGGCCGUGAAAAAAUUGAUAAACUCGCAACGCGUAGGUAUUCGACAAUUUCUCAAGCCAAGUAAUAUUGGUGCUUCGAGUACUUCGCCAAACCUAGAUGAUGCGUUGGCGAUUGUUGCCAUAGUGGAAGAGCAACCGACUAGUGAAAAUUCGGACUCUGAUCAGCAAGAAGAAAAUAUCAACUCCAACAUCGGCGAUAGCAAUGUAAGUGGCUUCGAGAAUGUAGGUAAUUCAUCAGAUGCACAUGUUAAAUCUGCUAGUGUUGAUGAGCAACCAGUUUAUACUGCCGAUAUUUAUGAUCCAAGAAAUUGGGACAAUCUUGAUAAUAAAGCAAGAGAUAUUUUAGUUGAGAAAGGGCCUGUCAGAGAGGAUAAAAUGGAAUACCAUGUAGAUGAUGACGAAAGACAUUUUUCGUGCACUCAUUAUCGUAGAAAAUUAAGCAAUGGAGAGGAACAUGAUAGGAAAUGGCUAGUUUAUUCAAAAGAUGUCAACAAAGUUUUUUGCUUCCGUUGUAAGAUCUUCAAGUCUAGCACCAACAGGAUACAAAGUUCCUUAGCACAUGAUGGAUUAGGACAUUGGAGGUAUAUUAGUGGGAAGCUUAAAGAACAUGAAAAUAGCAUCGAGCAUAUUAAUAACAUGAACAAGUGGAAUGAAUUGAGGGUUAGACUACGGAAAGAGGAGACAAUUGACAAGGAAUUGGAACAUCAAAUAACGAAGGAGAAAGAACGUGUCAGGCAAGUUCUGUUAAGAAUAAUAGCCGUUGUAAAAUAUCUUGGUAAACGCAGCUUGGCUUUUCGUGGAAAUAGUGAGAAGCUUUACAAGGAUGAUAAUGGUAAUUUCUUAGCUUGCAUUGAGAUGAUUGCAGAAUUUGACAUGGUAAUGCAAGAUCACCUUAGACGUAUUGAGAACAAAGAAAUCCAUUAUCAUUAUCUCAGUCAUAAAAUACAGAAUGAGUUGAUAUCUCUUUUGGCUUCUGACAUCACAUGUUCUAUCAUAAAGGUUGUUAAAGAGGCCAAGUAUUUCUCCGUUAUCCUAGAUUGUAACCCUGAUGUUAGUCAUAAAGAACAAAUGACUUUUUUAGUUCGAUGUGUUAAUCUGUCUGAUGGGAAAAUAAAAAUUGAGGAGUACUUUCUGGGGUUCUUGAAAGUGGAUGACACUUCUGGCUUAGGGAUUUUUAAAGUACUGCUUGAAUCUCUUGAGUCUUUUGGCCUAAAUAUUAAAGAUAUAAGGGGUCAAGGUUAUGACAAUGGUUCUAAUAUGAAAGGAAAAUAUCGAGGGGUACAAUCUAGGUUACUUGAUAUGAAUCCAAGAGCAUUAUAUAUGCCAUGUGCUUGUCAUAGUCUCAAUCUCACUCUUUGUGAUAUGGCAAAAUCAUGUGAAAAAGCUGUUUCAUUUUUUGGAAUUGUUCAGCGCAUAUAUGUAUUAUUUGCUGGCUCUACAAAAAGGUGGAAUGUUUUGCUUAAACAUGUUCCUAGUUUGACCGUGAAGUCAUUGUCCAAUACUCAUUGGGAGAGUAGAAUCAAAAGUGUUACAUCAAUAAGAUAUCAAGCCAGUGAGUUAAGAUCAGCUUUGUCUGAGUUACGCCAUGCUUCUGAAACUGAUCCUAAGGAUAAAAGUGAUGCAAAAAAAUUUAUUUGAUGUACUUGGUCGCUUUGAGUUUCUAGUUGGUAUGAUUAUUUGGCAUGAUAUUCUAUUUGCUGUAAAUAAAGUUAGCAAGAUGUUGCAAUCAUCAACCAUGUGCAUCGACUCCGCUUUGAAGCAAAUAAAAGGUAUAACACAAUAUUUUGAGAAGUACAGAGAUGAGGGAUUUUCUUCCAGUUUGAGCAUCGCUGAAGGUAUUGCAACUGAAAUGGGAAUAGAGCCAUUGUUUCCAGUGAAACGCCGUGUUACGAGGAAGAAGCAGUUUGACGAAAAUGAUUGUCAAGAAGAAAUUCUAGAAGGUGAGAAGGCUUUCCGUGUUAAAUAUUUUAAUGUUUUGGUUGAUAUGACGAUCAAUUCUUUGAAUGAUAGAUUUAAAGAACUCAUGGUGUUUAAAGAUAUAUUCGGAUUUUUAUUGAGCUCGGGCACCCUCAAGUCAUAAGUGACAGUGUACUUGAAGAAUGUUGUACGAAAUUUGCAGAAACUUUCUUUUUUAAUGGUUCAUCAGAUGUUGAGGUAUACAAUCUUAUUUCUGAACUGAAGAUUAUGAGAUUCACUUUGCCGGAUGGCGUAAUGUCCGCUAUGGAGAUUUUUGGGCAUGUGAGAGAAGUUGAUUGUUAUCCUAGUAUCUCCAUUGCCUAUCGCAUCUUAUUUACAGUGCCGGUGACGGUCGCAUCAGCUGAAAGAAGCUUUUCAAAAUUGAAGUUAUUAAAGAAUUAUUUAAGGUCAACAAUGACUCAAGAGAGAUUAAAUGGUUUGGCUACUUUAUGCAUGAAGAAAAAAUUAUUGGAUGAUAUUGACAUCGACCCAUCAUAAGUGACUUUGCAUCGAGGAAUGUUAGAAGAAAUUUUUAAGGUAGUACGUAUAAAUUAUUUACUACGCAUACAGAUUUUGGUUGCAUCUAAGUGUUACUGAUAAUAAUUUCUAUAUACAUUUUUAGACAACUAUAUAUAUAUAUGUAUUUCUGAGGCAAACUAUAUAUAUAUAUAUAUAUAUAUAUAUAUAUAUAUAUAUAUAUAUGUAUGUAUAUAUAUAUAUAUGUAUGUAUACAUAUAUUAUAAAGACUUAUAUAUUAAGGCCCUCAAUUUUUAGUUCGCCCCGGACCCCCAAAUUCUCAGGACCAGCCCUGCUUGAACCUAUCUAGGCCAAUUUGACGUGCUAGGAAAUCAAAUAUCCCGACCGGAAUCACACUUUAAUUUCACUGACUGGAUAAGCAGUAGCUAAACGAUCUAGCACCGAACGCUCAUAUAUGUGCUAACCAACUUAAUCAAUCUUGGCCUAGUGAUAUGAUUGAAUCUGUGCACAACGGGGACCAGCGUGUGGCUGCUAAGGAUGGAUUCAGCAUGUAUGAGGCGCUCUGCAUCUGCAACUUCCCGUUCGUCUCCGGCACCGUGCCGCGAGCUCAGCUGCGUUGGUCAGCGUGGUGGCCACGAACUACGGCCGCUCACACGCAGUGAGCUUGAAGCCGCGAAUGGCGAGAACGAAAUUGCAGAACCUGCUGUGCCAGCAAGAGUGUGACUCCAAGCUCGUCUCCGGCGGGCACUUGCUUGGUGAACACCCGUGAUGGCGCCGCCGUCCAGGGCUCUUGACUACACACCAUUGUUCGUUAACGACCCUCGAGGCGCGCAUUGUUGUUCUCUGCCUUGGUGGCGUCCAGGUGUCUGCGCUGAUUUGGAGAGAGAGAAGGAUGGAUCUAAAAUGUGGGAUGAGGAUGUAAGUUAGAGGUAGAGGAUUUUAAUCCCGGUCGGGAUGUUUCUUUUCCCAGGGCGCCAAACACGCCUAGGGUCCAGAUUGACCGGGAUAAAUAAGUACAGGAUAUAGAUUUCAGGUUUUUAAAAGUAAGGGUUUAUUUCUGACGAGCUGUAUAAAUUCAAGGUUUAAAAUAAACUUCAUCCAACGGAGGGAGUACUAACCACUAAUACCAUCAUGCAAUACAUAUCCAAUUAACCAUGGAUUAUUCUACUAUAUAUUUCUUAGAAACAAUGCAUCGCUAGUAAGAUUAGAGGAUCGCGUAUCAAAAGAAGAGACCAACCUAGAGCUUCAAAGCUUUAGGACCGCUGUGCGAGCAGGUCUCCAUCAGCGGAGCGGCUGCGGCUUCCAUGAGGUGCGGCCUGGGAGAGCCGCCAUAGCCCUCGAUUUGAGGAAUGGCUCGGAAGGCGCGUCUGGAAGGCGGCCCUCGACUCCGGUUCAUAAGAUGGUGUCGUUGCCCCAGGUCCUCGCGCCCACAGCGUCGCCUUCAAGUCCACAUGCCGUCGCCACCGUCUACGCACUCGUGAGAUGGGAUCCGCGAUAUGUGACAGUUACACACAAUGUUUCCAAGAAAAAGCCACAGACCAUAAUACCCUAUUUUAAAUACAAUAUUUUAAUUAACAUGCUAACCCAACAGUGGAAAACAAUCAAAAAAGGAGUUACACGAAAUUACAUUUCGUAACUCUCCAAUCACUGUAAAAGAGCUCAUAAAAGAUAUCAGGGUUGUUUAACGGGAAUAGAGGGAUUGGUGGAAUAAUUGUUGUAUUGCUUGAGCCUCGUGAGCAUAUAUAUAUGAGUACAUGAUCAUUUCAGAGUACAAGUCAAGGCAGGAACAAAUCCUAGUCUAUCUAUGCUUUUCUAAACAAUCACAUUACUCAACAUCCCCCCACAGUCACAACGAUAACGACGCAGACGGUGAGACUAGAGAAGAAUCCGAAGGUAAGCCGACACUCAUCCCCUCACAGUCGUAACGGUCGAUGCAUCACGGAAGUUGUGGCCGGAGUAGAAACCGACGAGGUUGCUCAAGCAAGGCGGUAGCCCUUUGUGCCAAUGUCGAGGUAGCCGAGAGCGUGGGGUGGCGUAGCCGUGGUCGAGGUAGCCGUGCAAAGAAUGCCAUGGUCGAUGUCGAGUCGGGUAGCCGGUGUCGAGGGUCGCCUUGGAGCCGCGGGCGCAAGGAGGCGCCGAGUUAGUCAUGGGCGCAGUGGUGUCGAAGUAGUGAUGCGCCGGAAAGAAGACGUAGUUGAGACACGUCGCGUCGAGUUUGCCAAGCCCGGGACACAUCAUGGACGAAGGCACGCAUCGGUGUUGCCAACACCGCGCAUGCGUAGACGGACGAAGUCGAUGUUGACGAUGCGUCGCUCCAAAUUUGCCAGGCCUGGGAACACACUGGAGACGAAGGCACACUACGCAAAACUUUAGUACGGACGAGACGAGGCCUGCUACCAACAUUGAAGAGAUGAAAAUCAAUGUGAACGUUGCAGUGAUGGUUGUGAUAGUUUCUGUAAUCAAGCAGAUACUCACUUGGCAUCCCUUGAUGCGUAAUGAUGCAUAUCAGCAUAUGCAUGGUCUGAAAUUUCGCAGGCCAAUGUCAUGUCUCACCAUCCUCUUCAAUAAAACUGGAUCUCAAUGAGAGUAUCCAAACCAGUGUGUCAGUUUGUUUAUGUGCUCGUGCGUAUUUUCUUUCGUUGCUCCAAUAAAAGAUUAAGUGUCAGUUCCUAUUUUUUCUAUGUUUUUAGCUUUUUUUUAGAUCUGAUUUUGAAACGGAGUCCAAACGGAAUAAAAUCUCCGAAAUGAUUUUUUCCCGAACGGAAGAAGAUCAGGGGGCCUGUGGGCCAAACCAGGAGGGCUCCAGGGAGCCCACAAGCCCCCACUCCGCCACCAGGGGAGGCGGCGGUGGCAGGGCUUGUGGCCUCCCUGAGCGCCCCCUGACCUAGAUCUUUGGCCUAUAUAUUCCCUAAAAUACAGCAAAAAAUCAGGGGAGCCUCGAAAAUACUUUUCCGCCGCCGUAAAUUUCCGUUUCCACGAGAUCUCAUCUGGAGACCCUUCCCGGCGCCCUGCCAGAGGGGACUUUGGAGUUGGAGGGCUUCUUCAUCAUCAUCAUCGCCCCUCCAAUGACUCGUGAGUAGUUCACUUCAGACCUACGGGUCCGUAGUUAGUAGCUAGAUGGCUUCUUCUCUCUCUUGGAUCUUCAAUACAAAGUUCUCCAUGAUCUUCAUGGAGAUCUAUCCGAUGUAAUCUUCUAUGGCGGUGUGUUUGUCGAGAUCCGAUGAAUUGUGGAUUUGUGAUCAGAUUAUCUAUGAUAUAUAUUUGAGUCUUUGCUGAUUUCUUAUAUGCAUGAUUUGAUAUCCUUGUAAGUCUCUCCGAGUCUUGGCUUUUGUUUGGCCAACUAGAUCUAUGAUUCUUGCAAUGGGAGAAGUGAUUGGUUUUGGGUUCUUACCAUGUGGUGACCUUUCCCAGUGACAGUAGGGGCAGCAAGACACACAUUGAGUGUUUGCCAUCAAGGGUAACAAGGUGGGCUCUGUCGUUGAUAUGAGAUUGUCCAUCUACAUCAUGUCAUCUUGCUUAAGGCGUUACUCUGUUCUUUUGGACUUAAUACACUAGAUGAAUGCUGAAUAGCGGUCGAUGUUGGAGUAAUAGUAGUAGAUGCAGACAUUAUUGGUCUACUUGUUUUGGACGUGAUGCCUAUAGAUACAAUCAUUGCCAUAGAUGACGUCACGACUUUGCGCGGUUCUAUCAAUUGCUCGACAAUAAUUUGUUCACCCACCAUCUACUUGCUUUCAUGAGAGAAGUCACUAGUAAACACUACGAUCCCCGAGUCUAUUCACAUCUAUCGUUUACACCUCCGCUUUUACUUUGCUUUGUUACUUUGUUGCUUUCAUAUCUCACUUUGCGAACAAUCUAUAAGGGAUUGACAAAUCCUUCAUAGCGUUGCGAGCAGGUUCUUUGUGUUUGUGCAGGCACUUGUGAUACUCCUUCACUGGAUCGAUACCUUGGUUCUCAAAACUGAGGGAAAUAUUUACCACCGCUACGCUACAUCACCCUUUCCGCUUCGAGGGAACACCAACGCAAGGCUCCAAGGCUGCGGGGAAAUCCUUUGCUUAUUUGCCUAGUAAGUCCCUAAAGGCGUAGCCGUAGCAGAAGGAUUCCUGAUGUCGUUGUUGAGGAGAAUCAAGACAAGAACAGUCUCCCGUCAGCACGUGUUUCUGGCGCCGUUGGAAGGUCAUUUGUUGCAGUAGCAAGCACAUAGAGCAAAAUUAUCUAGAUCAAAAGAUAUAAGUGAAGCACUAUGAGCAUUCUAGCAAAAUCACGAUGAGUGCAUGUCUCUCUCUAAAGGUGUGCAGCAAGGAUGACUGUGACACAACAAAAAGAAAAGACUCCUACGAUACAAGACGCUCUAAGCAAAACACAUAUCAUGUGAUGAAUAAAAAUAUAGCUCCAAGUAAUGUUACCGAUGGAUUAAAGACGAAAGAGGGGAUGCCUUCCCGGGGCAUCCCCAAGCUUAGGAUUUUUGGUGUCCUUUAAUUUGGCUUGGGAUGCCUUGGACAUCCCCAAGCUUGAGCUCUUUCCACUCCUUAUUUCUUUGUCCAUGAGAACAUCACCCAAAACUUGAAAACUUCACAACACAAAACUUAAACAGAAACUCGUGAUAACAUUAGCACAAGAAAACAAACUACCACCACUUUAGGUACUGUAGCAAUCUUGAUUCAUAUUUAUAUUGGUGUUAGAUUACUGUAUUCUCACUUUUCCAUGGCUAGUACCCCCCGAUACUAUUCAUAGUUUCAUCAAAACAAGCAACCAACUCAACAAAAACAGAAUCUGUCAAAAACAGACCAGUUUGUAGCAAUCUGUAUGCUUCGUAUACUUCUGUUACCUCAAAAAUUCUUAACUAUUACGACUGCCUGGGAAAAAGGCAUAUAAACUAGAAGCAAAAAGAAUCAACUCAAAAUCUCUUUCUGAAUAAAAAUAAAAAAUCAUCUCGUGAGAAAAAAGUUUCUGUCUUUUUCCAGCAGGAUCAAACAACCAUCACCAAGUCUAGUCAUAAAGGUUUUGCUUGGCUCAAACACAAAAAGAAACACAAAAGACACAAUCAUAGAAUUAUGAUGGUGUGGACGCAACAAAACAGAAAGAAAAAGAAAUAAAUUCAUUGGGUUGCCUCCCAACAAGCGCUAUUGUUUAACGCCCUUAGCUAGGCAUAAGGCGAUAGUAUCGUCGUCUUUGGUGCUCAAACCAUAAGUAGCGUGAUCACUUAUCAUCUUAAGGUUUUCAUCUUUCUUGCUAGAUGAUUCACCACUAUUUUUGGGAACAAAAAUAGACUUGGUGACCUUAUUGUGGGCAAAAUUUGGAGUAUUCUGCACAGCGGCAAAAGCGGAACCCAAGUUGGUUAUAACAUCCUCUAGUUUGCCAAUCCUAGCGGAAUCAUGACCUAGUUUUUCGUUAACUGUAGGUUCCUUCUCCUUUAAAUUUUUCAAAACCAUUCCCACCUUGGAUCCGUACCGAGUGAUUUGGUUGUGGAUCUUUUUAUCCAAAUUCUCAAUGAUUUCGAUCGUAGCAACUUUAUUUUCAAUGACGUCCAGCCUACGCAUCACAUGUUCCAGAGUUAAGGUAGUUCCAUUAACCAUGAGUGGGGGUGAGCCUGCCAAAUUUAUUACAGCUCCGUAAGAAUCAACGGUAUGGCUAUCUAAGAAAUUUCCACCUACGAUGGUGUCAAGAAUAUACUUAUGCCAAGGAGAAACACCCACAUAAAAACUGGGAAGCAGGACGGUAGUGGAUUGCUUAUGAGUAGAUCUACUCUGAGCAUUGCAAAUCCUAUACCAAGCGUCCUUUAAGUUUUCUUCCUCAAUUUAUUUGAAAUUGAGAACUUUGUUCUCGGGAGUAUCGUUCGAAGUGGUGGAUCUAGCAUGAGGACAGGUAGACUAUCCCACACAAAUGAACAGAAAGCAAGCGAGAGAAAAUGGCGAACAAAAAAUGCAAACGAAAAAGGCAAAUACUUUUUUGUAAAUUUUUGCUUUUCAGAAGUGGAGGAGAGGAAAACGAGAGGCAAAAAAGUAAAUGCAAGAGAUGAAUUUGCGACACUUACUUGGAUGAGUUCUUGACUUGAUCCUCCCCGGCAAAGGUGCCAGAAAUCCUUCUGGUACUUCUCAAACAACAGCGCCAGAAUUUGACACAUUGACGGAGACUUGCUUGCGUUGGUUUUUCCCUUGAAGAGAAAGGGUGAUGCAGCACAGGAGCAGUAAGUAUUUCCCUCAGUUUGAGAACCAAGGUAUCAAUCCAGUAGGAGAAUCCCGUCAAGUCCAGAGUACCUGCGCAAACACAAAAGAGCUUGCACCCAACGCUAUAAAGGGUUGUCAAUCCUUCAAGAUUUAUUGCAAAGUGAGAUCUGAAGGCGAAAAGUGCAACGAAGAAAAAGAGUAAGGCUGAAAAUAUGGUGUGGAGUAGACCCCGGGGCCAUAGUGUUCACUAGAAGCUUCUCUCAAAAUAGCAAAUAUUACGGUGGGUGAACAAAUUAGUGUCGAGCAAUUGAUAGAACCGCGCAAAGUCAUGACGAUAUCUAAGGCAAUGAUCAUACAUAUAGGCAUCACGUCCGAGACAAGUAGACCGAUACUUUCUGCAUCUACUACUAUUACUCCACACAUCGACCGCUAUCCAGCAUGCAUCUAGCGUAUUGAGUUCAUGACGAAUAGAGUAACGCCUUAAGCAAGAUGACAUGAUGUAGAGGGAUAAACUCAAACCAAUGAUGAAAACCCCAUCUUUUUACCCUUGAUGGCAACAACACGAUGCGUGCCUCGCUACCCCUUCUGUCACUGGGUGAGGUCACCGCACGGUAUGAACCCAAAACCAAGCACUUCUCCCAUUGCAAGAAUCAUAGAUCUAGUUGGCCAAACAAAACCCACAACUCGAAGAGAAUUACAAGGAUAUGAAAUCAUGCAUAAGAGAGAUCAGAAGAAACUCAAAUAAGAUUCAUAGAUAAUCUGAUCAAAAAUCCACAAUUCAUCGGAUCUCGACAAACACACCGCAAAAUAAGAUUACAUUAGUUAGAUCUCCAUGAAGAUCAUGGAGAACUUUGUAUUGAAGAUCCAAGAGAGAGAAGAAGCCAUCUAGCUACUAGCUAUGGACCCGUAGGUCUAUGGUGAACUACUCACGCAUCAUCGGAGAGGUCAUUGUGUUGAUGAAGAAGCCCUUCGUAUCCGAAUCCCCCCUCCGGCAGGGCACCAGAACGUGCCCCAGAUGGGAUCUUGCGGAGACAGAAGCUUGCAGCGGCGGAAAAGUACUUUCGAUGAUCUCCUGAUUUUUUCUGGGAUUUUAGGGAAUAUAUAGGCGAACGACCUAGGGCAAAGGUGCCUGAUGACCCACAAGUAUAUGGGAUCAAUCGUAGUCCUUUCGAUAAGUAAGAGUGUCGAACCCAACGAGGAGCAGAAGGCUCUGAUAAAAGGAUUUCAGCAAGGUAAUAACUGCAAGCACUGAAAGUAGCGGUAACAAGUGAUGGUGUAGCUAGGUGAAACGUAGCGAGCAAAAACUAACAAGUAACAAGUAGUAGCAACGGUGCAGCAAGUGGCCCAAUCCCUUUUGCAGCAAGGGACAAGCCUGAACAAAGUCUUAUAGGAGGAAAAAUGCUCCGGAGGACACACGGGAAUUUCUGUCAUGCUAGUUUCAUCAUGCUCAUAUGAUUCGCGUUCGUUACUUUGAUAGUUUGAUAUGUGGGUGGACCGGCGCUUGGGUACUGCCCUUACUUGGACAAGCAUCCCACUUAUGAUUAACCUCUCUCGCAAGAAUCCGCAACUACAGAAGAAGAAUUAAGACAAAGUCUAACCAUAGCAUUAAACUAGUGCAUCCAAAUCAGUCCCUCACGAAGCAACACAUAGACUAGGGUUUAAGCUUAUGUCACUCCAGCAACCCAUCAUCUACUUACUACUUCCUAAUGCCUUCCUCUAGGCCCAAAUAUGGUGAAGUGUUAUGUAGUCGACGUUCACAUAACACCACUAGAGGAAAAGACAACAUACAUCAUAUCAAAAUACCGAACGAAUAUCAAAUUCACAUGACUAUUAUUAACAUGACUUAUCCCAUGUCCUCAGGAACAAAAGUAACUACUCACAAAACAUAAUCAUAAUCAUGAUCGGAGGUGUAAUGAAUAGCAUCAAGGAUCUGAACAUAAACUCUUCCACCAAGUAAUCCAACUAGCAUCAACUACAAAGAGUAAUCAACACUACUAGCAACCUUACAAGUAUCAAUCGGAGUCGUGAGACGAAGAUUGGUUACAAGAGAUGAACUAGGAUUGGAGAGGGGAUGGUGCUGAUGAAGAUGUUGAUAGAUGCCUCCCCUCCGACGAAAGGAGUGUUGGUGAUGAUGAUGGCGACGAUUUCCCCCUCCGGGAGGGAAGUUUCCCCGGCAGGAUCGUCCUGCCGGAGCUCUAGAUUGGAUCUGCUCAAGUUCCGCCUCGUGGCGCUGGCAAAACCACGAAAAAGCUCCCCUCUGAUUUUUUCUGGACCAAGACGCUUCAUAUAGCAAAAGAGGGGGGCUAGUGGGCCGUCAGGGAGCCUACAAGCCCCCACUCCGCCACCAGGGGGUGGCGGUGUCAGGGCUUGUGGCGCCCUGGCAGCCCCCCUCCGGUAGUUCUUUCGCCCAGUAUUUUUUAUAUAAUCCCAAAAAAAUCCACGCAACUUUUCAGGGCAUUUGGAGAUGUGUAGAAUACUGGACUAGGAUUUGCUCCUUUUCUAGUCCAGAAUUCCAGCUGCCUGAAUUCUCCCUCUUCAAACAAACCUUGCAAAAUAAGAGAGAAAAUGCAUAAAUAUGGUACCACAAGUAAUAAAACAUCCCAAAACGCAAUAAAUAUCAACAUGAAAGCAUGAUGCAAAAUGGACUUAUCAACUCCCCCAAGCUUAGACCUCGCUUGUCCUCAAGUGAAAACCAAGUUCCAUAAACAUGUCCACAUGUUGAGGGACGAAGGUGUCGAUAAAACAUAAUACUGACAUAAGGGCAUCAUGAUCAUACAUAGGACAGCAAUACAUCAUAAAGAUUCUUAUGGGAAAGUAACAAUUCCUUCACAAAGCAAAGCAUCAAUCAAAAACCUUACCGUGAAGUAACCAACAAUAGUCCAUAGUCAUUGAAGCAAUUGCAAUUUAUCACAACAUCAGAAAGAGUCAAAUAAGAGCUUGUAAGGCAAACCCACAUACUCAAUCAUCUCUUUUGUUUUCCACAAUUGUUACAACUCACGUGGUACUCAUGGUGUCAAAGUUUCAGCUGGACACAGAGGAAGAUAGGGGCUUAUAGUUUUGCCUCCCAACCAUUUACCUCAAGGCUAAAGUCAACAACAAUAAAGCAUAAGUACUCAACUCCAAGUUGAUAUAUGAAUAUAGAUCUUUCCCAAGCAUGUGACGGUAGCCAAGACAAAGGCAAAGAUAGGGAAUUGGUGAUGAUCACCAUGACUCUUACAAGGGCAAAAAGUAAAGGUACAAGAUAGGCCCUUCGCAGAGGGAAGCAUAGGUUCUCAUGCGCUUUUGAGGUUUGAAUGUGUGUCCUCUUAGUGCGGAGGAACUUCACUUUAUAUUGCCUCCUGUGAUAAAGAACUUUAUUAUGCAGUCUGUCGCUUUUAUGUCUUCCUCAUCACAGGUUCGUACAAAGCUUAUUUUCCACACACUAAUAGAUCAUACAUAUUAGAUAGCAAUUUUUAUUGCUUGCACCGAUGACAACUUACUUGAAGGAUCUUAUUCAAUCCAUAGGUAGGUAUGGUGGACUCUCAUGGCAAAACUGGGUUGGAGGUUUAAGGAUUCACAAGUAGUAUCUCUACUUGAUGCGGGAGUUUUGGCUAAUAUGAGGUGGAAGAAAUCGUCACAUGCUAAGGGAUCUCUAAUCAUAUAACAUUGUUUGGAACCAAGCAAACACAAUUCAUUAUGUUGUCUUCCUUGUCCAACAUCUACUCCUAAGCAUGCAAUAGUUUGGUGAGUGCUCACAAUUGUAAAAAGUGUCUAAGAUGAUAUAUUUAUAUGUGAACCUCUCUUUCCUUAUUACUUCUUAUUAAUUGCAACAAUGACUGAGGUCUAUGUUGAUUUAUUCUCAACAAGUUUCAAUCAUCAUACGUGCCAUAUGUGAAGCUAUCACUUUCCAUAAGAUCGUCUCAUGAUCUUUCAUGCUAUCGUUCUUUUCACACUAUUGAUCAUGGCACAAAGCAAAGUCCUUGACUAAGACACUCUUUAUUAUAUAGCUCGUAAGUUCGAAUACAUCGGGAGAGACAAAAGCAAAAGAUUCAAACUAAACACUAAAGACUUAUUCCUCUAAGAGAAGAAAUAAAAACUGAAAAGGAAAGAACUAAAACAAAGGUAAAAGCAAAAGAUAUAAAGGUGAUACGAUACCAGGGAAACUCCCCCAAGCUUGGCAGAAGCCAAGGGGAUUGCCCAUACCAAUGCUUAGUUGUCUUCCUUUGUUGGUGAUGGUGGUGUUGUUGUCGCCUUUGAUUCCAAGAGAGCUAUCAAUCUUUGAUUUAUACCUUUGAGAUCUGUGACAUGGUUUUCCAGCAAAACAACUUCACGAGAAAGAGAAAUAUUGCGAGCACGAGUUGUUUCGCAAAACCUCAAGAGUUCAAUCAAGGAUGGAGACAACACAUGGAGGAAGGGUUGGAGAAAAUCUACUCCUUCAACGUCUUCAAUGUUGAACAUAGGUUGAACUUCCUCCCUAGCUUGGGUUUUCUCCUUAGCUUGGUCACUGGCUUCCGUGACUUCUACUCUUUUCAGAUCUGCAUGUACUUCAUCAUGAACUUGGUGAAGAUCAUUCUCCCCAACAGAUUCCUGAGACAUCUUUGCUGCAAAUCUGCGGCAGAAAACAAGCUCGAAACGAAAACAGAGGAAAACUACGCGAUACGGAGAUCAAAACCUUCGGGCGACUAUAUAUUGAUUUUUUCUGGGCCAGAAGGAGUCCUCGGCAAGAAAACAGAGUCCGGGAGGCACACGAGGUGCCCACAAGCUUGCCCUCCGCCACCAGGGGGUAGGGGGCGGUGGAAGGGCUUGUGGCCGCCUCGUUCGCUCUCCGGACUGCUUUUUAUUUUUCUAAUUUUCCAAAAAUUCCAAAACGGAAGAAAUUUCCUAUUGGAAAAUCAUCGGAGUGCAAUUUCUUACCGAAACAGAUACAUCUUCGUUUUCAAGGUCUGAAACAGGCUGAUAAACAUCCCUUAUAUACUCCUCUGGAGUUAUGACAUUGAUGACAUUGGUCUCAAUAUUUAUGGGAGUAUGAUGACCCACAAAUAUAGGGGAUCAAUCGUAGUCCUUUCGAUAAGUAAGAGUGUCGAACCCAACGAGGAGCAGAAGGCUCUGAUAAACGGAUUUCAGCAAGGUAAUAACUGCAAGCACUGAAAGUAGCGGCAACAAGUCAUUGUGUAGCGAGGUGAAACGUAGCAAGCAAAAAGUAAUAAGUAACAAGUAGUAGCAAUGGUGCAGCAAGUGGCCCAAUCCCUUUUGUAGCAAGGGACAAGCCUGAAAAAAGUCUUAUAGGAGGAUAAACGCUCCCGAGGACACACGGGAAUUUCUGUCAUGCUAGUUUCAUCAUGUUCAUAUGAUUCGCGUUCGUUACUUUGAUAGUUUGAUAUGUGGGUGGACUGGCGCUUGGGUACUGCCCUUACUUGGACAAGCAUCCCACUUAUGAUUAACCUCUCUCGCAAGCAUCCGCAACUACAAAAGAAGAAUUAAGACAAAGUCUAACCAUAGCAUUAAACUAGUGGAUCCAAAUCAGCCCCUUACGAAGCAACACAUAGACUGGGGUUUAAGCUUCUGUCACUCCAACAACCCAUCAUCUACUUACUACUUCCCAAUGCCUUCCUCUAGGCCCAAAUAUGGUGAAGUGUUAUGUAGUCGACGCUCACAUAACACCACUAGAGGAAAAACAACAUACAACAUAUCAAAAUACCAAACGAAUAUCAAAUUCACAUGACUAUUAUUAACAUGACUUAUCCCAUGUCCUCAGGAACAAAAGUAACUACUCACAAAACAUAAUCAUAAUCAUGAUCAGAGGUGUAAUGAAUAGCAUCAAGGAUCUGAACAUAAACUCUUCCACCAAGUAAUCCAACAAGCAUCAACUACAAAGAGUAAUCAACACUACUAGCAACCUUACAAGUACCAAUCGGAGUUGCGAGACGAAGAUUGGUUACAAGAGAUGAACUAGGGAUUGGAGAGGAGAUGGUGCUGAUGAAGAUGUUGAUGAAGAUGCCUCCCCUCCGAUGAGAGGAGUAUUGGUGAUGACGAUGGCGACGAUCUCCCCCUCCGGGAGAGAAGUUUCCCUGGCAGGAUCGUCCUACCGGAGCUCUAGAUUGGAUCUGCUCAAGUUCCGCCUCGUGGCGGCGGCGAAACCACGAAAAAGCUCCCUCUUGAUUUUUUUUCUGGACCAGGACGCUUCAUAUAGCAAAAGAGGGGGCUAGUGGGCCGUCAGGGAGCCCACAAGCCCCCACUCCGCCACCAGGGGGGUGGCGGUGUCAGGGCUUGUGGCGCCCUGGCAGCCCCCCUUCGGUAGUUCUUUCGCCCAGUAUUUUUUAUAUAAUCCAGAAAAAAUCCACGUAACUUUUCAGGCCAUUUGGAGUUGUGCAAAAUAGUGGACUAGGAUUUGCUCCUUUCUUAGUCCAGAAUUCCAGCUGCCUGAAUACUCCCUCUUCAAAUAAACCUUGCAAAAUAAGAGAGAAAAGGCAUAAAUAUGGUACCACAAGUAAUAUAACAGCCCAAAAGGCAAUAAAUAUGAACAUGAAAGCAUGAUGCAAAAUGGACGUAUCAACUACCCCAAGCUUAGACCUCGCUUGUCCUCAAGCGAAAACCAAGUUCCAUAAACACGUCCACAUGUUUAGGGAUGAAGGUGUCGAUAAAACAUAAUACGGACAUGAGGGCAUCAUGAUCACACAUAGAACAACAAUACAUUAUAAAGAUUCUUAUGGAAAAGUAGCAAUUCCUUCACAAAGCAAAGCAUGAAUCAAAAACCUUACCGAGAAGUAACCAACAAUAAUCCAUAUUCAUUGAAGCAAUUGCAAUUUAUCACAACAUCAGAAAGAGUCAAAUAAGAGCUUGUAAGGCAAACCCACAUACUCAAUCAACUCAUUUGUUUUCCACAAUUGUUACAACUCACGUGGUACUCAUGGUGUCAAAGUUUCAGUUGGACACAGAGGAAGAUAGGGGCUUAUAGUUUUGCCUCCCAAUGGUUUACCUCACGGGUAAAGUCAAAAACAAUAAAGCAUGAGUACUCAACUCCAAGUUGAUAUAUGAAUAUAGAUAUUUCCCAAGCAUGUGACGGUAGCCAAGACAAAGGCAAAAAGGGAAUUGGUGAAGAUCACCAUGACUCUUUCAAGGGCAAAAAGUAAAGAUACAAGAUAGGCCCUUCGCAGAGGGAAGCAGAGGUUGUCAUGCGAUUUUGAGGUUUGAAUGCGUGUCCUCUUAGUGCGGAGGAACGUCACUUUAUAUUGCCUCCUGUGAUAAAGAACUUUAUUAUGCAGUCUGUCGCUUUUAUGUCUUCCUCAUCACAGGUUCGUACAAAGCUUAUUUUCCACACACUAAUAGAUCAUACAUAUUAGAGAGCAAUAUUUAUUGCUUGCACUGAUGACAACUUACUUGAAGGAUCUUAUUCAAUCCAUAGGUAGGUAUGGUGGACUCUCAUGGCAAAACUGGGUUGGAGGUUUAUGGAUGCACAAGUAGUAUCUCUACUUGGUGCAGGAGUUUUGGCUAAUAUGAGAUGGAAGAAAUCGUCACAUGCUAAGGGAUCUCUAAUCAUAUAACAUUGUUUGGAACCAAGCAAACACAAUUCAUUAUGUUGUCUUCCUUGUCCAACAUCUACUCCUAAGCAUGUAAUAGUUUGGUGAGUGCUCACAAUUGCAAAAAGUGUCUAAGAUGAUAUAUUUAUAUGUGAACCUCUCUUUCCUUAUUACUUCUUAUUAAUUGCAACAAUGACUGAGGUCUAUGUUGAUUUAUUCUCAACAAGUUUCAAUCAUCAUACGUGUCAUAAGUGAAGUUAUCACUUUCCAUAAGAUCGUCUCAUGAUCUUUCAUGCUAUCGUUCUUUUCAUACUUUUGAUCAUGGCACAAAGCAAAGCCCUUGACGAAGACACUCUUUAUUAUAUAGCUCGUAAGCUCGAAUACAUCGGGGGAGAGACAAAAGCAAAAGACUCAAACUAAAAACUAAAGACUUAUUCCUCUAAGAGAAGAAAUAAAAACUGAAAAGGAAAGAACUAAAACAAAGGUAAAAGAAAAACAUAUAAAGGUGAUACGAUACCAGGGCAACUCCCCCAAACUUAGCAGAAGCCAAGGGGAUUGCCCAUACCAAUGCUUAGUUGUCUUCCUUUGGUGGUGAUGGUGGUGUUGUUGGAGCAGUCUUGAGCUUGUCUAAUUUCCACUUGAGCAAAAAGUUCUGCUCCCUUAGAUCGUCAUUUUCCUCCUCAAGUUUCAAAACUCUAUGGCAAAGCUCCUGCUUACUCUCCUGCAAGAAACGAGAAGGGAUAAACAAGGUCUUAGGCUUCUUCCUAUGGUCAGGGAGGCUUGACUUCUUGAACUCCACAUGGGUGUUUGCUGGUUGAGGUAGAGGAGCCUCCUCUUCAUCGUAACUCGUUUGCUCCUUCCCUUUGGGCUUAUAGUCCUCUUCCUCAUCAGUGGUCCAGCCAUAUGGUUCCAAGUCCCCAUAGACCUUGGGGUUAGCAAGGUAGUCAGCCACAUAGCUCUCUCCCUUUGAAUCUUGAGAAUACAUCUUGACCUAGAUCUGCGGCAGAACAAGCUCGAAACGAAAACAGUGGAAAACUGCGCGAUACGGAGAUCAAAACCUUCGGGCGACUAUAUAUUGAUUUUUUUUUCUGGGCCAGAAGGAGUACUCCGCAAGAAAACGGAGUCCAGGAGGCACACGAGGUGCCCACAAGCUUGCCCUCCGCCACCAGGGGGUAGGGGGCGGUGGCAGGGCUUGUGGCUGCCUCGUUCGCUCUCCGGACUGCUUUUUAUUUUUCUAAUUUUCCAAAAAUUCCAAAACGGAAUAAAUUUCCUAUUGGAAAAGUAUCAGAGUCCAAUUUCUUACCGAAACAGAUACAUCUUCGUUUUCAAGGUCUGAAAUAGGCUGAUAAACAUCCCUUAUGUACUCCUCUCGAGUUAUGACAUUGAUGAUAUUGGUCUCAACAUUUAUGGGAGUACCAGAGAUGUAAUGCUUGAUUCUUUGCCCGUUUACCACUCUAGGAAAAUUUCCUUCCGUGUUAUCGAUUUCGAUGGCACCGGAACGAUAUACUUCCUUGAUAACAUAGGGACCUUCCCAUUUAGAGAGAAGCUUGCCUGCAAAGAACCUCAAACUAGAAUUGUAUAGCAAGACAUAAUCACCUACAUUGAACUCUCGUUUCUGUAUUCGUUUGUCGUGCCAUCUCUUAACCUUUUCCUUGGACAACCUGGCAUUUUCAUAUGCCUGGGCUCUCCAUGUUGGAAUUAUGCCCUAGAGGCAAUAAUAAAUGUAUAGUUAUUAUUAUAAUUCCUGUAUCAAGAUAAUAGUUUAUUAUCCAUGCUAUAAUUGUAUUGAAUGAAGACUCAUUUACAUGUGUGGAUACAUAGACAAAACACCGUCCCUAGCAUGCCUCUAGUUGGCUAGCCAGUUGAUCGAUGAUAGUCAGUGUCUUCUGAUUAUGAACAAGGUGUUGUUGCUUGAUAACUGGAUCACGUCAUUAGGAGAAUCACGUGAUGGACUAGACCCAAACUAAUAGACGUAGCAUGUUGAUCGUGUCAUUUUGUUGCUACUGUUUUCUGCGUGUCAAGUAUUUAUUCCUAUGACCAUGAGUUCAUAUAACUCACUGACACUGGAGGAAUGCUUUGUGUGUAUCAAACGUCGCAACGUAACUGGGUGACUAUAAAGAUGCUCUACAGGUAUCUCCGAAGGUGUUAGUUGAUUUAGUAUGGAUCAAGACUGGGAUUUGUCACUCCGUGUGACGGAGAGGUAUCUCGGGGCCCACUCGGUAAUACAACAUCACACACAAGCCUUGCAAGCAAUGUAACUUAGUGUAAGUUGCGGGAUCUUGUAUUACGGAACGAGUAAAGAGACUUGCCGGUAAACGAGAUUGAAAUAGGUAUGCGGAUACUGACGAUCGAAUCUCGGGCAAGUAACAUACCGAAGGACAAAGGGAAUGACAUACGGGAUUAUACGAAUCCUUGGCACUGAGGUUCAAACGAUAAGAUCUUCGUAGAAUAUGUAGGAUCCAAUAUGGGCAUCCAGGUCCCGCUAUUGGAUAUUGACCGAGGAGUCUCUCGGGUCAUGUCUACAUAGUUCUCGAACCCGCAGGGUCUGCACACUUAAGGUUCGACGUUGUUUUAUGCGUAUUUGAGUUAUAUGGUUGGUUACCGAAUGUUGUUCGGAGUCCCGGAUGAGAUCACGGACGUCACGAGGGUUUCCGGAAUGGUCCGGAAACGAAGAUUGAUAUAUAGGAUGACCUCAUUUGAUUACCGGAAGGUUUUCGGAGUUACCGGGAAUGUACCGGGAAUGACGAAUGGGUUCCGGGAGUUCACCGGAAGGGGGCAACCCACUCCGGGGAAGCCCAUAGGCAUUUGGGGGGUCACACCAGCCCUUAGUGGGCUGGUGGGACAGCCCACCAAUCCCCUAUGCGCCAAGAAAGAAAAAAUCAAAGGAGAGAAAAAAAAAAGGAAGAAGUGGGAAGGGGGAAGGACUCCCUCCCACCAAACCAAGUAGGACUCGGUUUGGGGGGGAGAGUCCUCCCCCCUGGCUCGGCCGACCCCUUGGGGAUCCCUUGGACCCCAAGGCAAGGUCCCCCUCGCUCCUCCUAUAUAUAUGGGGCUUUUAGGGCAGAUUUGAGACGACUUUCUCAUGGCUGCCCGACCACAUACCUCCAUAGUUUUUCCUCUAGAUCGUGUUUCUGCGGAGCUCGGGCGGAGCCCUGCUGAGACAAGAUCAUCACCAACCUCCGGAGCGCCGUCACGCUGCCGGAGAACUCUUCUACCUCUCCGUCUCUCUUGCUGGAUCAAGAAGGCCGAGAUCAUCGUCGAGCUGUACGUGUGCUGAACGCGGAGGUGCCGUCCGUUCGGCACUAGAUCGUGGGACUGAUCGCGGGAUUGUUCGCGGGGCGGAUCGAGGGACGUGAGGACGUUCCACUACAUCAACCGCGUUCUCUAACGCUUCUGCUGUACGAUCUACAAGGGUACGUAGAUCACUCAUCCCCUCUCGUAGAUGGACAUCACCAUGAUAGGUCUUCGUGCGCGUAGGAAAAUUUUUGUUUCCCAUGCGACGUUCCCCAACAGUGGCAUCAUGAGCUAGGUUAAUGCGUAGAUGUCUUCUCGAGUAGAACACAAAAGGUUUUGUGGGCGGUGAUGUGCGUUUUGCUGCCCUCCUUAGUCUUUUCUUGAUUCCGCGGUAUUGUUGGAUUGAAGCGGCUUGGACCGACAUUACUCGUACGCUUACGAGAGACUGGUUUCAUCGUUACGAGUAACCCCCUUUGCUCAAAGAUGACUGGCAAGUGACGGUUUCUCCAACUUUAGUUGAAUCGGAUUUGACCGAGGAGGUCCUUGGAUGAGGUUAAAUAGCAACUCAUAUAUCUCCGUUGUGGUGUUUGCGUAAGUAAGAUGCGAUCCUACGAGAUACCCUUGGUCACCACGUAAAACAUGCAACAACAAAAUUAGAGGACGUCUAACUUGUUUUUGCAGGCUAUGAUUGUGAUGUGAUAUGGCCAAUGAUGUGAUGUGAUAUAUUGGAUGUAUGAGAUGAUCAUGUUGUAAUAGAAAUAUCGACUUGCACGUCGAUGGUACGGCAACCGGCAGGAGCCAUAGGGUUGUCUUUAUACUAACAUAUGUGCUUGCAGAUGCGUUUACUAUUUUGCUAGGAUGUAGCUUUAGUAGUAAUAGCAUAAGUAGCACGACAACCCCGAUGGCAACACGUUGAUGGAUGAUCAUGGUGUGGCGCCGGUGACAAGAAGAUCGUGCCGGUGCUUUGGUGAUGGAGAUCAAGAAGCACGUGAUGAUGGCCAUAUCAUGUCACUUAUGAAUUGCAUGUGAUGUUAAUCCUUUUAUGCACCUUAUUUUGCUUAGAACGACGGUAGCAUUAUGAGGUGAUCUCUCACUAAAAUUUCAAGACGAAAUUGUGUUCUCCCCGACUGUGCACCGUUGCGACAGUUCUUCAUUUCGAGACACCACGUGAUGAUCGGGUGUGAUAGACUCAACGUUCACAUACAACGGGUGCAAAACAGUUGCACACGCGGAACACUCGGGUUAAGCUUGACGAGCCUAGCAUGUGCAGACAUGGCCUCGGAACACAUGAGACCGAAAGGUCGAGCAUGAAUCGUAUAGUUGAUAUGAUUAGCAUAGAGAUGCUUACCACUGAAACUAUUCUCGACUCACGUGAUGAUCGGACUUGAGAUAGUGGAUUUGGAUCAUGUACCACUCAAAUGACUAGAGAGAUGUACUUUUUGAGUGGGAGUUCUUAAGUAAUAUGAUUAAUUGAACUAAUUGUCAUGAACAUAGUCUAAUGGUCUUUGCGAAUUACGAUGUAGCUUGCGCUAUAGCUCUACUGUUUUUAUAUGUUCCUAGAGAAAAUUUAGUUGAAAAUUGAUAGUAGCAACCUUUGCAGACUGAGUCUGUAAAACCGAGGAUUGUCCUCGUUGCUACGCAGAAGGCUUAUGUCCUUAAUGCACCACUCGGUGUGCUGCACCUCGAGCGUCGUCUGUGGAUGCUAUGAACAUCCGACAUACACGUUACUGAUGACUACACGAUAGUUCAGUGCAAGAUACUUGAUGGCUUAGAAGCAAGGCGCCGAAAACGUCACGGAACAUAAGUGAUGUUCCGAAGAGAUGAAAUUGUGAUUUCAUGCUUGUGCCCUUGUUAAGAGGUACGAGACCUCCAAACAAGAAUCUUUGUCCACAAAGUAAAAGAGAAAAGCUCAAUCGUUGAGCGUGUGCUCAGAUUGUCUGAGUGCGACAAUCGCUUGAAUCAAGUGGGAGUUAAUCUUCCAAAUGAGAUAGUGACGGUUCUCCAAAGUCACUGCCACCAAGCUAUGAGAGCUUCGUGAUGAACUAUAACAUAUCAAGGAUAGAUACUAUGAUCUUUUGAGUGAUUCGCGAUGUUUGACACUGCGAAAGUAGAAAUCAAGAAGGAGCAUCAAUAGUUGAUGGUUAGUAAAACCACUAAGUUUCAAGAAAGGCAAGGGCUAGAAGGGAUACUUCGUGAAACGGCAAAACAGUUGCUGCACUAAUGAAGAGACCCAAGAUUAAACCCAAACCCGAGACUAAGUGCUUCUGUAAUGAGGGGAACAAUCACUGAGGCGGAGCAACUCAAGAUACUUGGUAGAUAAGAAGGCUGGCAAAAGUCGAAAGAAGUGUAUUUGAUAUACAUGAUGUUGAUGUGUACUUUACUAGUACUCCUAGUAGCACGAGGGUAUUGGAUACCGGUUCGGUUGCUAAGUGAUUAGUGACGCGAAAUGAAAGCUACGGCAUAAACGGAGACUAGCUAAAGGCGAGGUGACGAUGCGUGUUGGAAGUGUUUCCAAGAUUGAUAUGAUCAAACGUCGCACGCUCCCUCUACCAUCGGGAUUGGUGUUAAACCUAAAUAAUUGUUAUUUGGUGCUUGCAUUAAGCAUGAACAUGAUUGGAUCGUGUUUAUUGCAAUACGAUUAUUCAUUUAAAGAGAAUAAUGGUUACUCUAUUUUCUUGAAUAAUCACCUUCAAUGGUUUAUUGAAUCUCGAUCGUAGUGUUACACAUGUUCAUGAUAUUGGUGCCAAAAGAUACGAGUUGAUGAUGAUAGUACCACUUACUUGUGGCACUGCCGCUUGAGUCAUGUUAGUAUAAAUUGCAUGAAGAGGCUCCAUGCUGAUGGAUCUUUGUACUCACCUGAUUUCGAAUCACUAGUGACAUGCGAAUCAUACCACAUGACCAAGGCCUUGUUUUCAUUGAGAUGAAAUAAGAUAGUAACUUGUUGGAAGUGAUACAUUUUGAUGUAUGCAGUCCAAUGGGUGCUGAGGCACGCAGUGGAUAUCAUUAUGUUCUUACUUCACUGACGAUUUGAGUAGAUACUAGAGUAUUUACUUAAUGAAUCACAAGUUUGAAAUAUUGAAAAGUUCAAUUCUGUUUCAGAGUGAAGUUCGUCGUAAUAAGAGGAUAAACUGUCUACGAUAUGAUCAUAGAAAUGAAUAUCUGAGUUACGAGUUUUGGUACGCAGUUAAGACAAUGUGGAAGUUGUUUCGCAGUUCAUGCCACCUGGAACAUCAUAGUGUGAUGAUGUGUCUGAACAUCAUAGCCACGCACUAUUUGGUAUGAUGCAUAAUAUGAUGUCUCUUAUCGAAUUACCACUAUCGUUUAUGGGUUAUGCAUUAGAGACAACCGCACUCACUUUAAAUAGGGCACCGCGUAUUUCCGUUGAGAUGACACAGUAUAGACUGAGGUUUAGAGAAAUCUAAACUGUCGUUUCUUGAAAGUUUGGGGUUUCGACACUUAUGUGAAAAAGUUUCAGUCUGAUAAGCUCGAACCCAAAGCGGAUAAAUGCAUCUUCAUAGGAUAUCCAAAACAGUUGGGUACAUCUCCUAUCUCAGAUCCGAAAGCAAAGUGUUUGUUUCUAGAAACGGAUCCUUUCUCGAGGAAAGGUUUCUCUCGAAAGAAUUGAGUGGGGGGGGGGGGGUAGUAGAACUUGAUGAGGUUAUUGAACCAUCACUUCAACCAGUGUGUAGCAGGGCGUAGGAAGUUGUUCCUGUGGCGCCUACACCAAUUGAAGUGGAAGCUGAUGAUGGUGAUCAUUGAGCUUCGAAUCAAGUUACUACAAACCUCGUAGGUCGACAAGGUCGCAUACUGCUGCAGAGUAGUACGGUAACCCUGUCUUGGAGGUCAUGUUGUUGAGCAACAGUGAACCUACGAGUUAUGGAGAAAGCGAUGGUGGGCCCAGAUUCCGACAAAUGGCUGGAAGCCAUGAAAUCCGAGAGAGGAUCCAUGUGUGAAAACAAAGUGAAGACUUUGGUAGAACUACUUGAUGGUCAUAGGACUAUUGAGUGAAAAUGGAUCUUUAAAGGAAGACAGACGAUGAUGGUGAUAAGUCACUAUUAAGAAAGGCUAGACUUGUCGCAAAGAUGUUUUCGACAAGAUCAAACAGUUGACUCUGAUGAGACUUUCUCACUCGUAGCGAUGCUAAAGGUCUGUUAGAGUUAUGUUAGUUGUUGAUGCAUUGUUUAUGAAAUAUUGCACGUAGGAUAUCAAAACAUUGUUUUCUCGACGGUUUCCUUGAGCAAACAUUGUAUGUGAUACAACCAGAAGGUUUUGUCGAUCCUAAAGAUACUAGCAAGUAUGCGAGCUCCAGCGAUCCUUCAAUGGACCGGUGCAAGCAUCUCGGAGUUGGAAUGUAUAUACUUUGAUGAGAUGAUCAAAGAUUUUGGGUUUGUACAAGGUUUAUGAGAAACUUGUAUUUCUAAAGAAGUGAGUGGGAGCACUAUAGAAUUUCUGAUAAGUAUAUGUGGUUGACAUAUUGUGGAUGAGAAGUAAUGUAGAAUUUCUGUAAAGCAUACAAGGUUGUUUGAAAGGAGUUUUUCAAAGGAAAUACCUAGAUUGCGCUACUUGAACGUUGAGCAUCAAAGAUCUAUGGAGAUAGAUUGAAAGCGCUUAAUAGAAGUUUCAACAAGAUGCAUGCCUUGACAAGUUUUUGAAGGAGUUCAAAAUAGAUCAACAAAGAAGGAGUUCUUGGUUGCGUUGUAAGGUGUGAAUUUGAGUAAGACUCAAAACCCGACCACGGCAGAAUAAAGAGAAUAGACGAAGGUCGUAUUCUAUGCCUUAGCCGUAGAAUCUAAAGUAUGCCAUGCUGUGUACCGCACCUGAUGUGUGCCUUGACUCAAAGUCUGUUGAGAGGUACAGAGAGUGAUCCAUGAUUGAAUCACUAGCAGCGGUCAAAAUUUAUCCUUAGUAACAAAUGGACUGAGGAAUUUUUCUCGAUUAUGGAGGUGGUUAAAGAGUUCGUCGUAAAGGGUUACGUUGAUGCAAGCUUUGACACUAAUCCGAAUAACUAUGGGUAGUGAAACGGAUUCAUACAGUAGAGUAGAUGUUUGGAGCAUUUCCGAAUAGCACGUAGUAGCAGCAUCUAUAAGAUGACAUAAAGAUUUGUAAAGAACGCACGGAUCUGAAAGUUUCAGAACCGUUGACUAAAAACCUCUCUCACGAGCAAGACGUGAUCAGACCCCAUAACUAUACGGGUGUUGGAUUCGUUGGAAUAACAUGGUGAUGUGAACUAGAUUAUUGACUCUAGUGCAAGUGGGAGACUGUUGGAAAUAUGCCCUAGAGGCAAUAAUAAAUUAGUUAUUAUUAUAUUUCUUAGUUCAUGAUAAUCGUUUAUUAUCCAUGCUAUAAUUGUAUUGAUUGGAAACACAAUACUUGUGUGGAUACAUAGACAAAACACUGUCCCUAGUAAGCCUCUAGUUGACUAGCUCGUUGAUCAAAGAUGGUCAAGGUUUCCUGGCCAUAGGCAAGUGUUGUCACUUGAUAACGGGAUCACAUCAUUAGGAGAAUCAUGUGAUGGACUAGACCCAAACUAAUAGACGUAGCAUGUUGAUUGUGUCAUUUUGUUGCUACUGUUUUCUGCGUGUCAAGUAUUUAUUCCUAUGACCAUGAGAUCAUAUAACUCACUAACACCGGAGGAAUUCUUUGUGUGUAUCAAACGUCGCAACGUAACUGGGUGACUAUAAAGAUGCUCUACAGGUAUCUCCGAAGGUGUUAGUUGAUUUAGUAUGGAUCAAGACUGGGAUUUGUCACUCCGUGUGACGGAGAGGUAUCUCGGGGCCCACUCGGUAAUACAACAUCACACACAAGCCUUGCAAGCAAUGUAACUUAGUGUAAGUUGCGGGAUCUUGUAUUACGGAACGAGUAAAGAGACUUGCCGGUAAACGAGAUUGAAAUAGGUAUGCGGAUACUGACGAUCGAAUCUCGGGCAAGUAACAUACCGAAGGACAAAGGGAAUGACAUACGGGAUUAUACGAAUCCUUGGCACUGAGGUUCAAACGAUAAGAUCUUCGUAGAAUAUGUAGGAUCCAAUAUGGGCAUCCAGGUCCCGCUAUUGGAUAUUGACCGAGGAGUCUCUCGGGUCAUGUCUACAUAGUUCUCGAACCCGCAGGGUCUGCACACUUAAGGUUCGACGUUGUUUUAUGCGUAUUUGAGUUAUAUGGUUGGUUACCGAAUGUUGUUCGGAGUCCCGGAUGAGAUCACCGACGUCACGAGGGUUUCCGGAAUGGUCCGGAAACGAAGAUUGAUAUAUAGGAUGACCUCAUUUGAUUACCGGAAGGUUUUCGGAGUUACCGGGAAUGUACCGGGAAUGACGAAUGGGUUCCGGGAGUUCACCGGAAGGGGGCAACCCACUCCGGGGAAGCCCAUAGGCAUUUGGGGGGUCACACCAGCCCUUAGUGGGCUGGUGGGACAGCCCACCAAUCCCCUAUGCGCCAAGAAAGAAAAAAUCAAAGGAGAGAAAAAAAAAGGAAGAAGUGGGAAGGGGGAAGGACUCCCUCCCACCAAACCAAGUAGGACUCGGUUUGGGGGGGAGAGUCCUCCCCCCUGGCUCGGCCGACCCCUUGGGGAUCCCUUGGACCCCAAGGCAAGGUCCCCCUCCCUCCUCCUAUAUAUAUGGGGCUUUUAGGGCAGAUUUGAGACGACUUUCUCACGGCUGCCCGACCACAUACCUCCAUAGUUUUUCCUCUAGAUCGUGUUUCUGCGGAGCUCGGGCGGAGCCCUGCUGAGACAAGAUCAUCACCAACCUCCGGAGCGCCGUCACGCUGCCGGAGAACUCUUCUACCUCUCCGUCUCUCUUGCUGGAUCAAGAAGGCCGAGAUCAUCGUCGAGCUGUACGUGUGCUGAACGCGGAGGUGCCGUCCGUUCGGCACUAGAUCGUGGGACUGAUCGCGGGAUUGUUCGCGGGGCGGAUCGAGGGACGUGAGGACGUUCCACUACAUCAACCGCGUUCUCUAACGCUUCUGCUGUACGAUCUACAAGGGUACGUAGAUCACUCAUCCCCUCUCGUAGAUGGACAUCACCAUGAUAGGUCUUCGUGCGCGUAGGAAAAUUUUUGUUUCCCAUGCGACGUUCCCCAACACCUUGGUCACCACGUAAAACAUGCAACAACAAAUUAGAGGACGUCUAACUUGUUUUUGCAGGGUAUGAUUGUGAUGUGAUAGUAAUAGCAUAAGUAGCACGACAACCCCGAUGGCAACACGUUGAUGGAUGAUCAUGGUGUGGCGCCGGUGACAAGAAGAUCGUGCCGGUGCUUUGGUGAUGGAGAUCAAGAAGCACGUGAUGAUGGCCAUAUCAUGUCACUUAUGAAUUGCAUGUGAUGUUAAUCCUUUUAUGCACCUUAUUUUGCUUAGAACGACGGUAGCAUUAUGAGGUCAUCUCUCACUAAAAUUUCAAGACGAAAUUGUGUUCUCCCCGACUAUGCACCGUUGCUACAAUUCAUCGUUUCGAGACACCACGUGAUGAUCGGGUGUGAUAGACUCAACGUUCACAUACAACGGGUGCAAAACAGUUGCGCACGCGGAACACUCGGGUUAAGCUUGACGAGCCUAGCAUGUGCAGACAUGGCCUCGGAACACAUGAGACCGAAAGGUCGAUCAUGAAUCAUAUAGAUGAUAUGAUUAGCAUAGGGAUGCUUACCACUGAAACAACUCCCGACUCACGUGAUGAUCGGACUUGGGAUAGUGUAGGUGGAUCAUGAACCACUCAAAUGACUAGAGAGAUGUACUUUUUGAGUGGGAGUUUAGCAUAUAAUUUGAUUAAGUUGAACUCUAAUUAUCUUGAACAUAGUCUAAGUCCACUUUGAAUAUAUUUGUGUUGUAGAUCAUGGCUCACGCAAGUGUCAUCCUGAAUUUUAAUACGUUCCUAGAGAAAGCUAAGUUGAAAGAUGAUGGAAGCAACUUUGUAGACUGGGCUCGUAAUCUUAAGCUAAUCUUACAAGCUGGGAAGAAGGAUUAUGUCCUUAAUGCUGCGCUAGGAGAUGAACCGCCCGCUACGGCUGAUCAGGAUGUUAAGAACGCUUGGUUAGCGCGUAAGGAGGACUACUCAAUAGUUCAAUGUGCAGUCUUGUAUGGCUUAGAACCGGGACUUCAACGUCGCUUUGAGCGUCAUGGAGCAUUUGAGAUGUUCCAGGAGUUGAAGUUUAUCUUUCAGAAGAACGCCCGGAUCGAGAGGUAUGAGACCUCCGAUAAAUUCUAUGCUUGCAAGAUGGAGGAAAACUCGACUGUCAGUGAACAUGUGCUCAAAAUGUCUGGGUACUCAAACCGUCUAGCUGAACUGGGGAUUGAACUCCCGCAAGAAGCUAUCACUGACAGAAUCCUUCAAUCACUGCCGCCAAGCUAUAAAGGCUUUGUGUUGAACUACAACAUGCAAGGGAUGAACAAGUCUCCCGGCGAGUUGUUUGCGAUGCUGAAAGUCACAGAGUCGGAACUCCGUAAAGAGCAUCAAGUGUUGAUGGUGAGCAAGACCACUAGUUUCAAGAGAAACGGCAAGGGCAAGAAGGGCAAUUCGAAGAAGAGCGGCAAGCCUGUUGCCAAUCCGCCGAAGAAACCCAAGGCUGGACCUAAGCCUGAAACGGAGUGCUUCUAUUGCAAGGGUAUGGGUCACUGGAAGCGCAAUUGCCCCAAGUAUCUGGCAGAUAAGAAGGCGGGCAAAGAAAAAUCAGGUAUAUUUGAUAUACAUGUUAUUGAUAUGUACUUAACCGGCCCUCGUAGUAGUGCCUGGGUAUUCGAUACCGGUUCUGUUGCUCACAUUUGCAACUCGAAACAGGAACUACGGAAUAGACGAAGGCUGGCGAAAGACGAAGUGACGAUGCGCGUAGGAAACGGUUCCAAGGUUGAUGCAAUCGCCCUCGGCACCGUGUCACUUCAACUACCAUCGGGAUUAGUGAUGAACUUAAAUCAUUGUUAUUUAGUGCCUGCGUUGAGCAUGAACAUUAUAUCUGGAUCUUGUUUAUUGCGAGACGGUUACUCUUUUAAGUCUGAGAAUAAUGGUUGUUCUAUUUCUAUGAGUAACAUCUUUUAUGGUCAUGCACCGAAUGUGAGAGGAUUGUUCAUAUUGAAUCUUGAUAGCGAUACGCAUAUACAUAACAUUGAGACCAAAAGAGUUAGAGUAAACAAUGAUAGCACCAUAUUUUUAUGGCACUGCCGUUUGGGUCAUAUUGGUGUAAAGCGCAUGAAGAAACUCCAUGCUGAUGGACUUUUGGAGUCACUUGACUUUGAUUCACUUGACACGUGCGAACCAUGCCUCAUGGGCAAGAUGACUAAGACUCCGUUCUCCGGAACAAUGGAGCGUGCAAGUGACUUGUUGGGAAUCAUACAUACCGAUGUGUGUGGUCCAAUGAGCGUGGAGGCACGCGGCGGAUAUCGUUAUUUCCUCACCUUCACUGACGAUUUAAGUUGAUAUGGUUAUGUCUACUUAAUGAAGAACAAGUCUGAAACAUUUGAAAAGUUCAAGCAAUUUCAGAGUGAAGUAGAAAAUCAUCGUAACAAGAAGAUCAAGUUUCUACGGUCUGAUCGUGGGGGUGAAUAUCUGAGUUUCGAGUUUGGUACUCACUUAAGACAAUGUGGAAUUGUUUCGCAGUUAACACCGCCUGGAACACCACAGCGUAAUGGUGUGUCCGAACGUCGUAACCGUACUUUGUUAGAGAUGGUGCGAUCUAUGAUGUCUCUUACUGAUUUGCCGUUAUCAUUUUGGGGUUAUGCAUUAGAAACAGCUGCAUUCACUUUAAAUAGGGCACCAUCAAAAUCCGUUGAGACGACACCAUACGAACUGUGGUAUGGCAAAAGACCAAAGUUGUCGUUUCUUAAAGUUUGGGGAUGUGAUGCUUAUGUCAAAAAGCUUCAGCCUGAAAAGCUGGAACCCAAAGCGGAGAAGUGCGUCUUCAUAGGUUACCCAAAGGAGACAGUUGGGUACACCUUCUAUCUCAAAUCCGAGGGCAAAGUGUUUGUUGCUAAAAACGGAACUUUUCUCGAGAAGGAGUUUCUCUCGAGAGAAUUGAGUGGGAGGAAGAUAGAACUUGACGAGGUUGUCGAACCUCUCAUCCCUCUGGAUGGUGGCGCAGGGCAAGGGGAAACCUCUAUCGUUGCAACACCGGUUGAGGAGGAAGUUAAUGAUGAUAAUCAUGAAACUCCAGUUCAAGUUUCUGUUGAACCACGCAGGUCGACGAGAUCACGCGCUGCUCCAGAGUGGUACGGUAAUCCCGUCUUGUCAAUCAUGUUGUUAGACAACAAUGAACCUGCGAGUUAUGAAGAAGCAGUGGUGGGCCCAGAUUCCAACAAAUGGCUAGAAGCCAUGAAAUCCGAGAUAGGAUCCAUGUAUGAGAACAAAGUGUGGACUUUGGAGAUACUACCUGAAGGCCGCAAGGCUAUUCAGAACAAAUGGAUCUUUAAGAAGAAGACGGACGCUGACGGUAAUGUGACCGUUUAUAAAGCUCGACUUGUGGCAAAGGGUUUUUCACAAGUUCCAGGAGUUGACUACGAUGAGACCUUCUCACCCGUAGCGAUGCUUAAGUCCGUCAGAAUCAUGUUAGCAAUAGCUGCGUUUUUCGAUUAUGAAAUCUGGCAGAUGGAUGUCAAAACGGCGUUCCUUAACGGUUUCCUUAAGGAAGAGUUGUAUAUGAUGCAACCCGAAGGUUUUGUCGAUCCUAAAAAUGCUGACAAGGUGUGCAAGCUCCAGCGAUCCAUUUAUGGACUGGUGCAAGCGUCUCGGAGUUGGAACAAACGCUUUGAUGAGGUGAUCAAAGCAUUUGGGUUUAUACAAGUGGUUGGAGAAUCUUGUAUUUACAAGAAAGUGAGUGGGAGCUCUGUGGCGUUUCUAAUAUUAUAUGUGGAUGACAUAUUACUGAUUGGAAACAACGUAGAGCUUUUGGAGAGCAUAAAAGGUUACUUGAAUAAAAGUUUCUCUAUGAAGGACCUAGGAGAAGCUGCUUACAUUCUAGGCAUUAAGAUCUAUAGGGAUAGAUCAAAACGCCUGAUAGGACUUUCACAAAGCACAUACCUUGAUAAAGUUUUGAAGAGGUUCAAAAUGGAACAGUCGAAGAAAGGGUUCUUGCCAGUGUUACAAGGUACGAGAUUGAGUAAGACUCAGUGCCCAGCAACUGAUGAAGAUAGAGAGCAUAUGCGCUCCGUCCCCUAUGCUUCAGCCAUAGGCUCUAUCAUGUAUGCAAUGCUGUGCACUAGACCGGAUGUUAGCCUGGCCAUAAGUAUGGCAGGUAGGUUCCAGAGUAAUCCAGGAGUGGAUCACUGGACGACGGUCAAGAAUAUCCUGAAGUACCUGAAAAGGACUAAGGAGAUGUUUCUCGUGUAUGGAGGUGACGAAGAGCUCGCCGUAAAAGGUUACGUCGAUGCAAGCUUUGACACAGAUCCGGACGACUCUAAGUCGCAAACCGGAUACGUAUUUAUUCUUAAUGGGGGUGCAGUAAGCUGGUGCAGUUCCAAGCAAAGCGUCGUAGCAGAUUCUACAUGUGAAGCAGAGUACAUGGCUGCCUCGGAGGCGGCUAAGGAGGGUGUCUGGAUGAAGCAGUUCAUGACGGAUCUUGGAGUAGUGCCAAGUGCACUGGAUCCAAUAACCUUGUUCUGUGACAACACUGGUGCCAUUGCCUUAGCAAAGGAACCAAGGUUUCACAAGAAGACCAGACACAUCAAACGAUGCUUCAACCUCAUCCGCGACUACGUCGAGGAGGAGGACGUAAAUAUAUGCAAAGUGCACAUGGAUCUGAAUGUAGCACACCCGCUGACUAAACCUCUUCCACGGCCAAAACAUGAUCGACACCAGAACUGUAUGGGUGUUAGAUUUAUUACAAUGAAAUUCACAUGGUGAUGUGAGGGCUAGAUUAUUGACUCUAGUGCAAGUGGGAGACUGUUGGAAUUAUGCCCUAGAGGCAAUAAUAAAUGUAUAGUUAUUAUUAUAAUUCCUGUAUCAAGAUAAUAGUUUAUUAUCCAUGCUAUAAUUGUAUUGAAUGAAGACUCAUUUACAUGUGUGGAUACAUAGACAAAACACCGUCCCUAGCAUGCCUCUAGUUGGCUAGCCAGUUGAUCGAUGAUAGUCAGUGUCUUCUGAUUAUGAACAAGGUGUUGUUGCUUGAUAACUGGAUCACGUCAUUAGGAGAAUCACGUGAUGGACUAGACCCAAACUAAUAGACGUAGCAUGUUGAUCGUGUCAUUUUGUUGCUACUGUUUUCUGCGUGUCAAGUAUUUAUUCCUAUGACCAUGAGAUCAUAUAACUCACUGACACUGGAGGAAUGCUUUGUGUGUAUCAAACGUCGCAACGUAACUGGGUGACUAUAAAGAUGCUCUACAGGUAUCUCCGAAGGUGUUAGUUGAUUUAGUAUGGAUCAAGACUGGGAUUUGUCACUCCGUGUGACGGAGAGGUAUCUCGGGGCCCACUCGGUAAUACAACAUCACACACAAGCCUUGCAAGCAAUGUAACUUAGUGUAAGUUGCGGGAUCUUGUAUUACGGAACGAGUAAAGAGACUUGCCGGUAAACGAGAUUGAAAUAGGUAUGCGGAUACUGACGAUCGAAUCUCGGGCAAGUAACAUACCGAAGGACAAAGGGAAUGACAUACGGGAUUAUACGAAUCCUUGGCACUGAGGUUCAAACGAUAAGAUCUUCGUAGAAUAUGUAGGAUCCAAUAUGGGCAUCCAGGUCCCGCUAUUGGAUAUUGACCGAGGAGUCUCUCGGGUCAUGUCUACAUAGUUCUCGAACCCGCAGGGUCUGCACACUUAAGGUUCGACGUUGUUUUAUGCGUAUUUGAGUUAUAUGGUUGGUUACCGAAUGUUGUUCGGAGUCCCGGAUGAGAUCACCGACGUCACGAGGGUUUCCGGAAUGGUCCGGAAACGAAGAUUGAUAUAUAGGAUGACCUCAUUUGAUUACCGGAAGGUUUUCGGAGUUACCGGGAAUGUACCGGGAAUGACGAAUGGGUUCCGGGAGUUCACCGGAGGGGGGCAACCCACUCCGGGGAAGACCAUAGGCAUUUGGGGGGGUCACACCAGCCCUUAGUGGGCUGGUGGGACAGCCCACCAAUCCCCUAUGCGCCAAGAGAGAAAAAUCAAAGGAAAGAAAAAAAAAAGAGGAAGAAGUGGGAAGGGGGAAGGACUCCCUCCCACCAAACCAAGUAGGACUCGGUUUGGGGGGGGGGGGAGAGUCCUCCCCCCUGGCUCGGCCGACCCCUUGGGGAUCCCUUGGACCCCAAGGCAAGGUCCCCCUCCCUCCUCCUAUAUAUAUGGGGCUUUUAGGGCAGAUUUGAGACGACUUUCUCAAGGCUGCCCGACCACAUACCUCCAUAGUUUUUCCUCUAGAUCGCGUUUCUGCGGAGCUCGGGCGGAGCCCUGCUGAGACGAGAUCAUCACCAACCUCCGGAGCGCCGUCACGCUGCCGGAGAACUCUUCUACCUCUCCAUCUCUCUUGGUGGAUUAAGAAGGCCGAGAUCAUCGUCGAGCUGUACGUGUGCUGAACGCGGAGGUGCCGUCCGUUCGGUACUAGAUCGUGGGACUGAUCGCGGGAUUGUUCGCGGGGCGGAUCGAGGGACGUGAGGACGUUCCACUACAUCAACCGCGUUCUCUAACGCUUCUGCUGUACGAUCUACAAGGGUACGUAGAUCACUCAUCCCCUCUCGUAGAUGGACAUCACCAUGAUAGGUCUUCGUGCGCGUAGGAAAAAUUUUGUUUCCCAUGCGACGUUCCCCAACACUCCAUUCAUCUAACGAGCUGAUAUCAAGCAACCGCUUCUCACUGGCAAGUUUGAAAUCAAAGUUGAUCUCUUUGAUUGCCCAAUAAGCUUUGUGUUUCAGCUCAAGAGGUAAAUGACAGGCCUUACCGUAAACCAUUUUAUACAGUGACAUGCCCAUAAUAUUCUUAUAAGUAGUCCUAUAAGCCCAUAGUGCAUCGUCAAGUUUGCUAGACUAGUUCUUUCGAGAUCUAUUGACGGUCUUUUGUAGGAUCAACUUGAUCUCCCUAUUACUCAACUCCACUUGACCACUAGACUGAGGAUGAUAAGGAGAUGCAACUCUAUGGUUGACAUCAUACUUAGCUAGCAUCUUGCGGAAAACACCAUGAAUGAAGUGUGAACCGCCAUCAGUCAUCAGAUAUCUAGGGACUCCAAAUCUUGGGAAUAUGACUUCUUUAAGCAUCUUAAUAGAGGUGUGGUGAUCAGUAUUUUUAGUGGGGAUAGCUUCUACCCACUUAGUGACGUAAUCCACAACAACUAAGAUGUGAGUGUACCCAUUGGAACUCAGGAAGGGUCCCAUAUAAUCAAAGCCCCAGGCAUCAAAUGGUUCAAUGACAAGUGAAUAGUUCAUAGGUAUUUCCUCAUGCUUACUGAUAUUCCCUAUCCUUUGGCAUUCGUCACAAGACAAGACAAACUUACGAGCAUGCUUGAAGAGAGUGGGCCAAUAGAAACCUGAUUGCAAUACCUUAUGGCCAGUUCUAUCUCCAGCAUGGUGUCCUUCGUAGGCUUCGGAAUGACACUUCUGCAAGAUCUGUCCCUGUUCAUGUUCAGGCACACAACGUCUAAUAACACCAUCUACUCCUUCCUUAUAAAGGUGAGGAUCAUCCCAAAAGUAGUGUCUCAAAUCAAAGAAGAAUAUCUUCUUUUGCUGAUAGGUGAAACUGGGUGGUAUGUAUUUGGCUACGAUAUAAUUUGCAUAAUCGGCAUACCACGAUGCACUAUGUGAAGUGUGGAUGACAUUUAAUUGCUCAUCAGGAAAGCUGUCGUCAAUAGGUAGUGGGUCAUCAAGGACAUUCUCUAGCCUAGGCAAGUUAUCUGCUAUAGGGUUAUCAGCACCCUUUCGGUCAACGACGUGCAAAUCAAAUUCCUGUAGCAGGAGAACCCAUCUGGUCAGCCUAGGUUUAGCGUCCUUCUUCUCCAUGAGGUACUUAAUAGAAGCAUGAUGAGAGUGAAUAGUGACGUUGGAGUCAACUAUGUAAGAUCUGAACUUUUCACAUGCAAACACGACUACUAAAAAUUCCUUCUCCGUAGUGGCAUAGUUUCUUUGGGCACUGUCUAGAGUUUUACUAGCGUAGUGAAUAACAUUCAACUUCUUGUCAACUCUUUGUCCUAGACCAGCACCAACAGCAUAAUCACUAGCGUCGCACAUGAUUUCAAAGGGCAAGUUCCAGUCAGGUGGUUGAACAAUAGGUGCGGUUAUCAAAGCCUUCUUAAGUAUUUCGAAAGCUUCCUCACAAUCCUCAUCAAAAACAAAAGGAACAUCCUUCUGCAAGAGGUUGGUAAGAGGCCUAGAAAUCUUAGAGAAGUCUUUAAUGAACCUUUUAUAGAAACCAACAUGACCUAGGAAACUUCGUAUACCUCUGAUAUCUGUGGGGCAAGGCAUUUUCUCAAUUGCAUCAACCUUAGCCUUAUCAACUUCAAUGCCUCUUUCAGAGAUUUUGUGUCCUAAGACGAUACCUUCAUUAACCAAAAAGUGGCACUUCUCCCAAUUCAAGACGAGGUUGGUUUCUUCGCAUCUCUGUAAGACUCGAUCAAGGUUGCUGAGGCAAUCAUCAAAGGAAGGCCCGUAAACGGAGAAGUCAUCCAUGAAAACCUCAACGAUCUUUUCACGAAAGUCAGAGAAUAUAGCCAUCAUACAUCUUUGGAAGGUGGCAUGUGCAUUACAUAAGCCAAAAGGCAUACGUCUAUAGGCAAAGGUACUGAAAGGGCAGGUGAAAGUGGUUUUCUCUUGAUCAGAUUGUGCAACAGGUAUCUGCGAGAAACCUGAAUAACCGUCUAGAAAGCAGAAGUGAGUGUGCUUUGAUAGCAUUUCUAGCAUUUGGUCGAUGAACGGCAAAGGAUAAUGAUCUUUCCUGGUUGCCUUGUUCAGUUUCCGGAAGUUUAUCACCAUUCUAUAGCCGGUAAUAAUCCUUUCUGGGAUUAGUUCAUCCUUAUCAUUAGGAACGACGGUGAUACCUCCCUUCUUAGGUACGCAAUGUACUGGACUUACCCAAUCACUAUGAGCAACAGGAUAAAUGAUUCCUGCUUCCAGAAGUUUUAAUAUUUCUUUUCUAACGACCUCUUUCAUCUUAGGAUUUAAUCUCCUUUGAUUAUCAGCAACUGGUUUAAAGUCAGGAUCGGUUUUAAUCUUGUGCUGACAUAGGGUAGGACUAAUACCCUUAAGAUCAUCAAGAGUAUAUCCAAUAGCAGCGCGGUGCUUCCUCAGAGUUGUUAGUAACUUCUUCUCUUCGCGCUCUGAGAGGAGGGCACUAAUAAUGACAGGAUAUAUCUCCUUCUCAUCAAGAUAGGCAUACUUAAGAGUAUCCGUCAACUGUUUAAGCUCGAACACAAGAUCACCCUUUGGUGGGGGAGGAUCCCCAAGCAGUUCAACAGGCAGAUUAUUCUUGAGAAUAGGAUAUUGUUCUAAGAUAAUUUUAGCUAUCUCAUCUCUCUCCUCCAUAUGCACAUCAUUUUCAUGCUCAAGUAGAUAUUGCUCUAAAGGAUCCGUAGGAGGUACGGCAAUAGAGGCAAGAGCAAUGAUUUGAUCCCUACCAGACGACUCUCUUUCAUGGGUUUGUCUUUCAAAUUGGAGAAGUUAAAUUCGUGAGACACACCCUCAAAACUUACUGUGACAGUCUGCUUAAUGCAAUCAAUGUGAGCGUUGACAGUGUUGAGAAAGGGUCUACCAAAUAUGAUGGGACAAAAGCUAUCUUGUGCAGUACCAAGGACGAGGAAAUCAGUAGGAUACUUCGUCUUACCACACAGGACUUCUACGUCUCUCACAAUUCCCAAAGGGCAGAUAGUGUCUCUAUUAGCUAGCGUAAUAGUGACAUCAAUGGGUUCUAACUCAUCAGGUGCAAUCUCAUCUUUCAUUUCAUCAUAUAGAGAACGGGGUAUUGCACUAAAACUAGCUCCCAUAUCACAUAAACCAUGGUAACAGUGAUCUCCUAUCUUAACAGAAACAACGGGCAGGCCAACUACAGGUCUGGCGCGCCCAAGAUGCGACCCUAUCCUCAAUUUGGCACGAAGGCCUCGUCAGGGAUAGAAGCGCAUCUCGUCGUGUCGCAAGAAUGGAUAUCGUCACAAGUACAUGUACUGAAAAGAAGAGUUAUAUAUACAGAGUUGGCUUACACUCGCCACAAGCUACAUCAGAGUCACAUCAGUACAUUACAUAAUCAUCAAGAGUAAGAGCAGGGCCCGACUAUGGACGAAAACAAACGAGAAAAAUAAGAACGACGUCCAUCCUUUCUAUCCCAGGCUGCCGGCCUGGAACCCACCCUAGAUCGAUGAAGAAGAAGAAGAAGAAGCAACUCCAAAUGAACAAUCAACGCGCUCACGUCAAGUAACCUUUACCUGUACCUGCAACUGGUGUUGUAGUAACCUGUGAGCCACAGGGGACUCAGCAAUCUCAUUUCCAGAGGUAUCAAGACUAGCAAAGCUUAAUGGGUGAGGUAUGGUUAAGUGGUGAGGUUGCAGCAGCGACUAAGCAUAUAUUUGGUGGCUAACUUACGAGUACCAGAAAUAAGAGGGGGAAGAUCUACGCAUAACGGACGUGAACUACUGAUGAUCAAAUGAAUGAUCCUGAACACCUACCUACGUCAGACAUAACCCCACCGUGUCCUCGAUCGGAGAAGGAACUCACGAAAGAGACGAUCACGGUUACGCACACAGUUGGCAUAUUUUUAAUUAAUUAACUUCAAGUUAUCUAGAACCAGUGUUAAACAAGGUUUCCAUGUUGCCACAUAACCGCGGCCACGGCUUUCCGAAAGGUUUAACCCUGCAGGGGUGCUCCAACUAGUCCAUCACAAAUUACCACAAGCCGCAUAGAAAUCCUCAAUCACGAAGCUCGCGAUCUCGUCGGAUUCCCUAGUGGAAAACCUCAACUCUGAGAUUACCCAAAGCAUCACCGGAAUCCCGAUGCACAAGAUAUCUCGUCAAAGGUAAAACUAAUCCAGCAAGGCCACCCGACGUGUCGACGAUCCCGAUAGGAGUCGCGUACCUCGUUCUCAGGACACGACGGAUGAGCAAUGGUUACCACACCAAACGCCGAGUUGCCCCGGGUAGCGUUAAUAAGCUGCUCUGUUUUGGACCAACACACAUGAGGAGCACUGGCCCAGGGGUUGAUUAAAAUAGUCCGCGGGUGCCGGCGGGUCCCUAUGCAAUUUUAUUAGGUGAUUAGGAAAAUGUAGUACCAAUGUUGGGCCUUGCCAGACCAGCUUUAAUCUAAAACGAAUUAUCAAGGGGGUCCCCAUAACAACCCCGAUCGUGUUAGGAGCGCUCAUUUAUGGAACAUAACACCGGUAGCCGGAAACUAAGGGGGCAAAGGUGGAACAAAACACCAGGCUAGAAAGGCCGAGCCUUCCACCUUUUACCAAGUAUAUAGGUGCAAUAAAUUAAAUAGCAUUUAAAUAUGGUGGUAUAACAAGGAACCCAUGUUUUCACAUGGAAGAAACUACAGCUGCAACUAGCAACGCUAACACAGGGUCAAGCAAGCAGUAACAUAGCCAAUCAUUGGUUUGCUAGGUUGAACAGGUUGAAGAUUAAGAUGGCAUUGUUGAGAGGCUGAUAUUUAACAAGUGGUAGGCAACGAGACAUAAUCGAUAGCAUCGAAAUAACUAGCAUGGCAAUGAUACUAAUGGUAUCUGGGGACAUGAUCAUCUUGCCUGAGAUCCCGCUUGGAAGAAGAAUGCCUCCGUGAAGCAGACGAACCGAUGUAGUCGAACGGGUCCUCACAAUCCGGCACGCUGCGGAACUCUAGCGAGACGAAGCCAACCGGAAACACAAAUCAACACACGAAAUUCACCACACGAUGCACAACACAUAUGAUGCAUGAGCAGCUGAAUAUAUGCAAGUCACGGCAUGAAAAUUCACACAAUCAAACACUACACAUUAAGUGAAGUUCAAUAUGCAACGAGUUACAAAUUGACGAAACUCCACGUUAAUUUAUUUAGUUCUAUCCCAAUUAAAUACACGGCAAUAUUAAAUGUGGUUAAACAUGGCAAGAGGUGAAGCGUGAUUAAUCUACCUAUCUAGGCAUUUUAAAUGAGGUCGGAUAUGACAUAUAGCAUCUCCGAGAUGACCUCACUUGUUAAUUUACGAUUCUGUCCAGAUCUGAACUAAUGCAUUUAAUUGGUUGUUAAACAGCAAAACAAAUAGGUUCACAUGAUUCUACGCGUCAUGGCAAGCAAUCUACACAUAAAGAACAUCUCCAACGGAGCUACGGGUCAAAAGUUACAAGCAUCGCAAGAUAUGAUGGCAUGAAUGCAAUAUGUGUGCAACGACGGCUACGAGCACUUCAAAACAUACAAACAGCAAGAGAAAAUGAAACUACACAAGAUCCUAAGCAAGUUUCAUGUAGGACACGAUCAAAUCAGAGCUACGGUUCAACAACUACGAGCAAAACAAGAAAUCUUCACAAUCUGCCAAAAUCAGCCACAUGGCAUUUUAUACGCCUCACAACUUCGGCUACACAACUCCGAUAAGCUCAAGCAAGGCAUGGCAUGGAAGAGGACAAGAAUCACUACUACGAACAACUAACAACAACUAGCAUGGCAGCAAGGAGCACUAGGAAAAGAAGACACAAAAUGGCAUCUCACACACUAUUUCAGACUUAGUGAAAAUUACACCUCAUGAAAGUGCAGUUUUCGAUCUGAAGCAAUGUUGACAGCAGCAAAACCUAUAGCUACAGGAGUCCAAAUGGCAUGAAAAUUAACAGCAUGCUAGAGAAUCACAAGGGGUAGAACUAACUCCAUUGGACCAACCUCAAAAGAGCUACAGAUCACAAGAUGCAAGCAAGACAAGAUAGCAACAAAAUAUAACAGAUUCCAGACUUAGAAAUAUUUCAGCACGUCUAAAACAGCACUAUUUCUAGCAACUUGAGGGCUAUCGAAACACACCUAAACAUGCAUUUCUAUUGCAACCAAAAAUACCAGGGGCUAAUCAAAACAUCCAAGAUCAACUCUCUAGUUGACAACUCCGUCAAACGACGUACGGAAUAAAUCCUACGAAUUAAUCAAAAGGGCAACAUAGCAAAAUAUCUUGCGAACUAACUUGCUCUAAUGCUAAAAAUAAUUGCACAGAAAAAUCCAUGGGAUUUUGCUACCCCGAAAACAUAUAAAAUAUGUGGGGUUUGCAACACAAAAUAAUGCCACACAUUAAUGCGAGAAAAUAACCUAUAUACGGGAAAAUAAACUACCGGCAAUCCAUACACGCAAAAAUACAAAUGACAGGUCUAAAAAACAUGAUAAAAUGGUCCCUAAAAAAUAGACAUUUUAUCUACGUCAUACGGGCAACCCGGUCUUGCACGAAAAAUAAAUACAGGUCGAAACCUAUUAGGACAGCACACUUAUCUAGGCAAACAGCAUGCUAAACAACGUCAAACAAAUGUGCAAGUUUUAAAUUCGGAUUCUACGCGAAAAGUUACACGAGAUACAUAUCUAAAUCUUCGCGAUCCGACUUACGGAUAAUAUUCUGCGGGCAUUCUAAUAUAGUCUGAUUACUGGAAUUAAUUAAAUUCCUAAAAUUCCUAAAUGGGCCGAACAGGUGGGCGCGAGGUAACAGGUCAGUGCAUGGGCGUAGAAUAGUGGCUUGGGGGGUGCUCACCUCGGGCCUUGGCCCGGCUGGAGGAGCAGGCCGAGGGGCGCGCUGGGCCUGGCUCGGGCGCUGGCCAGGCGCUAGCUGGGCCGCGACGCUCCUGGGCCUGGGGCGACGCAGCUGGACGAAGGGGGCCUGGGGCGCGGGGAAGAGUGGCUGGGCCUCGGGGGCGCUCUGGGCCGAUGCGGGGCCCACGGGGCGGCGCUCUGGGUCUCCUCGUCGCCCUCCUCUGGCCUACCGCACGAGGCAUGGCGGCGCCGACCUGGAACCGCCGGAGGGCGCUGACCACAGGGCGGAGACGGUCGGGACGGGGCCGGGGUCGGCCGGAUCUGGCCGGCCUUCGCCAGAUCUGGCCGCCGGCGGGGGCGAGGCAGCAAGGGCGGCGGUGCUGGCGGGUCAAGGCAGCAAGGGCUCGGCCGACAGGGAGAGCGCGGCGCUCCGGCGGCUGCCGAUGGCCGGCGGGAGGCGGCGGGACCGAGUGUAGCAGGAGCUGCGAGGCUCCCCGGCGAGGGGCUGGCCGGCGGCGCAGGAGGCUCCGGUCAAGGAGGUGCGGCGGCUCCCGGGAGGAGGAGGCACGGGCAGGGAGGUCGAACGGGGCGGCGGCGUGAUGCGGGCUCGGGUGGGCUCCAGAUGGGCCUGGCAUGCCCACGGCGGCUGGGGCUGGGGAGAGAGAGGAGAGGUUGUGGCGGCUAGGGUUAGGUUUAGGUGGGGCGCGGAAAACAAGGCAGGUUAGGGAUGGGUGUCCGAAAAUUAGAAGGGGUCUAUAUAUAGACAAACGGGGGGGCUCGGUUAACCGGAAUCGCGCUCCGGAUCCAACCGCGGGGUCGGAUUCGGACGAUUCCGCACGAGGGAAUGGGUACGCGGCCGUGUAGAGGGGAUAUCCGGAGAUGAGAGGGAGAACGGGCGAUGCGGCACGAAUUUUAAAAACACCGACAGACGUCCGACGGUGGACCGAAUACGGUGCCGCUACGGUCGACCGUUCGGGUACCAGACGGACUCCGAUCGCGACGAAAUUCGACAAGCGGCCUAGCUAUAACUAAUCACGACCGCGUGCCAAGUCUCACCUUGAUCAGAGAAAGUUUUAACCGCGCUUUUAAAACAGGGUUUCGACGGUGCCGCGGGCGUGUGCGAGUGCGGUCGGGCUCAGAACGGACGACGACGCGAACCGGCAACUAACAACGGAUGCAAGUUUUGAAAACUGGCGGCAACGGAGAUGCCGAUGCGAUGCAGAUGAUGCGCAUGAUGCGAUGAUGAUGCGACAAAUAACAUAAAUAACACGACGAAAACGGAAAGGAAAGGGAAUCUUCUGGAACGUCGGCAUCGGGCUGUCACAACUCUCCUACACUACAAGAAGAUCUCGCCCCGAGAUCCAAGAAUGAAAGGGGGAGAGGAUGAGAAAGAACAAGAGGUAAAACUUAGUCGCUUCUUGACAAACGAGUGAAACCAACGAUCCUUGAAGGUUGCAAGGCAAUGAGAAAAGAUAUGAGAGGAAGCAAGAAUUCACGGAAAAUUUCGACAGCACUUCGGUAGGAAAAUGGGACAAAAAAUUCGAUAAGAUGGUAGAAAUAGACAAUAUACAUAACAAACAACUAAAUAGAACAAGGGAACACCAUGAUCUUGAUAGAACAACACAAUAUAACCAAAAGAGCAACAUCACAAUGCCUCCGGAACAAUAGAAUAGGAACUAGCUCAAGCGAAAGAAGAGAAUGAAGAAAGAAAUGACAACUAUCAACUCCAAUGAACUUGGCAAGCAUGCUUGCAAGAAAAAUUGAACGAAGUUGUUGGAAAAACAAUAACGAAAAGAACAAGAUAGUAGUGGGCUUAUGGAAAUCAUCUCAACAAAUAUGAGGUGACAACCAACCACUAAAAGAAAGAAGGAUAGAUUGGGAGAAACAAGAUAUGAACAAUUCUUACACCAAGAGGAUGCAUUGAGAACUUAGAUUAAAGACAAGCACCAUGAUAGUACAAUCCCUAGGAAAAGCUUUAGGUGAAAUCCAACCCAAGAUAGCUCAAAGGAGAAAUCAUGGGUUGAAAUAUCUCAUGAUCAUAGAAUUGGUGGGUUUAAUUAUCUCAUUCUUGAAAGGAAAAUUCUCUGAGGCUCCUACACUAACAAGAAGGCUAUAAUACCACCUCAAAGGAAAAGGAAUAACAAAUGCACUUGGGAAUGCAAGAGAACGGAUACUUGAGGAAAGAAUUGAUAUGAUGAUGAACCACCAUGAAGGACCUCCGUAAGAAUGAUGCAACGAUAAGAAGGUAGAAAAGGAUAAGAUUAUGACCUUGCCAAGAUUUAGAUGAAGCCUCACAGAGAGAAACUUGAUAGAACUUGGAACUCCGGAAAGAAAUAUAGGCACUUGAGAAAAGAAUUUAUAUCAUGAGUCCUCCGGAAGAAGAAUUGAAAUCUCUUGGAAGGAGGAAGGACAAUAAUAAGAAUUAUGUUAUGCUCAUCCUUCAUCAAGUUUAAUUGAUGACAAGCAACGGAUUUAGCAUACAACUUAUUCUUGUAGAAAAGAUUGAGGAGAGAUAUGAGCACAAACUAGAAGAAGUCUUGAAGGAGACACCGGUGAGAAUUUAAAUGAAUGAGGCAACCAUGAAUGACUCAAGAAAGAUGAGAAAGAUGAGAUCAUGAACCACCUAACAGAAAACUUGAAUAAGGCACCGGAAUAAUCGAGAGACGAACGAAGAGACAACAAUUGAGAAGAAUUGAGGAUGAAAGCCGAAAGCUGAGAACGAAGAAUCUUCUAAAAUGAUGGCCUUCGGAGGAACGAGAAAUAAAAACGACUCAGAGAAGCACCGGAUAGCACGAAAGGGAUUACCCACGAUUGGGAAUAAUUCAAGAUGAUGCCAGAAGGCUGAAACGAUGAAUCAUGAAGAUAAUGGGCCAAGAUUGAGAGAAACACUCCUUCAAAUGCAAGCUGAGAAUGAUGACGAUAACAACGCCAAGAAUUACUAAGACACUCCGGAAUAAAGAAGAAUGAAAGGUUGAGCCAAAGAAUGAAUUAAUUCAAAUAGAACUUGAAGAAGUAAUAUGACUGAUGGAAAUCAUACUUACGUCAUAGUUGAAAGAUUUAAUGAUCUCCGGGAAAAGAUUAAAAAUGCCAGGAAAGAUCCUGGGAAAGAACCAGUGGGUUAUGGGCCCACUCAAAGAAACCACCGUUAGAAAAGAUUGCUAGACCGAGAGAUAUUGCACCGGUAUGAAGAGAACUAGAUGAGGUUAGCACCUCGAAAUAAUUAAAGAAUUGAGAACAAGAAUUCUGAGAUAACUUCAACGCUCCGGAUAGAAUAGAGAGAAAUAACAACAAGAAAAUAGACUAAUAAAAAUUUCCAACAUAGGAAAUAAUUACAAGGAUGAAAAGGAUAUGAUGAACACAGACAACUGAAUUGAAUUCACCGGUAAGGAUGACAAAAAUGAACAAAGAGGAACACGAAGCUCCUGAGAAUCUUCACAAUGAAUCAUCGGCUACGAAAGGAAGAAGAGAUAGCGGAAGCACAAUGAAAUGAAUGCGCUUGGAUGAAAUCCAAUCACCGAAGAAAAAGGGCGGGAGGGCGGGAAAAAAACAAAGACAACUUGGGACAGAUGAGAUGAACUCCGGAUGGAAUAAAAGAAUGCUAUCGACAAUCCACUUGAGGAGAAGCACACCGGUUGGAAAAGAAAAAACAUGACGACUCCGGUCGACAAGAAUUGAUAAGACAACUGAUUAAGCAAAAGAAUUAGCAUUCACGUAAAAAUAUGAGAACACAGAUUAGGAAAGAUCUGAAAUCACCACUUGACAUCGAAGCAACACAAAUUACCAUAUUCAACAAAACAAAGGGUGAGGCUUAUGAAACAAGCCAGAACAAACUCAUGAGAAAGAUUUCGUCCGAUAUUUUCAUGGACAGAUCGCACGGGCUCGAUUUUACAGUAGCCAUCAAGUGCAAGGUAGUGCACCCGACAUACGAAGUAUCCCCGAGUCGUAGCAAGCUACAAGGACUCUUUAAGACACAACGUGUACCGCUGUAAGUCGACCGUGAACAAACGAAUCCACUAGAUGUCGAACCCCAACCUAACAACAUGCAUUUGUUGGAAGAUUGUCCUAUAAGCAACUACUUGAAUUCUCACCUAUGAACUCCCGAAAUAUCUGGUCAUGUAAUCUGGUACACGGAUACAAGGAGUAAUAUCACACAACUCCUAUACUAACCCGUCACUUGUAUCACAUCCGUCAACACACGACCAGAAUCUCGGACCUUCAUCUACUACAGACCCUCGUGAUCACAACGAUACAGAGUAUGGCAGUACUCCCGAACAAUCUGCACCAGUACCGGGGAUAUCGGGGUUAUCUCGCCACUACUAGUAUUGAAGCAAUUACGAACAUCCUUCGUUCUGAGAUACUAAGAAAUCUGAAUGAUAACGAUGUGCUGAAGAAUCCCCUGGAGCUCAACUCCCCGGAAGAAGAUCAAGUCAGACAGGAGGCACCAAGACAGAACUCCGUCACAUCGGCAUCAUAUAGAUUCCAAAAAUAUCUGUGUGAUCCUAAAAAAAAAUUUGAGUGAGAAGAGGAGUAGAAUAAAUUAUUACGUCAAGAUUCCUCACGAGAGCAUAGAAGAGGAGAAAAAAGAAUCCUACUCUCCGAUAUAUAACUAGACUCAAAGUAUUUUUACUAGACUCGACUCGGUCAAAUUUGAUUAAUGAAGGGGGCUCCUAGGUCGGUACUGGUCUGAUACCAACUUGUCACGCCCAAGAUGCGACCCUAUCCUCAAUUUGGCACGAAGGCCUCGUCAGGGAUAGAAGCGCAUCUCGUCGUGUCGCAAGAAUGGAUAUCGUCACAAGUACAUGUACUGAAAAGAAGAGUUAUAUAUACAGAGUUGGCUUACACUCGCCACAAGCUACAUCAGAAUCACAUCAGUACAUUACAUAAUCAUCAAGAGUAAGAGCAGGGUCCGACUACGGACGAAAACAAACGAGAAAAAUAAGAACGACGUCCAUCCUUGCUAUCCCAGGCUGCCGGCCUGGAACCCACCCUAGAUCGAUGAUGAAGAAGAAGAAGAAGCAACUCCAAAUGAACAAUCAACGCGCUCGCGUCAAGUAACCUUUACCUGUACCUGCAACUGGUGUUGUAGUAACCUGUGAGCCACAGGGGACUCAGCAAUCUCAUUUCCAAAGGUAUCAAGACUAGCAAAGCUUAAUGGGUGAGGUAUGGUUAAGUAGUGAGGUUGCAACAGCGACUAAGCAUAUAUUUGGUGGCUAACUUACGAGUACCAGAAAUAAGAGGGGGAAGAUCUACGCAUAACGGACGUGAACUACUGAUGAUCAAAUGAAUGAUCCUGAACACCUACCUACGUCAGACAUAACCCCACCGUGUCCUCGAUCGGAGAGGGAACUCACGAAAGAGACAAUCACGGUUACGCACACAGUUGGCAUAUUUUUAAUUAAUUAACUUCAAGUUAUCUAGAACCAGUGUUAAACAAAGUUUCCACAUUGCCACAUAACCGCGGCCACGGCUUUCCGAAAGGUUUAACCCUGUAGGGGUGCUCCAACUAGUCCAUCACAAAUUACCACAAGCCGCAUAGAAAUCCUCAAUCACGAAGCUCGCGAUCUUGUCGGAUUCCCUAGUGGAAAACCUCAACUCUGAGAUUACCCAAAGCAUCACCGAAUCCCGAUGCACAAGAUAUCUCGUCAAAGGUAAAACUAAUCCAGCAAGGCCGCCCGACGUGUCGACGAUCCUGAUAGGAGUCGCGUACCUCGUUCUCAGGACACGACGGAUGAGCGAUGGUUACCACGCCAAACGCCGAGUUGCCCCGGGUAGCGUUAAUAAGCUGCUCUGUUUUGGACCAACACUCAUGAGGAGCACUGGCCUGGGGGUUCAUUAAAAUAGUCCGCGGGUGCCGGCGGGUCCCCAUGAAAUUUUAUUAGGUGAUUAGGAAAAUGUAGUACCAAUGUUGGGCCUUGCCAGACCAGCUUUAAUCUAAAACGAAUUAUCAAGGGGGUCCCCAUAACAACCCCGAUCGUGUUAGGAGCGCUCAUUUAUGAAACAUAACACCGGUAGCCGGACACUAAGGAGGCAAAGGUGGAACAAAACACCAGGCUAGAAAGGCCUAGCCUUCCACCUUUUACCAAGUAUAUAGGUGUAAUAAAUUAAAUAGCAUUUAAAUAUGGUGGUAUAACAAGGAACCCAUGUUUUCACAUGGAAGCAACGGCACCUGCAACUAGCAACGCUAACACAGGGUCAAGCAAGGAGUAACAUAGCCAAUCAUUGGUUUGCUAGGUUGAACAGGUUGAAGGUUAACAUGACAUUGUUGAGAGGCUGAUAUUUAACAAGUGGUAGGCAACGAGACAUAAUCGAUAGCAUCGAAAUAACUAGCAUGGCAAUGAUAGUAAUGGUAUCUGGGGAAAUGAUCAUCUUGCCUGAGAUCCCGCUUGGAAGAAGAAUGCCUCCGUGAAGCAGACGAACCGAUGUAGUCGAACGGGUCCUCACAAUCCGGCACGCUGUGGAACUCUAGCGAGACGAAGCCAACCGGAAACACAAAUCAACACACGAAAUUCACCACACGAUGCACAACACAUAUGAUGCAUGAGCAGCUGAAUAUAUGCAAGUCACGGCAUGACAAUUCACACAAUCAAACACUACAGAUUAAGUGAAGUUCAAUAUGCAACGAGUUACAAAUUGACGAAACUCCACGUUAAUUUAUUUAGUUCUAUCCCGAUUAAAUACACGGCAAUAUUAAAUGUGGUUAAACAUGGCAAGAGGUGAAGCGCGAUUAAUCUACCAUCUAGGCAUUUUAAAUGAGGUCGGAUAUGACAUAUAGCAUCUCCGAGAUGACCUCACAUGUUAAUUUACGAUUCUGUCCAGAUCUGAACUAAUGCAUUUAAUUGGUUUUUAAACAGCAAAACAAACAGGUUCACGUGAUUCUACGCGUCAUGGCAAGCAAUCUACACAUAAAGAACAUCUCCAACGGAGCUACGGGUCAAAAGUUACAAGCAUCGCAAGAUAUGAUGGCAUGAAUGCAAUAUGUGUGCAACGACGGCUACGAGCACUUCAAAACAUAUAAACAGCAAGAGAAAAUGAAACUACACAAGAUCUUAAGCAAGUUUCAUGUAGGACACGAUCAAAUCGGAGUUACGGUUCAACAACUACGAGCAAAACAAGAAAUCUUCACAAUCUGUCAAAAUCAGCCACACGGCAUUUUAUACGCCUCACAACUUCGGCUACACAACUCCGAUAAGCUCAAGAAAGGCAUGGCACGGAAGAGGGCAAGAAGCACUACUACGAACAGCUAACAACAACUAGCAUGGCAGCAAGGAGCACUAGGAAAAGAAUACACAAAAUGGCAUCUCACACACUAUUUCAGACUUGGUGAAAAUUACACCUCAUGAAAGUGCAGUUUUCGAUCUGAAGCAAUGUUGACAGCAGCAAAACCUAUAGCUACAGGACGCCAAAUGGCAUGAAAAUUAACAGCAUGCUAUAGAAUCACAAGGGGUACAACUAACUCCAUUGGACCAAUCUCAAACGAGCUACAGAUCACAAGAUGCAAGCAAGACAAGACAGCAACAAAAUAUAACAAAUUCCAGACUUAGAAAUAUUUCAGCACGUCUAAAACAGCACUAUUUCUAGCAACUUGAGGGCUAUCGAAACACACCUAAACAUGCAUUUCUAUUGCAACCAAAAAUACCAGGGGCUAAACAAAACAUCCAAGAUCAACUCUCUAGUUGACAACUCCGUCAAACGACGUAUGGAAUAAAUCCUACGAAUUAAUCAAAAGGGCAACAUAGCAAAAUAUCUUGCGAACUAACUUGCUCUAAUGCUAAAACUAAUUGCACAGAAAAAUCCAUGGGAUUUUGCUACCCCGAAAACAUAUAAAAUAUGUGGGGUUUUCAACACAAAAUAAUGCCACACAUUAAUGCGAGAAAAUAACCUAUAUACGGGAAAAUAAACUACCGGCAAUCCAUACACGCAAAAAUACAAAUGACAGGUCUAAAAAACAUGAUAAAAUGGUCCCUAAAACAUAGACAUUUUAUCUACGGCAUACGGGCAACCCGGUCUUGCACGAAAAAUAAAUACGGGUCGAAACUUAUUAGGACAGCACACUUAUCUAGGCAAACAGCACGCUAAACAACGUCAAACAAAUGUGCAAGUUUUAAAUUCGGAUUCUACGCGAAAAGUUACACGAGAUACAUAUCUAAAUCUUCGUAAUCCGACUUACGGAUAAUAUUCUGCGGGCAUUCUAAUAUAGUCUGAUUACUGGAAUUAAUUAAAUUCCUAAAAUUCCUAAAUGGGCCGAACAGGUGGGCGCGAGGUAACAGGUCAGUGCAUGGGCGUAGAAUAGUGGCUUGGGGGGUGCUCACCUCGGGCCUUGACCCGGCUGGAGGAGGCGGCUCGAGGAGCAGGCCGAGGGGCGCGCUGGGCCUGGCUCGGGCGCUGGCCAGGCGCUAGCUGGGCCGCGGCGCUCCUGGGCCUGGGGCGACACAGCUGGACGAAGGGGGCCUGGGGCGCGGGGAAGAGUGACUGGGCCUCGGGGGCGCUCUGGGCCGAGUCUCACCUUGAUCAGAGAAAGUUUUAAACGCGCUUUUAAAACAGGGUUUCGACGGUGCCGCGGGCGCGUGCGAGUGCGGUCGGGCUCAGAACGAACAACGACGCGAACCGGCAACUAACAACGGAUGCAAGUUUUGAAAACUGGCGGCAACGGAGAUGCCGAUGCGAUGCGCAUGAUGCGAUGAUGAUGCGACAAAUAACAUAAAUCACACGACGAAAACGGAAAGGAAAGGGAAUCUUCUAGAACGUCGGCAUCGGGCUGUCACAAGGUCCGUGUUUGUCUUUCGCGUGAGGUUUACCAAUUCUAGCGGAGUCCUCACAGAAUUUGAUAACAUGCCCAUCUAUGUCUUCGGCUAAGAGAUCUUUGAUAAUAGCAACACUAGGUAUCACAGUUGGUCCAAGUGGUCUAAUGUAACCCCUACGUAUCACAGUUGGAGCUUUAGAAUAAUCCUUUAUCCUAGCAGGGUAUGGUGGUUUCUCAGUGUAAGCACAAGGAACAACAGGAUCACUAAAAGCAAUGACUUUCUCCUCAACUAGAUUGGUUUUGGCUAUGUUGCUUUCUACAGGAGGAUGAUAUUUAAACCACUUCUCUUUGGGAAGAUCAACAUGAGCAGCAAAAGAUUCACAAAGAGAAGCUACUAUCUCAGAGUCAAGUCCAUACUUAGCGCUAAAAUCUCUAGAAGUGUUUGUCUCAACAAAAGAUUUAACGCAAUCAAACUGGAAAUUCAUACCUAACUCCUUACCUUCCUCCGGCUCCCAAUCUUCAGAGUUGCGUUUGAUUCUCUCCAAUAAAUUCCACUUGUGAUCAAUAUCCUUCUUCAUAAAAGAACCGGCACAAGAAGUGUCAAGCAUGGUACGAUCUUCAUGACAAAGCCGAGCAUAAAAGUUUUGAGUGAUGAUUUGCCUCGAGAGCUCAUGAUUGGGGCAUGAAUAUAGCAUUGAUUUAAGCCUCCCUCAAGCUUGAGCUAUGCUUUCCCUGUCAUGAGGCCAAAAGUUACAAAUAAAGUUCUGAUCACGAUGUACUAAAUGCAUAGGAUAGAACUUUUGAUGAAAUUCCAAUUUCAACCGAUUGUAGUCCCAUGAUCCAGUAUCAUCACAUAGCCUAUACCAUGUCAACGCCUUAUCCUUCAAAGAUAAAGGAAAGACUUUCUUCUUUACCUCAUCCUCGGGCAAACCUGCAAGCUUAAAUAAACCACAAACUUAAUCUACAUAGAUUAGAUGCAAGUGUGGAUGUGAAGAUCCAUCUCGUGUAAAAGGAUUAGCCAGCAGUUUCUAAAGCAUACCCGAAGGAAUUUCAUAAAAGAUAUUUUCAGUAGGUACCUCAGGUUGAGGAGCAACUCCUCGUGCUUCCGUUCAUGGUGAAGAUACCCCGAACAAACUCCUCAAAGGAACAAUUUCCAUAGUGACAAGUGACAAUAAAUUUCAGCAAAGUAUAAAAAUGUUUCCUUACCAAUUUCCACUUACCAAAGGCACUUCACUCCCCGGCAACGGCGCCAGAAAAGAGUCUUGAUGACCCACAAGUAUAGGGGAUCAAUCAUAGUCCUUUCGAUAAGUAAGAGUGUCGAACCCAACGAGGAGAAGAAGGCUCUGAUAAACGGAUUUCAGCAAGGUAAUAACUGCAAGCACUGAAAGUAGCGGUAACAAGUGAUUGUGUAGCGAGGUGAAACGUAGCAAGAAAAAAGUAACAAGUAACAAGUAGUAGCAACGGUGCAGCAAGUGGCCCAAUCCCUUUUGCAGCAAGGGACAAGCCUGAACAAAGUCUUAUAGGAGGAAAAACGCUCCCGAGGACACACGGGAAUUUCUAUCAUGCUAGUUUCAUCAUGUUCAUAUGAUUCGCAUUCGUUACUUUGAUAGUUUGAUAUGUAGGUGGACCGGCGCUUGGGUACUGCCCUUACUUGGACAAGCAUCCCACUUAUGAUUAACCUCUCUCGCAAGCAUCCGCAACUACAAAAGAAGAAUUAAGACAAAGUCUAACCAUAACAUUAAACUAGUGGAUCCACAUCAGUCCCUCACGAAGCAACGCAUAGACCGGGGUUUAAGCUUCUGUCCCUCCAGCAACCCCUCAUCUACAUACUACUUCCCAAUGCCUUCCUCUAGGCCCAAAUAUGGUGAAGUUUUAUGUAGUUGACGUUCACAUAACACCACUAGAGGAAAAGACAACAUACAACAUAUCAAAAUACCGAACGAAUAUCAAAUUCACAUGACUAUUAUUAACAUGACUUAUCCCAUGUCCUCAGGAACAAAAGUAACUACUCAAAAAACAUAAUCAUAAUCAUGAUCAAAGGUGUAAUGAAUAGCAUCAAGGAUCUGAACAUAAACUCUUCCACCAAGUAAUCCAACUAGCAUCAACUACAAAGAGUAAUCAACACUACUAGCAACCUUACAAGUACCAAUCGGAGUCAUGAGACGAAGAUUGGUUACAAGAGAUGAACUAGGGAUUCGAGAGGAGAUGGUGCUGAUGAAGAUGUUGAUGAACAUGCCUCCCCUCCGACAAGAGGAGUGUUGGUGAUGACGAUGGCGACGAUUUCCCCCUCCGGGAGGGAAGUUUCCCCGGCAGGAUCGUCCUGCCGGAGCUCUAGAUUGGAUCUGCUCAAGUUCCGCCUCGUGGCGGCGGCGAAACCACGAAAAAGAUCCCCUCUGAUAUUUUUCUGUACCAAGACGCUUCAUAUAGCAAAAGAGGGGGGCUAGUGGGCCGUCAGGGAGCCCACAAGCCCCCACUCCGCCACCAGGGGGUGGAGGUGUCACGGCUUGUGGCACCCUGGCAGCCCCCCUCCGGUAGUUCUUUCGCUCAGUAUUUUUUAUGUAAUCCCAAAAAAACCCACGUAACUUUUCAGGGCAUUUGGAGAUGUGCAGAAUAGUGGACUAGGAUUUGCUCCUUUUCCAGUCCAGAAUUCCAGCUUCCUGAAUUCUCCCUCUUCAAAUAAACCUUGCAAAAUAAGAGAGAAAAGGCAUAAAUAUGGUACCACAAGUAAUAUAACAGCCCAAAAAGCAAUAAAUAUCAACAUCAAAGCAUGACGCAACAUGGACGUAUUAGUGUCCCAGGGAGCCCACAAGCCUAGGAGGCGCGGCCCCCCUAGGCGUGGCUAGGGGACUUGUGGGGUCCCUGGUGCCCCCUGUCCUGAUUCUGAGGCUUCCCGAUCUUCUUCUGUUUCGGAAAAAAUCUUUUUGGAAGUUUCGUUCCGUUUGGACUCCGUUUAAAAUCCUCCUCUGAAAGGGGUCAAAAACAUGGAAAAAACAGGAACUGUCACUUGGCACUGAGUUAAUAAGUUAGUCCAAAAUAAGAUAUAAAAGGUAUACAAAACAUCCAAAGUUUGACAAGAUAAUAGCAUGAAACCAUCAAAAGUUAUAGAUACGUUGGAGACGUAUCAGGUUCCCCCUCAUGUGUUCUUCUAGGGUUCAUGCUGGGCUAGAUCCCCUUCAUGUGUUCUUCUAGGGUUCAUGGGGCUAGGGUUAGGGUUCAUGCUGCAGCACGAUAUGUCAGUUGUACUCGGGUUAGGGUUAGGGUUCAUGGGGUAAAUAUGUCAGUUGAAUAUAGAAUGACAUAGUUGUUUUGAUCUGCGUAGAGAAGCAAGUCGCAUUAGGCCGUGUGAUGGGUGGCGGUGGCUGGGUAGAUGCGGAUGCUAGAGCUACCAUUGUAAUGAGCUAAGUUGUAUGCUUCUUCUUUUGGUGAUGGUAUUUCCCUGCAAGGCCAGAUACCCAUCUAUUUAUUACAACUGUUAUGGUGUCUUCAAAGUUAAUACUACUAAGAGCUAGAGCUUGUGUUUUUCUUUGGAAACAGUCAGUGGUGAUGCUGAUGCUAGGUGUAGGUGAGCUAUUCAGACUUCAUUGUUGGUGUUUGGCUUGGCUUGGCUUGACUUGACUUGAGUAGUAGUGAUUCUAGGUGUAGGUGAGCUAUUCAGACUUCAUUGCUGGUGUUUGGCUUGGCUUGGCUUUAGUUGACUUGAGUAGUAGUGAUGAGUCUGGAUAUAGGUGGCUUGUUUUAAUUUUUUCUGAACAUAAUUUGUUGUUCAUUUGAAAUAACAUGGCAUAAUAUAUUCUGUAUGCUGUUUCGAUGAUGGGAAGAACAUUUAUCUUGCUGAAGCAUGCGAUUAAUUCUGCUGUGCUUUUUUUUCCUUCCAAAAAGAGGAUUAUCACGGGCCUCUGCAUCAAGCGAUGAACACUGUCAUAUAGUUGUGUUGUGCUGCAUGAAUGAAUGCGGAAUGAUUCGGUGGCAGUGAAAAUCAUGAUUGUAUAGACAACAUUUGGCUAGAGUCUUAACACAUAAAUUUUGAGUAGAAUCCUAUUAAUUUCUUGUUAGUGUGUCUUACUUGAGCGGUGCUUUAAGUGAAUGAUGUUGGGCAACCAGUUAAUGCAUAUGUUUGCCACCAUUAGGGAAUACAGUUGAGUAAUUACUUUGCUUAUAGAUGAUUGCAGGUACAUGGAUAAAAUUUCAAGUUAAAACAUAAAAGCAAUUGUUGUAAAUAGUUAAUGCAUUGCUUCACAUAUAUAGUUUUCUUCAACUAUCGGUUUAGUACAUUACUACCUCUUGUUUCACAUGUAUUAAUACUAAUACAUUGCUACACUUGUAUGUGCAUGCUGGUCCAAGUGCUUCAAUUUAGUUGCUUGCUUCAACUAUCAGUUUAGUACUGAUGCAUUAACUGUAUGUGCAUUGCUACACGUGUAUGUGCAUGUUGGUCCAAGUGUUUUACAUGUAUUAGUACUGAUGCAUUAACUACAUCACCAUAUUGUUGAUCCAACAAGUUUGCUUCACAUGUAUUACAUGUAUAUGCAUGCUCGUCUAAAUGAUUUCCUUUAUUGAUAUAAGUGCAUCAUUUUACUUUAUCCCUGUUGUAUCUGAUUGUUGUUUAUUCUAUUUUGCAAGCACCACCUCAAGAUCAUCCAUGGCAAGGAUGACAAGGUCAAACCCGAGGCAACCCAUUGGUGUGCAAGUUGCUCCUUGUGGUUAUACUGUCAGAUUUAUAAAAUGUGUCUUAAUAUGCUAAGUGAAAUGUAAUAUGCUAAGUAAAAUAUCUUGGAGGGUGGUGAUGUAAAAUAUUGUCAGAUUUUAUUAUGCAAAUGUAUUGCUGUAAUCUGAAUUAGCUGGCUUAGCUGUGUGUGUGUGUUGGUACUCUUCCUUAGCUGAAUAAGUAUUAAAUGAUAAUAAAAUAUCAUAAGAUAUGUUUGGCUGUCUAUCUAUGCAUUCCAACAAUUAACCUAAUAAUUAUGUUUCCUUUGCCUUGCAAAGAUGAGCAUCCUCUCACCGAGUACGAGAAGGUUAGGGCUAGAAAUAUGAUGAGGAACAAUCGGAUAUUCGAGUUCCUUGGCAUUGGUGCAAUAGCGUCAAUGAUUAGGAAAACAAAUGAUGUACAAGAAGGUAGAACUAAUGAGGUUCAAGAAGGUAGUGGAGUUAUCAAUGAUGACCUAGAGUACAAUCCUGAGGAUGAAGUUGUAGUGCACAAGAAUGUUAAGGUGCAAACUCUCUCUUGCUUGGAGGGUUCGGGUUCUUGUAUGCUCUCUGUUUCCUUGUCCUCACAUAUUUAUCUUGUGAUCUAUUGUUUAUUCUGUGUUAUUUAUAUAAGGCACCGAAGGAAUCUAGAACAAAGAGGCCUGGUGUUAAGAAGACAGCCAGCAAGAAGAGGAAGAGCUGAGAAGCAUCUGCUGCAAUGCAUCCAGGAAGGGUGAUGGCCCCACCUCCAGGACAAACAAAGAGGAUCCUGGAACCUGAUGAACCUGAUAGAGUCACAAGGCAGAAAGCAACUAUGGCGGCUGUGACGGACCAUCAGGAAAGUCCGCUGGGCAUGGACUUUGAGAGCUCGGUGGAAAUGUCUGAUGAGUUUUCGCCCAUGGAUGAAGAAACCACUCUCUGCAUGGAUGAAAGCGGCACUGCCUGCCUACGCCUCAGGCGUGGUGCACCUUCUAUUGACAGGAAUGAUGUCGUCAGUGAAGAAGAACAGCAACUUGUGCUUCAACCAGGCAAGUUCACCUUCUCUUUUACUAGUGCAUUUUGCAAAUGGAAGUGAUCAUGUAUUCUUACCUGUUUAGCAGACCCAUUCCUGCAUUUGUCGAUUUCUCUUCUAAUUUACGAGUUCAAUUUCAUUUUCAGAUGCAAUGACUAACAAGCAUAGACUUAGAAAGGGCAAAGGGCUAGAGAGAAUUACCAAGUCGCUUGGCACAAAGGUGCCUAUCCAAAUUGCCCAAGGGAUGAAGCGUCCAGAGAAGCCUCUACAGGCAGCAAAGUUUGCUUCUGAGUGUGGACUCGUUGCAAGAAGCCAUCUGCCGGUUCUUCCUCACUUCAAGGAAUACAAAAAUAAUGCUACUCUAGUGGAGGACUACAUUGGGAAAGUUGAUGUAAGCUACUUGUUUUAUAGUUAAUGUGCUACUCUAUUUUCUGUUUUGUAGUUAAUGAUCACUAAUGUUGUUCCUUCCUUGUUUGUUGUCUUGGUAGGCAAAUUUUGAGAUGAACACACACUCGGAGACCAUCAAGUACGCGCGCAAGGAUGUUCUGCAGAAAAGUUCAAAGAAUCGACGCCAUAAGAUCAAGAAGUAGUAUUUUGAUACCGUAGCAGCAAACAAAGUGAGCACCAAGUCUCCGGUGUCAGAUCUGACGGACGGUGAAUGGCAAGCUCUGGUGCAGAUGUGGUCUACCCCAAGACACAAGGUUUGUAUAUGCUCUGUUUGCUGAUUUAUGUUCUGCACAUCAGGAUGGGAAUGGGCCAUGGUCCCCUUCUUCCUCUUCCAUGUUUCUGAUCAGAGUAGGAACAAUAGAGAGCAUCAACUUUCAAAAUCAACACCAUAUGUAAUACACUGACUCUUAUAUAGUACUAGUUGUUCAUGUACUUGUGCUAGUGCAGGAUAACUGAAAUAUUUCCAAAUCGAAUAUGCUCAGACUCGUAUUGUCCUACUAUACUACUGCCUAUUCGACUUUCUUUCAACUUGGCAAAUAACAUUGUGCUUUUUUGUAGGAAACCUGUGUGUCGAACAAGAUUAAUCGAGAAAAGGUCGUGUACCAACAGAGAAUUGGUUCCAGGCACUACACAGAACACAUUUUUGCCACUGUGAGUACCUUUUUCUAAAGACCUUACCAUUUGAUCCUCGUUGAAUAUCAUUUCUUAUUCUUGCUGAAUAACAUUUUGAUUUUUGUUAAAAAACAUUUCAGAAAGAAGAGCAUAAGGGUGAGGAGUUGUCUGCGAUUGACUUGUUCAAGGCCACCCACAACAGCAAGAAGCACGGGUUUUCGGAGCCAGGCAAGAUUGCUAUAGUAAGUCACUCCAUGCUUUUGUCCAGCUAGUUCAAAGUUUUGUCUAUAGACCUCAGCCCUGUUUGAUUCACAACCAGCAAGAACACACCCUAGAUUUGAUGUUGUUUGCUAGAGCCAAUGAUAGGUUUGGUAUCUCAACAAAGAUAUCAGAAUUUGUUGUACAGUUCUCAACAAAGAUAUCAGAACUUGCUGUAGCUAUUUGUUGCAUUUUUAUGAUAUGAUGAAAAUUGAUCUGAAUGUUAGUUCUCAACAAAGAAGCCAUAUUAUAUAGAACCACCAUAUUGUUCCGAUUGCAUGUCUCUAGAUCACAUAAGUGUGUACACUUGUUGUAGCCAGAUUCAAAUAAUGCUUUAAGUUUAGUAGCUAUCAUCUACUUCUGUUUGAGUUUGAGUAAAAUAUCUACAUAUAGAUUUUGUGUGCUGGUUUGAUUACUUCAAAUAAUCCAUUUCUUGGUCUGGUUUGGUGGCAUUCUUGUUUGGUUUCUCUUGCAGAAUGUGAAAUAGAUAUGCCACUAAUGUCUAUCAUUUUCCUCCAUAUGCUAGCUUAUGUGUACACUUGUUGUAGCCAGAUUCAAAUAAUGCUUUAAGUUUAGUAGUUAUCAUCUACUUCUGUUUGAGUUUGAGUAAAAUAUCUACAUAUAGAUUUUGUGUGCUGGUUUGAUUACUUCAAAUAAUCCAUUUCUUGGUCUGGUUUGGUGGCAUUCUUGUUUGGUUUCUCUUGCAGAAUGUGACAUAGAUCUGCCACUAAUGUCUAUCAUUUUCCUCCAUAUGCUUGCUUGAGAUGGAAAAAAUGAAGGGCGCGCCGGUGUUACUGCAACAAAAGACCUUCCAACGGCGCCAGAAAUAGGUGUGUCAAUGGCACCAGGAAUCCUUCUGCUACGGCUACGCCUUAAGGGACUUCCUAGGCAAAUAUGCAAAGGAUUUCCCCCGUGGCCUUGGAGCCUUGCGUUGGUGUUCCCUCGAAGUGGAAAGGGUGAUGUAGCGCAGCGGUGGUAAGUAUUUCCCUCAGUUUGAGAACCAAGGUAUCGAACCAGUGAAGGAGUAUCACAAGAGCUUGCACAAACACAAAAAGCUUGCUCCCAACGCUAUAAAGGGGUUGUCAAUCCCUUAUAGAUUGUUCGCCAAGUGAGAAGUGAAAGCAACAAAGUAACAAAGCAAAGUAAAAGCGUAAGUGGAAACGAUAGGUGUGAAUAGACCCGGGGGCCGUAGUGUUUACUAGUGGCUUCUCUCAUGAAAGCAAAUAGACGGUGGGUGAACAAAUUACUGUCGAGCAACUGAUAGAACCGCGCAAAGUCGUGACAUCAUCUAUGGCAAUGAUUAUAUCUAUAGGCAUCAUGUCCAAAACAAGUAGACCGAUACUUUCUGCAUCUACUACUAUUACUCCACACGUCGACCGCUAUCCAGCAUGCAUCUAGUGUAUUAAGUCCAAAAGAACAGAGUAACGCCUUAAGAAAGAUGACAUGAUGUAGAUGGACAAUCUCAUAUCUACGAUAGAGCCCACCUUGUUACCCUUGAUGGAAACUACACGAUGUGUGCCUUGCUGCCCCUACUGUCACUGGGAAAGGUCACCACACGGUAAGAACCCAAAACCAAGCACUUCUCCCAUUGCAAGAAUCAUAGAUCUAGUUGGCCAAACAAAAGCCAAGACUCGGAGAGACUUACAAGGAUAUCAAAUCAUGCAUAUAAGAAAUCAGCAAAGACUCAAAUAUAUAUCAUAGAUAAUCUGAUCACAAAUCCACAAUUCAUCGGAUCUGGACAAACACACCGCCAAAGAAGAUUACAUCGGAUAGAUCUUCAUGAAGAUCAUGGAGAACUUUGUAUUGAAGAUCCAAGAGAGAGAAGAAGCCAUCUAGCUACUAACUACGGACCCGUAGGUCUGAAGUGAACUACUCACGAGUCAUUGGAGGGGCGAUGAUGAUGAUGAAGAAGCCGUUCAACUCCAAAGUCCCCUCCGGCAGGGCACCGGGAAGGGUCUCCAGAUGAGAUAUCGCGGAAACGGAAGCUUGCGGUGGCGGAAAAGUAUUUUCGUGGAUCCCUUGAUUUUUUGCUGUAUUUUAGGGAAUAUAUAGGCGAAAGAUCUAGGUGAGGGGGGCGCCAGGGAGGCCACAAGCCUGCCCACCGCCGCCCCCUGGUGGCGGAGUGGGGGCUUGUGGGCUCCCUGUAGCCCUCCUGGCUUGGCCCACAAGCCCCCUGAUCUUCUUCCGUUUGGGAAAAAAUCAUUUCGGGGAUUUUAUUCUGUUUGGACUCCGUUCCAAAAUCAGAUCUGAAAAGAGCCAAAAACACAGAAAAAACAGGAACUGGCACUUGGCACUGAAUUAAUAAGUUAGUCCCAAAAAAGAUAUAAAAGGUACAUAAAACAUCCAAAGAUGACAAGAUAACAGCAUGAAACCAUAAAAAAUUAUAGAUACGGUUGAGACGUAUCAGCCGGUACCAGAAGGUGAAGAACCAAAGUCUGAUGCUGAGAUUGUUGAAGAAGUGCUCAAGACCGAAGUCAAGCAAAGCACAUUCCUCAGGAAUGUUGGGCUCAAGUCAUCUAGUAACAACUUUGGCAAAGGAACUGCUGUUGUGGCUGCUCAUGUUCGUGAUCUUGAGCAGAAACUGGAGAGGUCGGAGCUUCAAGCUGAAGUGGUGCAAGAAGAAAUGGCAGCAAUCAAACUAAAGGCGGAAGAAUUUGAAGCUGCACGCGACAAGGAACUUGAGCUGCUGUGCAAGAAGUCUCAAGAACAGGAACAGAAGUUAGCCCACUUGAUGGCUCUCUUCUACGCUAAAGCAUCGUAGAAGUUGAACAUGUCGUAGAACUUGUCCUAGAAACAGUGAAGUGGGCUAACUUCUCAAGAACCUCAUGAAGUUAGCCCACUUGAUUGGUCAUUCUGGUGAUGAAACAGUGAAGUGCUCUAUUUGAACCUGUGAAGUAUUUUGAACCUGUGAACCUGAUGAAGUAUUUUGUGAAACAGUGUCUUGCUCUAUUUGAACCUGAUGAAGUAUUUUGUGAACCUGAUGAAGUUGUCAAUUAUUUGAGUUUUGUUUGGACCAUUUGGUUUGGUCACUAAAGUUAGUUUGGACUGCAAAAAGGCUGAGGCCCAAACAAGAAAUAGACUAAAAAGGCUUGCGCCUAAAAAAAGAGUAGGCCAAGGCCCAAAUCAGAAUUUGUCUAAAAAGCUUGGGCCUAAAAAAAGAGUAGGCCAAGGCCCAAACAAGAACUGGACUAAAAAGAGUAGGCCAUGGCCCAAAAGAAAAGUGGCCUAAUAAAAAACAUGCUUAGUAAAAGAUUCUAUCCUAGAAAAUAAAAGGCCAAAUUAUUGGGCCCGGCCCAUGUAGAAGAUCGGAAUGGACCGGGCUGAAUCUAAUUUACGACCUUUUCAUUUGGUCUUAAUUCUGCCACAUCAGCCUGCCACGGUGGAUCUGAAGUGGUGUAGGCGGAUUGCAAGUGACCAAAUCAGUUGGUCGUUAAACCUACGACCUUCUGUUUGGUCGUAAAAUCCUACGACCAAUCUAGGAAAAAUGUCAUUAUAGUUCAUUAGAGACCCUCAGCUUUUGACCGUCUGUUUUUGGUCGUAAAAAGGUCACAAAUGGAAAUCAAUGACCAUUCGGUGACCAAUAUUGAAGGUCGUUAGUUGACAUAUUUCUUGUAGUGCCUCUCCGUCACACGGAGUGACAAAUCCCAGUCUUGAUUCAUACUAACUCAACGGACACCUUCGGAGAUACAUGUAGAGCACCUUUAUAGUCACCCAGUUACGUUGCGACGUUUGAUACACAUAAGGCAUUCCUCCGGUGUCAGUGAGUUAUAUGAUCUCAUUGUCAUAGGAAUAAAUACUUGACACGCAGAAAACAAUAGCAAUAAAAUGACACGUUCACAUGCUACGUUUAUAGUCUGGGUCUAGUCCAUCACAUGAUUCUCCUAAUGAUGUGAUCGAGUUAUCAAGUGAUAACACUUGCAUAUAGUGAGAAAACCUUGACUAUCCUUGAUCAACUCGCUAGCCAACUAGAGGCUUGCUAGGGACAUUGUUUUGUCUAUGUAUCCACACAUGUAUCUAUGUUUUCUUUCAAUACAACUAUAGCAUGGAUAAUAAACGAUUAUCUUGAAACGGGAAAUAUAAUAAUAACUAUUUUAUCAUUGCCUCUAGGGCAUAUUUCCAACACUUACCUUUACGGAAGAGUCAUGGUGAUCUUCACCACUUCGUAUAUUUCGCCUUUAUCUCUUGGCAAGCAUCAUGUGGUGGGGAAAGAUCCAAGCAUAUAUGGCCAUUCAAAUAUAUUUGAUCAUGAAUUAUUAUUGUUGACAAUUAUCCGUAUGAUAAAUAAGUUGGGAGGCGAAACAUUAAGCCCCUAUCUUUCUCUGUGUUCGAUGGAUGCUAUCUGUUCUAAAAAUAUGCUUUGAGUGUUAGCAAUCAUGGAAGACUACAUGAUAGUUGAGUAUGUGGAAUUUGCUAAAUCAAAAGCUUUUACAUAUACCCUUCCUGAAAAUAAGACGAAUUGCAAUUGUUUGGUGACUGAAAGCAUGGUUUAUUAGUUUUCAAAAAAAAUUAUGGUCUUCACUUUAACAUGUGAAUAGAUUAUUACUUUAUCAUGAGAUGUUUUAUGAGAUGAGCUACAGUUUAUGGUUUAUAUUGAUGCUAGAAAAAAGUGUUUGGGAGUAUCAUUGAUCAAACUUGUGCACUAUGCUAGCAUUCACACUUCAUAAAUUAUAUCUUUUAUCAUUUACCUAUUCGAGGACGAGCAUGAAUUAAGCUUGGGAAUGCUCAUACGUCUCCAACGUAUCUAUAAUUUAUGAAGUAUUCGUGCCAUGUUUACAAUAAUUUUAUAUGAUUUUGGUAUGAUUUUAUUAGAACUAACCCGGACUGACGUUGUUUUCAGCAGAUCUACCAUGGUGUCGUUUUUGUGUGGAAAUAGAAGUUCUCGAAAUGGGCUGAAAAGUUACUGAGAAUAUUUUUGUAAAAUAUAAAAUAUACUGGAGCAAAGAGCUGGGCCAGGAAGUGGACCAGGAGGUCACAAGCCUGCCACUCAAGACCACCCCCUAGGACGCGCCUGUGUGGCUUGUGGACUCCUCGAGCACCUCCUUGACAUGAGACUGGCGCCAAAAAUUCCUAUAAAUACCAAAACCCCCAAAAAGAAACCUAGAUCGGGAGUUCCGCCGCCGCAAGCCUCUAGAGCCACAAAAACCAAUCGGGAGCCCGUUCCAGCACCCUGUCGGAGGGGGGAAACCAUCAUCGGAGGCCAUCUUCAUCAUCCGGUGGUCUCCAUGACCAGGAGGGAGUAGUUCACCCUCAUGGCUAAGGGUAAGUACUAGUAGCUAUGUGUUCAAUCUCUCUCUCUCUCUCUCUCUCUCUCUCUCUCUCUCUCGUGUUCUUGAGAUGGCACGAUCUUGAUGUAUCACGAGCUUUAUUAAUAUAGAUUAAUCAUAUGGAGUUUUCUCCUCUCUAUCUUCUUGUGAUGAAUUGAGUUUUCCCUUUGAAGUUUUCUUGUCGGAUUGAGUCUUUAAGGAUUUGAGAAAACUUGAUGUAUGUCUUGUGAUGGGAUAUCUGUGGUGAUAGUGGGAUGUUCUAUUGAUUCACUUGAUAUAUGUUUUGGUGAUCAACUUGUGAAUUCCGUGACCUUGGGAAUCUAUGCAUAGGGGUUGGCACAUGUUUUCGUCUUGACUUUCCGGUAGAAACUUUGGGGCACUCUUUGAAGUUCUUUGUGUUGGAUUGAACAUGAUGAAUCUUAAAUUAUGUGAUGCAUAUCGUAUAAUCAUGCCCAUGGGUACUUGUGGUGACAUUGGAGUAUCUACGUGACAUUAGGGUUUUGGUUGAUGUGUAUCUUAAGGUGUUAUUUUAGCACGAACUCUAGGGAUGUUCGUGACACUUAUAGGGAUAGCUCAUAAGGUUGAUUAGAAAAGAUAACUUUGAGGUGGUUUCGUACCCUACAAUGAUUUCUUCGUUUUUUCUCCGCUAUUUGUGACUUUGGAGUGAACUCUUUGUCGCACGUGGGGGAUUUAUAUGUUAGUAUUGUUGAGAGAACUUGCACUAGUGAAAGUAUGGACCAUAGGCCUUGUUUCCAAGCAUUUAUACAACGUUUUGCUUUGAUGUUUACUAUUUGUUACCUUGCUGUUUUAUAUUUUCAGAUUACGAAAACUUAUAUCUACCAUCCUUAUUACACUUGUAUCACCAUCUCUUCGCCGAACUAGUGCACCUAUACAAUUUACCAUUGUAUUGGGUGUGUUGGGGACACAAGAGACUCUUUGUUAUUUGAUCGCAGGGUUGCUUGAGAGAGACCAUCUUCAUCCUACGCCUCCCACGGAUUGAUAAACCUUAGGUCAUCCACUUGAGGGAAAUUUACUACUGUCCUACAAAACUAUGCGCUUGGAGGCCCAACACGAGCCUACAAGAAGAAGGUUGUGUAGUAGACAUCAGCCAGCCAUGAGUCCUAAAGAUCACACAAUGAGUUCUCACUGAAUGCACCAAUGUCGGUGUCAAAACCGGCAGAUCUCGGGUAGGGAGGGUCGAGUUGUGAGAUCGGAUCGACGGUAACACGAGGCAACGAACACGAGCUUUUUACCCAGGUUGGGGCCCUAACGAUGGAGGUAAAACCCUACGUCAUGCUCUUGUUGUAUUGAUGAUGUAGCGAUUAUAGAGUUGAUCUACCUCAAGAUUGUGAGUUUGUGGGCUAAACCCUAGGAGUUAUGAUGUUGUGUAUAUGAUUGUCCUCUACGGGCAAACCCCCACAGUUUAUAUAGGUACUUGGGGUACUAGGGUUACAUGACUGUCGAUUAUCGUCUAUGGGUUACAUGUCAAACGGGUCAUCCUUUCCCUGGAGUGCACGAUAACUCUUUGGUAGAAUCCGUGAUAUUCUCACAAUCCUUUAUUGGGCCUCCGAAGUCCUUCCUCCAAGGUGGGCCUCUUGCUCAGCACAUGGACUAGUCCACCUCGGAUGGGACCACUUGGUCGAGGACUCCCGCUCCCAGCUACCAAGAAUGGCUUUUUUGUAUAGGAAGAAUGGGUCCUCCAAAAUGAAUGUGGAUGUUGGUAUUUCCAGGCCAGGCUUAUAUGUUACUGAUGUUGCAGUCUGUAGGGAUGAUCAAGGAUUAUAUUGGACACUUUAGCUCUUGUCUUAUCGGAGAUUAGUGAUCCUGUAGGCUUGGAAUCUAUUGCUUCUCCCGAAGGCAUUGCAUUGGCUAUAGACUUGAAUCUCCACAGGGCGCAUAUUGUGAUGGAUUGUCUAAACGCGGUCAAUCACAUCGCCACUUUACAAGAUGGUAAAUAUGAUGUGGUUUUCAGUGAUAUUAGUGCUUCUAGGUCUUCUUUCACCUUAUGUAAUUUCUUCCAUGAGAGAAGAGGCUCAAAUUAUGAAGCCCGUAGUCUAGCUAGGUUGGGAGACACACAUGGCUUGGUCUGCCCCAUGACACUCUUUGUAUUCCAAUAAUUAUUAAUGAAUAAACCUAGUGGAUUGUGCUAAAAAAGGAAAAUUGUUCAAGCAGCUCAAAAUAGUGUCAGUAUACUUUUUAUACAAAUUUCAUGACACUUACCAACAAUUUUCACUAAUUUAUAAAAAUAUCCGUGAUAUUUAAAAAAUGGUUGUACCAUCCAGCAAAAACUCGUUUCAAAAAAUUUCAUGAAAUAUAAAAAUGUGCUCACUCAAUUUUUAAAACAUGUUCGUGACUUAUAGAAGUGCUUAUAACCAUUUAAAAAUGAUUUUAGCAUUUGUAAAAAUGUUCAUGAAAAUGUAAAAUAUAGUUCGUGUAAAUUUUGGAGAAUUUUCACGGCAUACAACAACAUGUUCAUGAAAAAUGUGAAAAUUUGUUCAGACACUUUUUUUAAAUGUUUAUGCCAUAUAAAGAUGCUCACUCUUUUAUUUUACAAAUAACAUGAAAAACAAAAAUGGAAAAAUAAGGAAGAAAUUCAACUGAACAAAGAAAUAUAAAAUAUAAUAAUCGCUAGAGAAUAAAGAAAGAAAAGAAAAGAAAAAGAUGCAAGCUUCCAGAAACCGCAUAAAAGGUUCGCAAAACCUGUCACUACCGUACAUAGAAGCUUCUCAAAAUGGCACAUGGAAGGUUCUCAAAACCGAAGUUGGGUUGGCGCACUUGAAUCAGCAACGUAGGCGAAUGCUCAUUUCAUCUCAGAGUAAGCCAGAUUCAACAUUUGCGUGCUAUCCCUUGUAUCAACCUCUUAUUUGAUUUUCUGCUCCAACACAUGCCACUCCUAUCUCUUCCCACAUCAUCAGAUUUGUGAAAGAUUCAUUGUUAAAUUUUUUUCAACAAAAUUGUAUUAUCUCAUCGUACAAACUUUCCCGAUCCCAGGUAGAGGUCAAUUGCGUUCUAGAACAAAGUAAUGGUGCUCACUCAUGAGUGAAUCUACCAUCGAUGCGACACCUUAUGUUAGACAUUUGUAUACGAUGACUUUGUAUUAAAAAUGGCAUCUUAGAUACCUUAGUUUGUGCUUUGCUGGGCAUUCUAGAGGUUUUUGGAUCCACCACAGGUGCUUAGACAAGGUGCUAAGUGCAUCGAAGGACUUAUGAACUAAAUUCCCCUAUGCAUGUAUAUAUGCUUAGCUUUUUCUAGCUAAGAUUUCUCCAUUUUAUUGUUUAGCAACAAAAAUUCCGCAUGCAUACGUGUUUUGCAUAGAUUCACUCGUUUGACAUUGUUGUUUCUUCCUUGGGUCUUCAUGCUUUCUCUUCUUCUUAAUUGCUUUGCUACGUCAACUUUUUGCCGAUGUGGCAUUCUUAGCACCGUGGAGGGUUGAAAAGGCCCUAAAGCACAUAAGGACAAGAACUAGCUAACUGCCAAAAGUUUCGGUUUUGAGGGAUUCAUUACCAACACUUAAGUAAUAUACCAUGUGAACUGCGGUCGCAGAUGGUUUAAUACAAACAUGUUCACGUGCACGUAUCUCACAACCAUCAUCUUUAUCAUACACACAUGAUUAUAACCAAAUUUCUCUUGGGAUGGAUGACAGUCAUAAGGUCGCCUUUUUGCCAUUGCCGCCUGUGAUUAAAGACACUUUGUUGUCAUUGCCAAAGUCGGCUCCUUGGCAAGGCAAGAAGGACAAGGUCCAAUAUUUGUCCAUAAGCUAUUUUAAAAAGUAUCAUGUUUAAGGAGUGAUUUUUUUUUUAGAAAAGGAGGAUGACCCCCGGUCUCUGCAUCUGGGAGAUGCAUGCGACCAUUUUAUUGAUUAUUUCCGAGGACCUUACAAAGUAGUACAACAAUAUGUCUGAAUCCGCCAUCUUGGCAACAUUUGCCGCUACUCCUAUCCAUAUGAUGAAGGGGUGCAAGCUGAGCCAAAUACCCAGACCUCUCACCUAAGCCUAACAUCUAAAGCCGGAGGCCCCGACCGAGCCACAUACCGGGUCAGGGGCACAAACCGGUCUGACACACUCACAUGUGUCGCCGUCACCAUCUUCCACUGGUUCAUCUUCAGAGCAGAUUGAGGUACCAGCCUUGGCAGGUGCCUCCGCCAUCGACGCCACCAUGACGCCAAACGACGACCUCCACCAACGCGAGUCCAUCUCCAAGCAGCGGACAUAGAUCCAUGCUAGGAUAGGGUCGCACCACCGCCGUCGCCCACCACCCACAAGCACCAGCCAGCCCAAGGUUCCCAAAGCGGCGCCUUCAAGAAGGGAACGACGCCGUGAGCGCCGCCGCUGCCCAACAAAGUUAGGGCUUUCGCCCGGGAGACCUAGGGGAAGGGGAAGUGAGGGGAUCAGUCCAUACCGACGCCUCCAAGGAGGGGAACGGCGCCCUCAGGCGUCGCCGUCGACGCAGUCGGCCAUGGCCGGCCAGGGAUUUCGCCCGAACUAGAUCCCCAUCAUCAGCAGUGCCUCCUGUACAGAACCGGCGACCCAAGGAAGCACGGUCCGACCAUGCUAGCCCGCACGCCGAACAUGGGAGGAGGGGAUGCGCCAGAUCGCGCGCACCGACCACCGCAGAAGCUGCCGCCGGCCGGCAACGACCACUGGAUCCCGCCGCCCGCGCGGCUCGAACGCGAGAUCCACCGUCCGCACGACUGCUAGCUUGUCGUGCCUCAUCCAUGGAGCCGCCGCUCCAGAUCCGGAGUUCCCCACACAGAGGCAGGGCAGCCAAGGCCCCGCCGCCACGAUCCUUGGCGCCCCGGGCUUGCCCGACGGCUGCCUCACGCGGCGGCGAGGAAGGGAGGGGGAGGGAGUUGGGCGGCUAGGGUUGGGAGGGGGAGGGAGUUGGGCGGCUAGGGUUGGGAGGGGAAGGGGAUGUUUAAGGAGUGAUAUGCAACUAGAAACUGAUUUUGUCAUUGUCACGUGUGGAUAAUGAUUGUGAGUGGAGUUUAGAAGUGGAGUGAAGUAGAGUUUAGAGGUGGAGUGUACCCCUUCAAACACACUCGUAGUUAACAGCUAGGAGCUUUUGUUUUCGUCCGGCUGGCAUGAACACGUAACAUUUACAACAACCAUCACUUGGACAUACCAUGUGCCACAACCACCAUCUCCUAUAACUAAGAGCCAUCCAAGCCCAGUCUCAAUACUCCCAUCAACCAAAGCCUGUGUUCUGCAAGAUAGCCUGCCAGCCAUGGGAAGCAAGGGCCUCAAGGGUGUGAUGGUGUGUUUACUCAUACUGGGGUUGGUUCUGGAACAUGUGCAAGUAGAAGGCAAGAGUUGCUGCAGGAGCACCCUAGGAAGAAAUUGCUACAACCUUUGCCGCGUCCGUGGUGCUCAGAAGUUAUGCGCAAACGCCUGUAGGUGUAAACUCACAAGUGGCCUAAAAUGCCCUUCAGGCUUCCCGAAAUUGGCCCUUGUGUCAAACUCAGGUAAAGGGAAUGAACUCCUUCUAUUCCAUAUUACUAGUUCUUUCUAAAAUAAGAUGUCAUCAUAUAAAGCGUAUGGCCAGUUCGAGUUUUCUAAGUUUUCCGAAUAAUAUAAUGAACUUUUUUUAAAAAAAAUCCGAUGAUAUUUGUAUGAUCAGUUUUUCAUGAAUAAUGUUUCCAUAAAUAUAAGUUUUCUUAACUUUUUACCAACAAGUAAAUUUUUUUGAAAGGCGGUCUCUUAGGGUCCGGUUCAUCAAAAAAGUUAGAGAAAAGUUGCCUGGUUACCAACAAGUAAUUGUGAAAUGACUAAUAAAAAGCGAAUGAUGGAGACGAUGCCAAUAUCGAAGAUGAUAAUCGUAUUGUAACAGAGGAAUUGUUUGUCUUAGAUGCGAUUAUAUUUACAUGCUAGAUAUUUUAUUUUGACAGAUGAACCAGACACCAUCGACUAUUGCAACUUGGGGUGUAGGGCUUCCAUGUGUGACUACAUGGUCAACG
rnacentral:lncRNA from 1 species